AAUGGCCUCUAUUGAUUUCUUCCUUGGCAUUUUUGCUCAUAGCCACUACUGCCACGGCUGCUUAUGAGCCUUACAUUUAUGCCUCACCACCUCCACCGCCUUACUAUUACAAGUCACCACCACCACCAGAAUAUUCUCCACCACCACCUUACUACUACAAAUCUCCACCACCACCUGAGAAGUCUCCCCCGCCACCUUACUACUAUCACUCACCACCUCCUCCUAAGAAGUCACCCCCACCACCUUACUACUAUAAGUCUCCGCCUCCGCCGAAGGAAUAUCCCCCACCACCUUACUACUACAAGUCUCCGCCACCACCGGAGAAGUAUACCCCGCCACCUUACUACUACAAGUCUCCGCCCCCACCCGAGAAGUAUACCCCGCCACCUUACUACUACAAGUCACCGCCCCCUCCGCCACCUUACUACUACAAGUCUCCGCCACCACCGGAGAAGUAUACCCCGCCACCUUACUACUACAAGUCACCGCCCCCACCCGAGAAGUAUACCCCGCCACCUUACUACUACAAGUCACCGCCCCCACCGGAGAAGUAUCCCCCUCCACCUUACUACUACAAGUCACCGCCCCCACCGGAGAAGUAUCCCCCUCCACCUUACUACUACAAGUCACCGCCCCCACCAGAGAAGUAUCCCCCUCCACCUUACUACUACAAGUCACCGCCCCCACCAGAGAAGUAUCCCCCUCCACCUUACUACUACAAGUCACCGCCCCCACCAGAGAAGUAUCCCCCUCCACCUUACUACUACAAGUCACCACCGCCACCAGAGAAGUAUCCCCCUCCACCUUACUACUACAAGUCACCACCGCCACCACCUUAUUAUUAGAAGUCUCCUCCACCUCCCUCUCCAUCUCCACCCCCUCCAUACUACUAUAAGUCGCCACCUCCUCCUUCUCCAUCUCCACCCCCACCGUACUAAUAUUUGUCUCCUCCACCUCCUAAAGGCUACUAAAUAUACAAUGUGUUGUUGAAACAUGUGUGAUCUUAGUUAUGUAAGAAUAAGUGUAAGUUUGUAAGCUUGUUCUAUUUCUGAUUUUUUCUUCAUCAAUGUUUUUGUGAAUAAAAGGAUUUGAGAUGGUAAAUCCAUUUGUAAGAAGUGCUGCUCAUUUUCGUUGUAAAAGUUAUUGUAAGCAAUAAGAUCUCGUAAUUUAAGGUUUCAUAAAAGUUAUAUGUGCAACUACUUUCAAUUUCCAUUGUCAUCUUUUUCACAACCACCAAGCGUAUUACUUCUUUAUAGAUGGAAAAUGCAGAGGCAAGCUUAUUAUUCUUUAAUAUUACCAUUCUUGAUGUGUUUGUUUAUUUAGUUGAAACGGUAAAUAAAAUGUACAUGAAGUACCGCACUGCAUCCAAAUUAAAUUUAGGAUAUAGACUAAGUUCAUGUAAUCUCAAUUUUGUCACAUUAUUAUUGGAUUUUAUAUAAAUAGCUAAUUUCUUUUCCUUCCGAAUUUCGACGGGAAGGAGAAUUUAUUAAGUAAUACAGAGAAGUGCACCUAGUAAUAUUUAAAGAGGAUAUAAUGAGCACUACCUUUCAUGAUGAUAAUGCCCAUGAACAAGUAAGAGAAGCUUAGAGUUUUAUUCCUACUCAAAUCAGAUUCUACGGAGGAGUUAUAUUCGUACCUUUUUAACGCUUUACAUAUAUGAUUAGAGAAUUAUGAGGACAUAAAUUCCGCUAUAAAUUUGUUGUUAUAUUUAGAGGAGUUUACAUGACUGGAGAAUUAUACACACAUAAAUUCUUUGAUGUCCAUUUUAAAUUAUAUUCCAAAAGGGAAAAUGUUUUCCGUUUAUGGUUUAAAAAUAGAAGCUUUGUGCUUUUUUUUUUUAAAAAAAAAAUCUAGAUCAUUCAGUGAAUAUUGGUUGUUAAUUUACUGCCAAAAUACUCGUAAGUUUAUUUAUUUAUUCUGUAAUGCAACUUUUGGGAUACAUAAUAAUCAUAUAAAUAAAUAAACUAUAUUGUAAUAUAUUUCAAUUAACUUGUUGACUUGUAUGAAAAGAGCGUGUCAUUACCUUUUAUGCCUAAUUAAAUUUACAAUUUUAGUCCCUAUGAUUUUUUUUUUUCAAUCAUUAAUUCCAUGCUCUUAUGAGUAGAAACAUAUGUAGAAUUUUGAUAUUUAAGAGUUGGUGGAGUUUCUAUGAUAUUUUGUACCUGUGGCUCAUCAUUUCACCACGGUGGGCAACUUCAUGGAUUUUGUCCUCUAAAAGGUAGCACUCUAACUUAAGAUGCCAUGUUCUUCAGAAAGUUAUCAAAUAGUUGAAUAGUUAUAUUAAGUUUAUUAUUGAUAAGAAUCUUAAUUAACUAGAUAUAGUACUUAAUAUACAAUGUUUUAUUCGUGAAAUUGUUGAACUAUUUUCACCAUUUUUCAAUGUCAUUUUCAGGAUGAGCUAUCAUUUGGAAUUUCAUUUUCUAUGGACUCUCACUUUUUCCCAUAACCACUUUUUUUGUUUAUAUUUUAUCAGAUUAAUUAUUCCUUGUUUGUUUAGAAGGAGCUUUCAUAUUGGAGAAAUACAUUACGUAUCUUAUAAAUCUAUGCAUCUUUACCUUUUUUUUUCCCAAAAUAAUUAAAAAAAAAAAAACCUCACCAAUGACCAAUCCAAUGUUCAAUAUGAAAAGUUUGAAGAAAAAAUGGUGUGAACUAAAACAAAAUAUAUAAUUUUGUCACAAUCCAAGAAAAAAAAAUCAUUAUAAAAUAUAAUUAAGAGGUAGCCACCUUCUCUACAUCAAUUUGUCACAAAACUAUAUCAGUGAGAUAUAUGCAAGACUCACCCAUUGGUACAAAAGAAAAUGAUCAAAGUGGAAGCAAAAAUGUGGUGAUAAUUUAGAUGAUCUCCACUCCCCAUUUAGUUUCAUUUAUUAAGUUAAUGUUUAAUCAAGAGUCUAAUUACUCAUUUUAUUAUGUUAUUAAUCAACUGCCGCCCCUUCCACUGGUUCAUUAUUUUUUAUGGAAUACAAAAAACAGACAAUAAUAUUCUUUGACAUAGCUAGGAAUAUAGCCCACUUGCAAGAGACUUACAUUCCAUCGCUCCCUAAUUUCCCGUGUAACAUCUUAUCUUGCAUCACAUCAGAGACGUGUUCGUUUGCACAGCCAUUUCGUGAAUAUAAAAUUGCUGCCGAAUAAGCAUCUAAUCAAAAGAAUUUGUCAACGGUAUAAAUUAAAAUAUAAAAAACGAGUAAAAGAAUUUGUCAAUAGGAUAUGGGAGGCCAUGGCUUCAAUCGGUUUGUGCAAUGGUCAAUGGCAUAUUUUUGCUCAUCGUCACCACUGAAUCCACUGAUCAUUUGUGCAUGUGAGUUGUUUUUGAGCAUUUAUUUUUCCCUUUAGAAGCAUAAGGAUAAGGCUAGUCUUCUUUUUGGGAGGACUUAUUGCUUCCAUUCGUUAAAAUUGGGCAUGUAAAAUGUCAAGAAAAAAUGGCCUAAGUGGCUAGCUAGAUGAUAUAAUGGAUGGUUACUACUCAAACCUAGCAAUAAAUGAAUGUCCGACAAGCAUUCAAAUGAAUGAAUAAAACCAAUCAGAUUAGAAUAUCUAUUUAUGAUAGAUUAAUGAAAAUACGAUUCAAAUAUAAGGUAAAUAAUCUCUCCAUUAAUUUUUUAUUGUUUCAGGCAGGGUUGCCAAGCCUCUGUCCGGGCUUCUAUAAGCUCAAUUCCAGCUCUCCUAUAUGAUUGAAUUAGAUCGGGCUAGGCCCUCGGACUUUUUAAUUAAAAAAGGUCGAUUUUUAAGUUUAUGAAGUUAAUACACUCACGCUUAUACUUUAAUAUUUUUAUUAUUUGGCUUUUAGAAUAUUAACGUGUAAAUUACUUUUUUUUUUCAAGUGAAAUAAUUAUCACAUUUUGUCUUCUUAGUAUAUAUUUCUACCUUUUUGUUCCUAUAGAUAUUUCCUCAUUUCAUCUUUGGUACUAGAGCGUAGUAAAAAAACACAUGAUUAAAGAUAAAUAUGACAUUUUAACUAACAAAUUAAUUAUUUGUAUCUAAGAUCUAGCUCUAGUGGUAAAGAUCAAUUUUCAUCGAAUUCAAGUCUUGGGUUUGAAUUUAAAUGCAUGGGUAAGUUAAUAAUAAUAAUAAUAAUAAUAAUAAUAAUAAUAAUAUCAAAUUAACUAGCUUUAAUUUGCAAAGGUCUUAGAUAAUCAAUUCGCUUGUAAAAAUAUCAAAAUUUUUUUUAAUCAAUGAAAUUUUCAAGUCUCUAGUUUUAGCACAAGGAAUGAAUUAAAAGAGUAAUGAUAAAUAUUUUACAAUUUUAUCCCAAAUGAUAAGACAUGUCAUGUGUCAUGUAUUAAGUGAUUGAUGAUUUUUUUAUAAAUUUUAAGUGGAUGAAAUAUAUUAUUUCACCAACCAGUAAAUGAAUAUGACAUCAUUUGAGAAGGAAUUUUAUGGUACAAUUUUGAAAUAUUUAUCACUACUCAAUUAUAUACAGUAUAAAAAAUCUAAUAGGGACCAAAAAUAUAAAAACAGAUUAAGAAUAAAAAAUAUAAAAGUCAAUUCCUAAUUAGGAGAAUGAAAGUGUCAUUCCCCUGUAAUCAUUUCACUAGAUAUUAUGUAAAUAUAUUAAGGCAAAAUUUUAAUAGAAAAUUGGUACCCAAACCUAACGUCUUUGACAUUGCUGCCAAGAUCACUCACAACUUACAAGAAUAAAAAAUUGGUAUUAAAUUUAUUAAUGUUCUCAAGGAAUUUUUAGCUUGACUUUACAUUUCUCGGACCCAUUUGUCACAUAACACCUUAGUUCGUUAACAAAGCCCUUUCAUGAGAAUAUUAGAACUGCUGUCGAAUAAGCAUCUUAACAACCCCUUUUUGACAUACAUGCAUGCCUCCUUCUGUGAACAAUUUGAAACAUAAAAUAAAAUUUCAAUCGAUGUGAGGGUUGGAGUAUUUUAUAGCUUUUGACCUCAUUAAUUAUGAGUAAGAGAAUAUUUCUACGUCACUAAUGGUUAAAAUGAUCACUAUAUAAAGGGUAGCAAAGUAUGUUUAACAUCAAGUCAGAAAACACAAUUUUUAGGAAAUGGGAACUCGGGGACAAGCGAGGCAAUGGCCUCAAUUGUUUUGUGCUAUAGCAUUUUUGCUUAUAACCACCACCACCAAGGCAUCGGCUGAUGAUUAUGCCUCAGCACCACCACCAAAGUAUUCUUCUCCACCUCCUUACUACUACAAAUCACCACCUCCUCCUUCUCCCUCUCCACCUCCACCAUAUUAUUACAAGUCUCCCCCACCACCAUCUCCGUCUCCUCCACCACCUUACUACUACAAGUCACCACCACCACCAGUGCAUUCUCCCCCGCCACCUUAUUACUACAAAUCUCCGCCGCCACCAAAGUAUUCUCCCCCGCCACCUUAUUACUACAAAUCUCCACCGCCACCAAAGCAUUCUCCCCCACCACCUUACUACUACAAAUCUCCACCGCCACCAAAGCAUUCUCCUCCACCACCUUACUACUACAAAUCUCCACCACCACCAAAACACACCUUACUAUUAUAAAUCACCACCUCCACCAAUGAAGUCUCCACCUCCGCCAUAUUACUAUAAAUCACCACCACCACCAAAGCAUUCUCCCCCGCCACCUUACUACUACAAGUCUCCACCACCACCAAAACAUUCCCCACCACCACCUUACUACUAUAAGUCACCGCCUCCACCAGUAAAGUCUCCACCACCGCCCCCAAAGCAUUCUCCCCCACCACCUUAUUAUUACAAAUCACCACCUCCACCAGUGAAGUCUCCACCUCCGCCACCUUACUAUAAAUCACCACCACCUCCAAAGCAUUCUCCCCCUCCACCUUACUAUUAUAAAUCACCACCUCCACCAAUGAAGUCUCCACCUCCGCCAUAUUACUAUAAAUCACCACCACCACCAAAGCAUUCUCCCCCGCCACCUUACUAUUAUAGAUCUCCACCACCACCAAAGCAUUCUCCCCCACCACCUUACUACUAUAAGUCACCACCUCCACCGAAGAAAUCCCCACCUCCACCAUAUUAUUAUAAGUCGCCACCACCACCAAAGCAUUCUCCCCCACCUCCUUAUUAUUACAAAUCUCCACCACCACCAAAGUAUUCUCCACCACCACCUUACUAAUACAAAUCUCCACCAACGCUAUCUCUAUCCCCACCUCCAUCUUACAUUUAUAAAUUCCCACCUCCACCAUCUAUAUCACCUCCACCACCACCUCCAUCACUGUCACUAUUGCCUCGCUACUGUUCCAAGUCAUCACCACCUCCUGAAGACUACUAAGUUCAAUGUUCCGUCUUCAAACAAAUUUAAAAUUCAAUAAGAAUAAAUUUGUUCCUUCAGUUGCCUUUUUCAUGAAUUUUUAUGUUAAUGUUUUUACGAAUAAUUUUUAAGAAGCGUUCGGUGUAUCAUUGUCAUGUGCAAUAAAAAUUUUCUAACUUAAUGUACCCAAAAAAAAAUGUUCCACAAGAAAUAUUCUAUUGUUUUAUCACAAAUGUGUUGUGGCACAUGUAAUGCGCCUAGAUAAAGUAAUAUUAUGUCUUGAUGAACAAUCAUGCACAACAAUGAUCAUGUACAUAGUUCUUCCAAUGUCAUGAUAAUGUCCAUGCACAUAAUAACAAACUUCUUCCUUGUAAUAUCAAAGAAAAUGAAUAUACAAGCCUCUUAUUCUCUAAUCAUUCACUCAAACAACAUUGUUUUAAUUUAGGUUUUGAUCAAUCUUAAUGCUCAUAAAUGCUAACUACAAAUCAUAUACAAGAUCAACAAAAACCAUAUUUUAAAUGAAUUAGAAAAACAAACAUUAGACUUAACCAAGUAGUUAACCUUUAUUAUUCUCCUAGGUAGAUUACAAGCUAUCACUGAAAAAAAAAAUCAUCUAAAAUGGUGAACAAAUGCGCUCUAAAUCAGUUGCAUUCAUUUGUUCAGCUAAGCAAUAAAAUAACCCUUUUCCAUUUUAACUUAUAUACUUUGGCAUGGUAACUUUAAAUAACACCCUCAACUUGACAAAUUUUAAUAACCAAAGCGAUCAAUAACUGUAAAUCUUGACAAAAUUUUUUACUUUAGUUAAAGCCAUAAACAUAGUAUUAAAUAAAAUGAAAAAAAAGGCCAUAAACAUAGUGUUGAAAUACCUUUAUACUUGUGAACUAACUUUUGAUGUUGAUUAAGCUCAUGUACCCUCAACUUUUGUAUUAUGAAUAUGCUUAUGCCCUAUCUUAGGUCUCCUCUAUGAACUCCUCCAUGAACCACUUUUUUUUUUUUUUUUAAAAAAUAAAUUCAUUAUGAUACUAAGGUAUAAGCAGAAGUAAAAUUCCUUUAAUAUUAUUGUAAUCAGGAUGUGGCUACCUAGGUGAUACAUGAAUUGGUUAUUUGUACAUUUUACUACAUUUUUUUGAGUUUGCUUGCUAUUUUUCUCUUUGUUCCAAUAAUUCCCACACGAGGAUAAUCUCAUUUUAACAAAGAAAGAUACUACUGAAAUACAACAAAACAUAAAUUCUAAUAUACUAGAAAAUUUUUUUUUCUUUGCCUUUUCAUAUCUUAGAGUUAUGUUUUUAUCCUCUUGUAGUGGCAUAUAUGCAUUUUAACUAGAAUAUUCUUAUUUGAGAAUUAUUAAUAAGAGAGUGGUAGACAAAUGAUACAAAACUAUGCUGCUUCACGAUUAACAACACAUUCAAUCGAGUAACGAUAGAGAGUCAAUUCUAACACCACGAGAAAGCAAACAAAAGUUGAAAUAUUUUAGCGAAUACCUUUUAAAGUUUGAAUUAAUAAUAAAAUUGUCCCAAAAAACUGCCUUAAUGGAAUUAAUGUGGAGAUUUAGUGGUAGGGUGCAUCAAUAUCAUUUUCCAGAAAAAAAAUAGUCAAAAUAUGAAAGGUUUGUUCUGCAGGUGGUUGAUAUUGCUGUACAUUAAUAUCAAUGAUACGUACCAAAUUCUAUUAUAAAAUUCAUUAAUGUAUAAGUAGAAUAUUUAAUAAAUUAAUUCCGGGUAAAACGUCGGUGAUAUGAACAGUAGCGAAGCUGCAACCGGGUUAGCUUUUUUUUUUAAUAAAAAAAUAGUUAAUUAUAAUUUAUGAAUUUGCCUUUAUUAAUACUUAAAAAAAUAAAAAUAAAUUUAAUAGCCCACCCCGAUGCUAGCUAAGCUAAAAAUAAAAUAUAUCGAAUAAAUGGUGAAGAGAAAGCUGUAAUAAUUAUCGUAAUUACAGUGAGAAGCUGUAAUUUUCUUGAACACGCUUUGACGUACGAUUAGCAAAAAAGUCGUCUGUCUAUAAGCAAUUGGCCGUACAGCAUCUUAACUAUUCCGUUGACAUUGUAAUUAAUUAAUUGAUGACUUUUCUAUAAUUUCUUUGAACCAAAUGCAGAUAUUUAGUGGGCAACCCGCAACCCUUGCUUGGCAAAAUAUAGGAAAGAAAAACUUGAAAUUUAUAAAUGUUACAUUUUGUUUGGAUGAAUAAUUUUGAGAUAAUGUUUCAGUUUUAGAUUUUGUUACCGAUACCUAAUUAUAAUAAUAAAAAAUAUUGCAUCAUUUUUUUACCAACAGUUACAAUACAUUUUAUUUUUUUUUCUUCUCAAUAUUUAAACUCGAAUAAUCAGUUAAAAGUUGCUCGAGAAUGUUUAAAAGCCAUUUAAGUAUACCACGUCAUUCAUGUUUUGCAAUCAUUCAAUUGUUAAUAAGUUUCCCAUGUGCUGAAAAUAAAUAAAAAUGCACGUGCAUAUGUCAUAUUGUCUCCGAAACCUCACAGCGGAAUGAGUGUAGUACUUGCAAUGCAUGUACUUUAGACUUUGUAUUUCUCUUAUUUAAAUGAUCAAUAAUUUUUCUUUGUCCUUUAAUUAGACGUCAACAGUCGAAGUUGUGGGCAAGUAGUAGGCUAUAUAUAAUAAUUUCCUGGAGAUCUUCCGUCUUCUAAGACAUUGCAAAUGCCAAACGUGAUAACUAUUUUGAUAAUUCAAAUACUACAUAAAAUAUAUGAAGUGUCAGACAAGUCAAAAGAAUUGAUUCUUCACAAUUGUAUAUACGUAUACACACACUUUGCCCAAAUCCCAUUGUAUCCAGGCUGUAAUUUUUAUAUUAAACGAACAUAUUUUAUUUUAUGUCAGCAAUAUUGAUGCAGGCUGGUGGAACAACAGCUUCAGGAUGGUCAACUACCCUUCGGAUCAUUGCAAGUGGGAUGGCAUCACUUGCAAUUCAGAUGGAACCAUAAUCGGGCUAAAAUUAUCAGGGUAUGAUGUUGACUUCAAAAGGUAGUCUUCGUAAAAUUAUCAUGGUAUAAUAUACGUAUUUAUUUUCGCAUACAUAAAUAAAUAACAAAAUUGUAAUUAAUUGGAUACAACUUCAGCUUUUGGACUGGUUUGUGAAAAUCGGAAAAAUUUAAAAAUGCUCCUCUUGAACAAUCAAAAUCUACUUUAUACGUGAACAAAGGGGAUGAUUCGUAAAGAUAAUUCAUCAAUGUUUGAUUACUUUCAGAAAGAUAGACUUCAUUUGAUCUCGUCCCAAAGCAUAAUUUCACUUUGAAUUUGAAAAAGAAUAAUGAAGUUCAUACGAUGCUGUUGUGACCUUUUUUUUUUGUUUUCUUUUUUUCUCGACGUUGUUUUGUGAAUCAUAAGGGUUAAUUUAGUACGGUGGGUUCGCUUGUAUGAAGCGUACUUAUUGUACCAUUCUGUUGCAAGUAAUGAAAAAACGCUAUAAUUUUUUUUAGGUUUCUACAAGUAUUAUGUUAUCUUAUAUCUAACUGUGCAUCUCUAUUCUUUGCUCUCAGUUCAGGUUCUCUAAAAGUAUAUUAAUUAUGAAAAGCAUUAAAGGUUCCGAAACUCUAUUUUGCGGGGAAAAAGAACCUCCAUUUUUGGUUUUUUAUUAUCAUAAGAGGUUUUACUAUGCUCGUAAUAACUUAAUCGAAAUUAAACAUAUCACUGGUCUACAUUUUUUUAUCAGAUUUUGUGCCUUGCUAAUUAAGAUGAGUAUCACCAUCAAAUCAACAAGCUUAUACCUUCAAAGAAAAAUAGACUAUAAGUCGGGAGAAAGAAGAAGAAAAAAAAAAAGAAGCUUCGCAAUUUAUGCUGUUGGUUGUGAGUUCAUGAAACAAAUAAAAAUAUGAAAUCAAACAUUUAUUCAAAAUUUAAAAUUAAAAAAAAAACUCUAUAUCUACAGUAAUCUGUUCAAACCACAUAGGUGGAGCAAUAUAGUUCCAAGACGUGGUUUUAAAACAUGUCUUUGUGAUAAACAAUAUCGUGAUACUUGCGCCAAUUCCCAUGGCAAUAAUUGCCUACAUUUAUCCAAGAUCCAUGGCCAGGUUUAGAAUGUGCUAGUCUUCUUUCACUUUCAUAAAUAACCACUACUAGGUAAUCAGAGUGUCGGUCUAAAUUUUUCGGAGAUACAACGUCAAUGUAUGUGCCCGGAGUUGAAGCUGAACGCGCUUAAAUAUGUUCGGAAUUUGAAGUUGAACGCCUGGAAAAGGAUGCAGACUGAAGAAAGGCAAUUCCUGGAAUUUGUCUUUGGUAAGAAAACAUGGCUGCUUAUGCCCUUUGAAAGACUGAAGAAACCAAAUUGAUUAUUGCUGCAAUUUAGUGGCACAUGUACGAGGAGAGGCAUCCAAUUAAACUUGUUCAUAAAAGUAUUGCUGAUAGUUGCAGCCGAUCUCCAGACAAAAUCUUCGUACAAUUUUAUCCGCCAGCAAUUUCGACCAAGAGACCUUGAUGCAGUUCAGACCAAUUCGCCAGUUGAACAUCAAGUUGCCUAGGCAUUGAGAAUUAGGUCAAUAAAAUAUAUCCUGGGUCACUUACAAAAGAUGAAAUAAGUGAAAAAGGAAAGAUGACGUAAUAAUUUCUUAGUGAGAAAAGUUAGUUAAUUUUCAAUUGCUUUCAUUGUUUUGAUAAUUUUCAAAACAUUUCAUUGCUUUCAUUGCGUAAUUAAGCUUUUUUUGCUUCAAAAUAUUUCAAAUUGUGUUUGUGGGACUACUAAACAAUUAGGACACAACAAUGUUUCGUUCUGGUCUUUUUUUUUUUUUACUUUUUAAUUUAUUUUAAGAAAAUCUUUGUCCAUCUCUCAUCCUGCCAAAUAUAUCGUCUCGUCUUGUUAUCUAGAAUAAUUCUUCAUGCAUCAAUGAGUUUUGACAAAUUUUUAUCUUUUAAAAGUUGUUGUAAUUCAAUAUAGCUAAAAUCUUAAAUACAUACAUGUAGAAUAAUCUAAGCAUUACCUUAUUCGGGGAAAAUCGAGAUUAGAAUCAAUCAAAGCAAUGAUACCUUAUAUCAGUGAGAUAUAUGCAAGACUCACCCAUUGGUACAAACGAAAAUGAUCAAAGUGGAAGCAAAAAUGGAAUCCUCAAAUGUGGUGAUAAUUUAGAUGAUCUCCACUCUCCAUUUGGUUUCAUCUAAUAAGUUAGUGUUUAAUUAAGAAUUUAUUACUCAUUUUAUUAUGAUAUUAAUCAACUGCCGUCCCUUCCAUUAGUUCAUUAUUUUUGAUGGAUUACGAAAGACAGACAAUAAAAUUCUCCAAAACUGUUGUAAGAGUAAUAUUGUAAAAGUUACAUAAAAGUGAGGAUAAGGAUAAUUUGAGGUAUGUUUCAAGAUAUAAAGAUUAAAUAAAUUCUUAACUCAAAAUAAAGAGAUUUAUUUUUUUUAAAAGAGAUUAAAAUGUCAUGAUAAAUAAAUAAGGGAGGUGAUAUUCUGGGCUCUCCCCUGGCUUUUUGUGAUAACAUCUUAAAUUAAUAUAAAUAGUUAAAAUUUUAUUAAAAAAUAAAUUUUUACCUAAUACUCUUUGACAUAGCUAGGAAUAUAGCCUACUUGCAAGAGACUUACAUUCGUUUGCACAGCCCUUUCGUGAAUAUAAAAUUGCUGCCGAAUAAGCAUCUAAUUAAAAGAAUUAGGAAUUUGUCAACGGUAUAAAUUAAAUAUAAAAAACGAGUAAAAGAAUUUGUCAAUGGGAUAUGGGGGGCUAUGGCUUCAAUCGUAGGGGUGGGCAAAUUUCGGAUUCCGAAUCCGAUCGGAUUUUGGAUAAUUCGGAUUGGGAAAAAAUCCAUCCAAAUUCAAUCCGAACCUUAAAUCUGUUUCGAUCCGAGAUAAUUUCGGAUCCGGAUCAGAUUCGGAUGAGUUUGAAUUUCAGAUUAUAUUUCAAGUUCGGAUUAUAUUUUGGAUUCGGAUUAAUUCGGGUUUGGGACCUUUUUACAAUUCUCACAAAAAAAUUAUGAAAUUUAUAAUUAAUGAAAAAUAAUUUCCAUGAUGCUGUCAACAAUAAUUAAUAUUUUGAAAACGCAAUAACGGAAUUUUCAAAAAAAAGAAAAAGAAAACACAGGAACGGUAUUGAUAAAGAAUUUUCAUUAGCCAUUUGUGACUGCUAACUAAAUUGUAACAACUAAGUAAAAUAUAAUAAUAAUAAUAAUACAUGCGGGUAUAUUCAAAGCAACUAAAUCACUUGCGAAUGAUCAAGACAAAUCGUAUAAACAAGUAAAAAAUUCAAAGUUUCAAACGCAAAUCGUCGGGGGCUAUCGGAUUAGUGGAUUACCAUUAACAAGACGAGGUUUAUGUCGGUGUGAGUUGCUCAUUGUGGGUCUGGAUGAUGUCGCGAUGGCUGGGUUUGUGCCAACUAUGAUCCAGCUAGGUUUGUAUCGAAUCUGAUCUCGUCUAGAGGACGUUGUGGCGGCUGGGUUUGUGUCGAAUUCAUUCGGUUUGUCUCGUCGGCGACAUGGUUGUUGGUUGGCUCGUCAGGUUGUGGCCCGUGGGUGUGGUGUGGUUUGUUGUCGUGGAUUGACUUAUCAAAGGGCGUGCGACGAUGGUGUGUGGUUUUGUCAUUUGGAAAUUGAGUUUUGAUUUUUCAUUUUCGUUUUUUUAAAAAAAAAUUUUUGGAUUAUUCGGAUUGAACUGAAUCUUAUCCGAUCCAAAUCAAAUCCGAUCAGAUUACAAAAAUUUCAUCCGAUUGGAUUUUAAAGCAAAUCCAAAUCCGAUCCGAACAAAUUCGGAUCGAAUUGGAUUAGAUCGGAUCUAUCCGAAUCUGAUCCAAUGUCCACCCCUAUUCAAUCGGUUUCUGCAAUGGUUAAUGGCAUAUUUUUGCUCAUCGUCACCACUGCAUUCACUAAUCAUUUGUGCACGUGAAUUGUUUUUGAGCAUUUAUUUUGCCUUCGUUAAAAUUGGGCAUGUAAAAAUUUCAUGAAAAAUGGCCAAAGUGGCUGGCUAGGUGAUAUAAUGGAUGGUUACAACUCAAACCUAGCAAUAAAUGAAUGUCCGACAAGCAUUCAAAUGAAUGUAUAAAACCAAUGAGAUUAGAAUAUCUAUUUAUAAUAGACUAAUUAAAAUACGAUUCAAAUAUAAGGUAAAUAGUCUCUCUAUUAAUUUUUUAUUGUUUCAGGUAGGGUUGUCGAGCCUUUGUCCGGGCUUCUGUAAGCCCAUUUCCAGCCCUCUUAUAUGAUUGGAUUAGAUCAGGCUCGGCCCACCAGGCCGGGCUAAAUCUUGAGCUCUUUUUAAAUAAAAAAAAGUUGAAUUUUAAGUUUUUGAAGUUAAUAUAUAUACACACACACUUGUACUUAAAUAAUUUAUAAAUUUUUUAAAAGCCAAAUAAUAAAAAUAUUGACAUGUAAAAGUACAAUUUUUUUUUCAUGUGGAAUAAUUAUCUCAUUUCUACCUUUUUGGUCCUAUAGAUAUUUCCUCAUUUCAUCUUUGGUAUUAGAGCAGUAGUAAAAAGACACACGAUUAAAGAUAAAUGUGACAUUUUUACCGACAAAUUAACUAUUUGGAUCUAAGAUCUAGCUCUAAUGGUAAAGACUAGUUUUUAUAGAAUUCAGGUCCUGGGUUUGACUUCCAAUUGCGUGGGUAAGCUAAUAAUAAUAAUAAUAAUAAUAACAAAUUAACUAGUUUUAAUUUGCAAAGGUCUUAGAUAAUCAAUUCGUUUGUAAAAACAUCAAAUUUAUUUUCAGUAAUGAAAUUUUCAAGUCACUGGUUUUAGCACUAGGAAUGAAUUAAAUAGAGUAAUGAUAAACAUCUUAAAAUUUUAUCCCAAAUGAUAUGACAUGUAAUGUGUCAUUUAUUAAGUGGUUGGUGAUUUUUCAUAAAUUUUAAGUCGAUUAAUUAUAUUAUUUCACCAACCAAUAAAUGAACAUCACAUCAUUUGAGAAUGAAUUUUAAGGUAAAAUUUUAGAUAUAUAUCAUUACUCAAUUAUUUUUUAUAGUAUAAAAUCUAAUAGGGACCAAAAAUAUAAAAACCAAUUAAGAAAAAAAAAGUCAAUUCCUAAUUAGAAGAAUGAAAGUGUCAUUCUCCUAUAAUCAUUUCUCAAGUUUUUAUAUAAAUUUAUUAAUGCAAAAUUUUAAAAGAAAAUCGGUACCUAAAACUAACGCCUUUGACAAUGCUGCCAAUAUCACUCACAACUUACAAGAAUAAAGAAUUUGUAUUAAAUUUAUUAAUGUUCUCAAAGAAUUUUUAGUUUUGACUUUACAUUCUCAGACCCAUUUGUCACAUAACAUCUUAGCUGAUUAACAAAGCCCUUUCGUGAGAAUAUUAAAACUGCUCUCGAAUAAGCAUCUUAACAACCCCGUUUUUGACAUACAUGCAUGCCUCCUCAUGUCAGCAAAUUUGAAACAUAAAAGAUAAUUUCAAUCGAUGUGAGAGUUGGGAGUAUUUUAUAGCUUUUGACCUCAUUAAUUAUGAGUAAGAGAAUAUUUCUACGUCACUAAUGAUUAAAAUGAUCACUAUAUAUAUAAAGGGUAGCAAAGUAUGUUUAACAUCAAGUCAGAAAACACAAUUUUUAGGAAAUGGGAACUCGGGGACAGGCGAGGCAAUGGCCUCAAUUGUUUUGUGCUAUAGCAUUUUUGCUUAUAGCCACCACGACCAAGGCAUCGGCUGAUGAUUAUGCCUCAGCACCACCACCAAAGUAUUCUUCUCCACCUCUUUACUACUACAAAUCACCACCUCCUCCUUCUCCCUCUCCACCUCCACCAUAUUAUUACAAGUCUCCCCCACCACCAUCUCCGUCUCCUCCACCACCUUACUACUACACGUCACCACCGCCACCAGUGCAUUCUCCCCCGCCACCUUACUACUACAAGUCACCACCGCCACCAGUGCAUUCUCCUCCGCCACCUUACUACUACAAAUCUCCGCCGCCACCAAAGCAUUCUCCCCCGCCACCUUACUACUAUAAGUCACCACCACCACCAGUGCAUUCUCCCCCGCCACCUUAUUACUACAAAUCUCCGCCGCCACCAAAGUAUUCUCCCCCGCCACCUUAUUAUUACAAAUCUCCGCCGCCACCAAAGCAUUCUCCUCCACCACCUUACUACUACAAAUCUCCACCACCACCAAACCAUUCUCCCCCACCACCUUACUACUAUAAGUCACCACCACCACCAAAGCAUUCUCCCCCACCUCCUUAUUACUACAAAUCUCCACCACCACCAAUGUAUUCUCCACCACCACCUUACUAAUACAAAUCUCCGCCAUCGCCAUCUCUAUCCCCGCCUCCAUCUUACAUUUAUAAAUUCCCACAACCAUCAUCUAUACCACCUCCACCAUGACCUCUAUCACGGUCAUUAUUGCUUCCUUACUACUCCAAGUCACCGCCAACUCCUUUAUCUCCACCUUCACCGUAUUACUACAAUCACCCCCACCUCCCAAAGACUACUACGUUCAGUAUCCCUUCUUGAAACAAGUUUAAAAUUCAAUAAGAAUAAAUUUGUUCCUUUGGUUGCCUUUUUUUUUAAUUUUUUACUAAGUUCAAUGCCCCUUCUUGAAACAAGUUUCAAAUUCAAUAAGAAUAAAUUUGUUCCUUUGGUUGCCUUUUUAUGCUUUUUUGUGUCAAUUUUUUUACAAAUAAUUUGUAAGAAGCGUUCAGUGCAUCAUUUGUCAUGUGCAAUAAAAAUCUUCUAACUUAAUGUAUCCCCAAAAAAAAAAAAAAAAAUUGUUCUAUAAGAAUUAUUCUAUUGUUUUAUCACAAAUGUGUUGUGGCGCAUAUAAUGCUCCCGGAUGAAGUAAUAUUAUGUCUUGAUGAACAAUCAUGCACAACAAUGAUCAUGUACAUAGUUCUUCCAACGUCAUGAUAAUGUCCAUGCACAUAAUAACAAACUUCUUCCUCAUAAUAUCAAAGAAAAUGAAGAUACAAGCCUCUUAUUCUUUAGUCAUUCACUCAAACAACAUUGUUUUAACUUAGGUUUUGAUCAAUCUUAAUGCUAAUAAAUGCUAACUACAUAUCAAAUACAAGAUCAACAAAAACCAGAUUUUAAAUUAAUCAGAAAAACAAACACUAGACUUAACCAAGCAGUUAAGCUUUAUUAUUCUCCCUCAGUAAAGGAUACAAAGAUGUAGGUGGAUUACAAGCUAUCACUGAAAAAAUAGAAAUCAUCUAAAAUGGUGAACAAAUGAGCUCUAAAUCUGUUGCACUCAUUUGUUCAACUAAGCAAUGAAAUUACCCUUUUCUAUUUUAACUGCUUGUCUACUUUAACACGGCAACUUUAAAUAACAACCUUCAACUUGAAAAAUUUGAGUAACCAGAGCCAUCAAUAACGGUAAAUCUUGACAAAAAUUUUAGUUUAAUUAAGGCCAUAAACAUAAUAUUAAAUAAUAAAAAAAAAAGGCCAUAAACAUAGUGUUGAAAUACCAUUAUACCUGUGAACGAACUUUUGAUGGUUAUUAAACUCAUGAACCCUCAAUUUUUGUAUUAUGAAUAUGCUCAUGGCCUAUCUUAGGUCUCCUCUAUGAACCACUUUUUUUUUAAAAAAAUUAUAUUCAUUAUGAUACUAAGGUAUAAGUAGAAGUAAAGUUCUUUUAAUAUUUUUGUAACCAGGAUGUGACAACCUAGGUGAUACGUGAAUUGGUUAUUUGCACAUUUUGCUACAUUUUUGUGAGUUUGCUUGCUGGUUUUCUCUUUGUUCCAACAAUUCACACAUAGGAUAAUCUCAUUUUAACAAAGAAAGAUACCACUAAAAUACAACAAAACAUGAUCAAUUCUAAUAUACUAGAAAACUUUUUUUUUUUGUUUGCCUUUUCAUAUAUUAGAGUUGUGUUUUUGUUAUCUUAUAGUGGCAUCUAUGCAGUUUAACUAAAUGAGAAUAUUCUCAUUUGAGAAUUAUUAAUAAGAGAGUAGUAGACAAAUGAUACCCAACUAUACUGCUUCACUAUUAACAACACAUCCAAUUGAGUAAUGAUAGAGAGUCAAUUCUAUCACCAAAUGAAAGCAAACAAAAGCUGAAAUAUUUUAGUGAAUAUCUUUAAAGUUUGAAUUAAUAAUAAAAUUGUCCCAAAAAACUGUCUUAAUGGAACUAAUGUGCGAUUUAUUUGUAGGGUGAAUAAAUAUCAUUUUCCAGAAAAAAAUAUAGUCAAAAUAUGGAAAGCUUGUUCUGCAAGUGGUUGAUAUUGAUGUACAUUAAUGUCAAAGAUACAUUAAGUGCAUGCCAAAUUCUAUUAUAAAAUUUAUAAAUGUAUAAGUAGAAGAUUUUAUAAAUUAAUUCCUGUAAAACGUCGGUUAUAUGAAUAAAUGGUGAAGAGAAAGCUGUAAUAAUUAUCGUAAUUACAAUUUUCUUGAGCACGCUUUGACGUACGAUUAACAAAAAAGGUCUGUAUAUGAGCAAUCGGCCGUACAUUAUCUUAACCACCUGAUUUUGUUUUUUUUUUUUGUAAUUUCAAUCUUGGCCGUUGGAGUCAAUGAAAAGAUCGUUCAAAUGGUAGAGAUUUGUCUAUUUGAUUAUUAACAUUAUGCUUCCCGAUGGUUAUCAAAAACCCAAACAAAUUAAAGAGUUAAAACUUUUAGCACAUAAGUCCGAAUUGUUUCAAAUUUAUGUUGUUUAAUCACUAGUGAGUCUCAAAAAAUAAAUUUAUUUUAAUAUUAUAUAUUUUAUUUAAAAGAAUUAAUUUUUUAUAUCAUUUAUUUUAUUAAAAAUAAAUAUUAUUGAAUACUAAUUAUUCUCAUUUUAUUUAAUAUUAUUUAGUUAUAGGCUUAUUAUUAUAUUUAAUUGUUCAAAAAACUAAAAAAAUUUAAAUAAAAUAAAGUAAUUGAUGGUUGUCGAAGCCAACAAAAAUAAAUUCCUACUCUAAAUAAAUUGUGUAUAGUGAUUGAGCAGGGUCGUGUCCACAGAGAUCGGUAAUUAUUUAAAUCCUUUUGAAACGUAAAACGUAAAAUGGGGGAAUUGUUGACAAUAAUAAAAAUCAAAUUAAAAUAACAAGAAUGCAAAUUAAAGUUGUAAUUCAAAUUGGAGAAAGCUCUGGUUGAAGGAAUUAACUCAGCUUGAUUCGACUACUGAUCAUUGAUUCAAAUAUAGAUUAUUAUUACUCAUGAAUAGACCGGUUAUAGCUACUGAGACCCUCUAAUAGCCAAUCUCUCCUUAACUAGUCGAUAACCAAGGUACGACCGUUGGAUAUUCCCUAAUCAAUAGACAACCCUAGAUACGAUCAUAGAAUUUAAUCAAUUGACAGCCUGAAAAACCAGAAAGACCCAAAUCCUAAUCAACACAUAUGAUGAUUCAUUUAAAUUAAAUUGUUUAUUCUCACAACACAACUCUCUGCUAUGUCAUUUGUCACAAACAUUAAAUUCUUCAUACGAUGAAUCCCUUAAUUGACAAUAGAUUAAGUUGAUAAUUAAAUAGUGGCCAACUGCUGUACGGCCAAGGCGGAUGUACGGUACAGCAGAAUACAUUCCCUUACUCAACUAACAAAGUCUUUCAUUUAUCUGAAAACAGUUCCAAUUUUGAAAUAUCAGUGUCAAACUUUUCCCAGCAACAUAUUUAUCAUCUCUCCACAUUAUCCUUAACUGACAGCAGCUUGGAAGAUCUUCAAUCAGCAAGUUCAGAAAGCAAUGAACAAGUACCUUCUGUUUCUGCACACACAAAUAAUCUGCAUCAACAAGAGCAUUCUNNNNNNNNNNNNNNNNNNNNNNNNNNNNNNNNNNNNNNNNNNNNNNNNNNNNNNNNNNNNNNNNNNNNNNNNNNNNNNNNNNNNNNNNNNNNNNNNNNNNNNNNNNNNNNNNNNNNNNNNNNNNNNNNNNNNNNNNNNNNNNNNNNNNNNNNNNNNNNNNNNNNNNNNNNNNNNNNNNNNNNNNNNNNNNNNNNNNNNNNNNNNNNNNNNNNNNNNNNNNNNNNNNNNNNNNNNNNNNNNNNNNNCAGCAGAAUAAAAUAUUAUUAAUUUUAUUUUUUUUAUUUUGCUAUCUUACUAAUAAUUGGCAAUAAUAAUAAUAAUAAUAAUAAUAAUAAUAAUAUCUUUAAGGUUAAUGAUUUUAUUUUCUAAUUAAUAUGGAUAAUUUUAGAUUUUUAUAAUAUAUAUGACGAUAAACACGAAAUUAAGUAUAAAACUAAUUCUCAAAAUCCGAUUUUAAAAAUCUACUUUUUCCCUACUUUUUAAAAUCUUCAGUAAGAUAAGGUAAAUUUACCAAAAGUGAUUUCUGAAAAUAUUUAUCAAAUAAUAAAAUUAAUUUGUAACUUUUCAAAAUAACUUUUAAAUCUCGCAAAAAAAAAUCCUAAAUGAGUCCUAAGUACCUAACUUUAUGACGGUCAACAAAUAUGGUAUAAAAGUCUUCUACACCUACUGGGCAUUUGAAUGGGCCAUCUGUCUUAGCUCUUACCUCUUAAAAUGGGCUAAAAAUCAGAGAGUCAGUUAACUAAUAUGGGCUAAAAUUUGGGUACACCUCUCGGGCAUGUUAAUGGGCCAUCAUCUUUCACAGGUUUCUAAAGGGUAAAGGCUUUCUGUCUCCCAAGACUUCGACUAGUGAAAUUUAAUCGAUAUAAAUAUGUAGCUACCUAUAUUUAUAUAAGAAAAUGAUGUUCUCAUAAAUUUGCGUGCAAAGAUUUGCACAAAACGGUGCGUUUUGUGCAGCUUUAAAAAUGCUCUUCGUACGUGCACCAAACAACACACAAGCACGCCAAUUCACAACAUCAUUUUCCCACUCGCGUCUGCCUCCUUUCACUGCAACAAAAACCCAGCAGCUUCGUUCUCCACACAGCAAGAAGUCUCCUUAUUAAUAUAAUAUUAUAUAAUAAACUCAACAGAAGUCUCCUUUCUUCCUCCAUUUUUCCUCACGAGAUAGCUCCGAUCUCUCUCCCUCCGUCCUCCUUUCUUCCUUACAAGACAGCUCGGGUCUCUCUCUCUGGCCUCCUUUCUCCCUCACAAGAUAGUUCGGAUCUCUCUUUCCAGUCUCCACGCCGCUAAUAGUCCCAGUUCUAACCUCUCUCGCCCCGCAGCAACCAUAAGAUCUCUCUCUCACCCGUUUCAAUUCAUUGCUCUAAUUGAAAUCUUUAACUCGUUUAGGACAUUGUGCUGAAUUACCUAUGGAUGGUGGUGGUCUUAUGCUUGAGUGUUGUAAAUUAGAAUCAAAUUAUGCAAAACCUGAUGCCUUUGGGAAUCAUGUUUAUUUCAAGCUUCUAUGUUGUGAUUUGAUUAUUUGAUGAAGCACCUGGAAAAUGUAGUUUGCUCCCUCAAAUUAUUUUACUCUGUUGAAUAAAUUGUAUUUGCCAUUAUUUGAAAAGAAUUUAAAAAAAAAUUACAGCCCCGAAACAUUGAGCUUAUGCUAUAAUUUAAGCAUCUCCCUCAUUUAUAGCACAUUUAUUUUCAUAAUUUACGCGACAAUGGAGAACGGAGCCGAGACUGUUAGUGGCAUGGGGAUGAGAGAGAAAAAUAUGAGCUGUUUCGUGAGGUUUUGUUAGGUUUCGUGAGGGAGAAAGGAGAUGGGAGAGAGAGACGCUGAGUUUUGUUGCUCCCCUCACUUGUGUGUGUUUGGUGUUAAAACUUUGCAGCAAAGAGUGGCUUUUAUACUUUGCACAAAACGCACCGUUUUGUGCAAAGUUUUGUGCAAAGUGUUGUGAGAACAUCAUUUUCCAUUUAAAUAUUGGCUUUUCAUUUUUUUUCAAAUGAGAAUUGAUCCAGUGUGCACCAUCAUGCACAGCACAAGGUAUAUUUUCAUCAGUGGGCGCUAGGUCUCAUAGAUUGGUUCUCUCUAAUAAGAACAUGUCGUCUGUUGUCCCGCGCUAGAUCGAAUGCGUUUUCAAAUUUGUCAAAUUACAUUUUGAGCAUGUCAUAGUGGACGUUAUUACAAAGUCGUCAAUCUCAAUACAAUAAUCAUGACAUCAGGUUUUGAGAAUGUGAAUAAAACUCAUAUUUAUUUGAUAAAAUAUAAUUUAAAAAUAAAAAUAAAAUAUGUAUAUUCUAUAUAAUUUGAUAAUAAAAAAUAGAAAUCUCAUUUUUAUAUUGGGUUGGGAAUGAGGAUUCCUAUUUCUUGAACUGACUUUUAUAUCUCUCUAUUUUUUUCAUAUUUUUUAAAUUAUUCUCGUUUAAAUCACAAUUAAUUUGAUUACUGCUGUACGGCCAAGGCGGAUGCAAUAGAAUUGCACCUACAAAAGUAAAACAUAAGUAAAUCACUAUUAUUAAGUGCAAAACAUUGAUAUUAAGGGAAGUAAAUAAUGCAAAACUAGUGCAUAAAUUGCACUCUAACAGUAAUCAGUAAUCAGCAUUAAAAAUUAAAUUAAAUUAAAUUUUUUUGUUUUUAAUAUUAUUUAGUUAUAGACUUAUUAUUAUAUUUAUUCGUUCAUAAAACUAAAUAAUGUUAAAUCAAAUAAAAUAAUCAGGAAUGGUUCUUAAAAAAUUAAUAUUAUUUAUUUUAUUUUAUUUAAUAUUAUUUAGUCAUAGCCUAUUAUUCUGUUUAUUUUUUGAAAAUUAAAUAAUAUUAAAUAAAAAUCCCCCCUUUUCACAAUAGAUUCCUCCCUUCAAUACUCUCUCUCUCCUCUCUUUUAGAAUUCUAUUUAAAAUAAAAUACUAAUAUCUGAAAUAUUAAAUUCGUAAUUACAAAAAUAACCAAAAAUACAAAAUACGUUAAACUAAAAACUGCAGGUCCGCAGUUGACAGCACGCGCCCACGCCUUAUCAACAAAGUUCUUCUGACGCUCAUAAUUUCUCCAAGAGAACAAUCAUCCUUAAACAUCAUCUUAUAGCUCAAUUUUAUCAUCAAUCAAUAGAAUUACACCUACAAAAGUAAAACACAAGUAAAACAUUAUUAUUAAGUGCAAAACAUCGAUAUUAAGGGAAGUAAACAAUGCAAAACUAGUGCAUAAAUUGCACUCUAACAAAUUCCCCCACACCAAGAUGAUGCUUGUCCUCAAGCAUAUAACUCAAGACUAAUCUCAAAUCUCCACUAAAUUCUCAUCUCAACUCAUCCAAAAAUAAUUUUAAGCAAGCAUACCUCAAGAAAUUAAGUCGAUCAACAUUCGAGAGACAAGGAUUUUUAAAGCAUAGAAUCUCAUAAGAUAGAAUAAGAACAUUCAACCACCAAGAAGAUCCAUUCAAAAUUCAAGUGCAACAAGAUGUAAUAGCCCUCUCAAUAACUUCACUCCAUGCACUCAAAGUGUUUAGGGUAUCAUUUAUGCACUCAAAUCAAAUCAAAGAAUGCUAUUACCAUAAGCUUGCUCAUAUAUCACAUCUCAAUCCACAAAACAUGAAUAAAAUGAAAAAAUCUAAGGGUCUUAAAAGGGUUGUAAUGGGGUUAAAUAGGUUAAAUGAAAAAGAAAGGUCUAUGAAAGAAAAAGAGAUCAAAAUGAGAAGAAUGAACUCAUUGAAUGAACUUAUGAUAUCAAAAUGCUCCUUGGCCGUACAGCAGGAAUGGUUCUUAAAAAAUUAAUAUUAUUUAUUUUAUUUUAUUUAAUAUUAUUUAGUCAUAGCCUAUUAUUCUGUUUAUUUUUUGAAAAUUAAAUAAUAUUAAAUAAAAUAGAAUAGAAAAUGUGAGUCCUUAAAAAUAAAAAUUAUUUUUAAUAUUAUUUAUUUUAUUUAAAAGAAUAAAUUUUUUAAUAUUUUUAUUUUAUUAAAAAAUAUUAUUUAAUAUUAUCUAGUCAUAGGCUUAUUAUUAUAUUUCUUCUUUUAGAAAGUUAAAUAGUAUUAAAUGAAAUAAAAUUACAUUUUAGAAGGUCAUUAGCCAAAGCACAUAAACUUAUAAACAAAUGGAAAUAAAAAAGGUAAAUAAUAUUCAAUAAAAUAAAAUUACAUUUUAAAAGGUCACCAACCAAAGCACAUAAUAUUAUAACAAAAAUGUAAAUAAAAAAGAAAGUAAGAGAUUCAAUGAAAUUUAACAUCACAAAAGACAAUUUCAAAAAUUGGGGGUAGCUUGCAACUGUUGCAAAGUGGCUGGUUCCAUAAUUUUGAGAUAAUGUUUCGGUUUCAAAUAUUGUUAUCGAUACCUAAUUAUAAGUAAUAAAAAAAUAUUGUAUAAUUUUUUUACCAACAUUUACAAUACAUUUUAUUUUGAUUUCUGAAAAAAAUAGAUAAAACACAAAUUAAUUAUUUUAACCCUCUAUUCUCUCAAUAUUUAAACUCGAAUAAUCAGUUAAAAGUUGCUCGAGAAUGUUUAAAAGCCAUUUAAGUAUACCACGUCAUUCAUGUUUUGCAAUCAUUCAAUUGUUAAUAAGUUUCCCAUGUGCUGAAAAUAAAUAAAAAUGCACGUGCAUAUGUCAUAUUGUCUCCGAAACCUCACAGCGGAAUGAGUGUAGUACUUGCAAUGCAUGUACUUUAGACUUUGUAUUUCUCUUAUUUAAAUGAUCAAUAAUUUUUCUUUGUCCUUUAAUUAGACGUCAACAGUCGAAGUUGUGGGCAAGUAGUAGGCUAUAUAUAAUAAUUUCCUGGAGAUCUUCCGUCUUCUAAGACAUUGCAAAUGCCAAACGUGAUAACUAUUUUGAUAAUUCAAAUACUACAUAAAAUAUAUGAAGUGUCAGACAAGUCAAAAGAAUUGAUUCUUCACAAUUGUAUAUACGUAUACACACACUUUGCCCAAAUCCCAUUGUAUCCAGGCUGUAAUUUUUAUAUUAAACGAACAUAUUUUAUUUUAUGUCAGCAAUAUUGAUGCAGGCUGGUGGAACAACAGCUUCAGGAUGGUCAACUACCCUUCGGAUCAUUGCAAGUGGGAUGGCAUCACUUGCAAUUCAGAUGGAACCAUAAUCGGGCUAAAAUUAUCAGGGUAUGAUGUUGACUUCAAAAGGUAGUCUUCGUAAAAUUAUCAUGGUAUAAUAUACGUAUUUAUUUUCGCAUACAUAAAUAAAUAACAAAAUUGUAAUUAAUUGGAUACAACUUCAGCUUUUGGACUGGUUUGUGAAAAUCGGAAAAAUUUAAAAAUGCUCCUCUUGAACAAUCAAAAUCUACUUUAUACGUGAACAAAGGGGAUGAUUCGUAAAGAUAAUUCAUCAAUGUUUGAUUACUUUCAGAAAGAUAGACUUCAUUUGAUCUCGUCCCAAAGCAUAAUUUCACUUUGAAUUUGAAAAAGAAUAAUGAAGUUCAUACGAUGCUGUUGUGACCUUUUUUUUUUGUUUUCUUUUUUUCUCGACGUUGUUUUGUGAAUCAUAAGGGUUAAUUUAGUACGGUGGGUUCGCUUGUAUGAAGCGUACUUAUUGUACCAUUCUGUUGCAAGUAAUGAAAAAACGCUAUAAUUUUUUUUAGGUUUCUACAAGUAUUAUGUUAUCUUAUAUCUAACUGUGCAUCUCUAUUCUUUGCUCUCAGUUCAGGUUCUCUAAAAGUAUAUUAAUUAUGAAAAGCAUUAAAGGUUCCGAAACUCUAUUUUGCGGGGAAAAAGAACCUCCAUUUUUGGUUUUUUAUUAUCAUAAGAGGUUUUACUAUGCUCGUAAUAACUUAAUCGAAAUUAAACAUAUCACUGGUCUACAUUUUUUUAUCAGAUUUUGUGCCUUGCUAAUUAAGAUGAGUAUCACCAUCAAAUCAACAAGCUUAUACCUUCAAAGAAAAAUAGACUAUAAGUCGGGAGAAAGAAGAAGAAAAAAAAAAAGAAGCUUCGCAAUUUAUGCUGUUGGUUGUGAGUUCAUGAAACAAAUAAAAAUAUGAAAUCAAACAUUUAUCCAAAAUUUAAAAUUAAAAAAAAACUCUAUAUCUACAGUAAUCUGUUCAAACCACAUAGGUGGAGCAAUAGAGUUCCAAGACGUGGUUUUAAAACAUGUCUUUGUGAUAAACAAUAUCGUGAUACUUGCGCCAAUUCCCAUGCCAAUAAUUGCCUACAUUUAUCCAAGAUCCAUGGCCAGGUUUAGAAUGUGCUAGUCUUCUUUCACUUUCAUAAAUAACCACUACUAGGUAAUCAGAGUGUCGGUCUAAAUUUUUCGGAGAUACAACGUCAAUGUAUGUGCCCGGAGUUGAAGCUGAACGCGCUUAAAUAUGUUCGGAAUUUGAAGUUGAACGCCUGGAAAAGGAUGCAGACUGAAGAAAGGCAAUUCCUGGAAUUUGUCUUUGGUAAGAAAACAUGGCUGCUUAUGCCCUUUGAAAGACUGAAGAAACCAAAUUGAUUAUUGCUGCAAUUUAGUGGCACGUGUACAAGGAGAGGCAUCCGAUUAAACUUGUUCAUAAAAUUAUUGCUGAUAGUUGCAGCCGAUCUCCAUGAAGUACAAACCCAACGCAAAGAAACAAAGUGUUCGUACAAUUUUAUCCGCCAGCAAUUUCGACCAAGAGACCUUGAUGCAGUUCAGACCAAUUCGCCAGUUGAACAUCAAGUUGCCUAGGCAUUGAGAAUUAGGUCAAUAAAAUAUAUCCUGGGUCACUUACAAAAGAUGAAAUAAGUGAAAAAGGAAAGAUGACGUAAUAAUUUCUUAGUGAGAAAAGUUAGUUAAUUUUCAAUUGCUUUCAUUGUUUUGAUAAUUUUCAAAACAUUUCAUUGCUUUCAUUGCGUAAUUAAGCUUUUUUUGCUUCAAAAUAUUUCAAAUUGUGUUUGUGGGACUACUAAACAAUUAGGACACAACAAUGUUUCGUUCUGGUCUUUUUUUUUUUUUACUUUUUAAUUUAUUUUAAGAAAAUCUUUGUCCAUCUCUCAUCCUGCCAAAUAUAUCGUCUCGUCUUGUUAUCUAGAAUAAUUCUUCAUGCAUCAAUGAGUUUUGACAAAUUUUUAUCUUUUAAAAGUUGUUGUAAUUCAAUAUAGCUAAAAUCUUAAAUACAUACAUGUAGAAUAAUCUAAGCAUUACCUUAUUCGGGGAAAAUCGAGAUUAGAAUCAAUCAAAGCAAUGAUACCUUAUAUCAGUGAGAUAUAUGCAAGACUCACCCAUUGGUACAAACGAAAAUGAUCAAAGUGGAAGCAAAAAUGGAAUCCUCAAAUGUGGUGAUAAUUUAGAUGAUCUCCACUCUCCAUUUGGUUUCAUCUAAUAAGUUAGUGUUUAAUUAAGAAUUUAUUACUCAUUUUAUUAUGAUAUUAAUCAACUGCCGUCCCUUCCAUUAGUUCAUUAUUUUUGAUGGAUUACGAAAGACAGACAAUAAAAUUCUCCAAAACUGUUGUAAGAGUAAUAUUGUAAAAGUUACAUAAAAGUGAGGAUAAGGAUAAUUUGAGGUAUGUUUCAAGAUAUAAAGAUUAAAUAAAUUCUUAACUCAAAAUAAAGAGAUUUAUUUUUUUUAAAAGAGAUUAAAAUGUCAUGAUAAAUAAAUAAGGGAGGUGAUAUUCUGGGCUCUCCCCUGGCUUUUUGUGAUAACAUCUUAAAUUAAUAUAAAUAGUUAAAAUUUUAUUAAAAAAUAAAUUUUUACCUAAUACUCUUUGACAUAGCUAGGAAUAUAGCCUACUUGCAAGAGACUUACAUUCGUUUGCACAGCCCUUUCGUGAAUAUAAAAUUGCUGCCGAAUAAGCAUCUAAUUAAAAGAAUUAGGAAUUUGUCAACGGUAUAAAUUAAAUAUAAAAAACGAGUAAAAGAAUUUGUCAAUGGGAUAUGGGGGGCUAUGGCUUCAAUCGUAGGGGUGGGCAAAUUUCGGAUUCCGAAUCCGAUCGGAUUUUGGAUAAUUCGGAUUGGGAAAAAAUCCAUCCAAAUUCAAUCCGAACCUUAAAUCUGUUUCGAUCCGAGAUAAUUUCGGAUCCGGAUCAGAUUCGGAUGAGUUUGAAUUUCAGAUUAUAUUUCAAGUUCGGAUUAUAUUUUGGAUUCGGAUUAAUUCGGGUUUGGGACCUUUUUACAAUUCUCACAAAAAAAUUAUGAAAUUUAUAAUUAAUGAAAAAUAAUUUCCAUGAUGCUGUCAACAAUAAUUAAUAUUUUGAAAACGCAAUAACGGAAUUUUCAAAAAAAAGAAAAAGAAAACACAGGAACGGUAUUGAUAAAGAAUUUUCAUUAGCCAUUUGUGACUGCUAACUAAAUUGUAACAACUAAGUAAAAUAUAAUAAUAAUAAUAAUACAUGCGGGUAUAUUCAAAGCAACUAAAUCACUUGCGAAUGAUCAAGACAAAUCGUAUAAACAAGUAAAAAAUUCAAAGUUUCAAACGCAAAUCGUCGGGGGCUAUCGGAUUAGUGGAUUACCAUUAACAAGACGAGGUUUAUGUCGGUGUGAGUUGCUCAUUGUGGGUCUGGAUGAUGUCGCGAUGGCUGGGUUUGUGCCAACUAUGAUCCAGCUAGGUUUGUAUCGAAUCUGAUCUCGUCUAGAGGACGUUGUGGCGGCUGGGUUUGUGUCGAAUUCAUUCGGUUUGUCUCGUCGGCGACAUGGUUGUUGGUUGGCUCGUCAGGUUGUGGCCCGUGGGUGUGGUGUGGUUUGUUGUCGUGGAUUGACUUAUCAAAGGGCGUGCGACGAUGGUGUGUGGUUUUGUCAUUUGGAAAUUGAGUUUUGAUUUUUCAUUUUCGUUUUUUUAAAAAAAAAUUUUUGGAUUAUUCGGAUUGAACUGAAUCUUAUCCGAUCCAAAUCAAAUCCGAUCAGAUUACAAAAAUUUCAUCCGAUUGGAUUUUAAAGCAAAUCCAAAUCCGAUCCGAACAAAUUCGGAUCGAAUUGGAUUAGAUCGGAUCUAUCCGAAUCUGAUCCAAUGUCCACCCCUAUUCAAUCGGUUUCUGCAAUGGUUAAUGGCAUAUUUUUGCUCAUCGUCACCACUGAAUCCACUGAUCAUUUGUGCAUGUGAGUUGUUUUUGAGCAUUUAUUUUUCCCUUUAGAAGCAUAAGGAUAAGGCUAGUCUUCUUUUUGGGAGGACUUAUUGCUUCCAUUCGUUAAAAUUGGGCAUGUAAAAUGUCAAGAAAAAAUGGCCUAAGUGGCUAGCUAGAUGAUAUAAUGGAUGGUUACUACUCAAACCUAGCAAUAAAUGAAUGUCCGACAAGCAUUCAAAUGAAUGAAUAAAACCAAUCAGAUUAGAAUAUCUAUUUAUGAUAGAUUAAUGAAAAUACGAUUCAAAUAUAAGGUAAAUAAUCUCUCCAUUAAUUUUUUAUUGUUUCAGGCAGGGUUGCCAAGCCUCUGUCCGGGCUUCUAUAAGCUCAAUUCCAGCUCUCCUAUAUGAUUGAAUUAGAUCGGGCUAGGCCCUCGGACUUUUUAAUUAAAAAAGGUCGAUUUUUAAGUUUAUGAAGUUAAUACACUCACGCUUAUACUUUAAUAUUUUUAUUAUUUGGCUUUUAGAAUAUUAACGUGUAAAUUACUUUUUUUUUUCAAGUGAAAUAAUUAUCACAUUUUGUCUUCUUAGUAUAUAUUUCUACCUUUUUGUUCCUAUAGAUAUUUCCUCAUUUCAUCUUUGGUACUAGAGCGUAGUAAAAAAACACAUGAUUAAAGAUAAAUAUGACAUUUUAACUAACAAAUUAAUUAUUUGUAUCUAAGAUCUAGCUCUAGUGGUAAAGAUCAAUUUUCAUCGAAUUCAAGUCUUGGGUUUGAAUUUAAAUGCAUGGGUAAGUUAAUAAUAAUAAUAAUAAUAAUAAUAAUAAUAAUAAUAAUAAUAAUAAUAAUAAUAAUAAUAAUAAUAAUAAUAAUAAUAAUAAUAAUAAUAAUAAUAAUAAUAAUAAUAAUAAUAAUAAUAAUAAUAAUAAUAAUAAUAAUAAUAAUAAUAAUAAUAAUAAUAAUAAUAAUAAUAAUAAUAAUAAUAAUAAUAAUAAUAAUAAUAAUAAUAAUAAUAAUAAUAAUAAUAAUAAUAAUAAUAAUAAUAAUAAUAAUAAUAAUAAUAAUAAUAAUAAUAAUAAUAAUAAUAAUAAUAAUAAUAAUAAUAAUAAUAAUAAUAAUAAUAAUAAUAAUAAUAAUAAUAAUAAUAAUAAUAAUAAUAAUAAUAAUAAUAAUAAUAAUAAUAAUAAUAAUAAUAAUAAUAAUAAUAAUAAUAAUAAUAAUAAUAAUAAUAAUAAUAAUAAUAAUAAUAAUAAUAAUAAUAAUAAUAAUAAUAAUAAUAAUAAUAAUAAUAAUAAUAAUAAUAAUAAUAAUAAUAAUAAUAAUAAUAAUAAUAAUAAUAAUAAUAAUAAUAAUAAUAAUAAUAAUAAUAAUAAUAAUAAUAAUAAUAAUAAUAAUAAUAAUAAUAAUAAUAAUAAUAAUAAUAAUAAUAAUAAUAAUAAUAAUAAUAAUAAUAAUAAUAAUAAUAAUAAUAAUAAUAAUAAUAAUAAUAAUAAUAAUAAUAAUAAUAAUAAUAAUAAUAAUAAUAAUAAUAAUAAUAAUAAUAAUAAUAAUAAUAAUAAUAAUAAUAAUAAUAAUAAUAAUAAUAAUAAUAAUAAUAAUAAUAAUAAUAAUAAUAAUAAUAAUAAUAAUAAUAAUAAUAAUAAUAAUAAUAAUAAUAAUAAUAAUAAUAAUAAUAAUAAUAAUAAUAAUAAUAAUAAUAAUAAUAAUAAUAAUAAUAAUAAUAAUAAUAAUAAUAAUAAUAAUAAUAAUAAUAAUAAUAAUAAUAAUAAUAAUAAUAAUAAUAAUAAUAAUAAUAAUAAUAAUAAUAAUAAUAAUAAUAAUAAUAAUAAUAAUAAUAAUAAUAAUAAUAAUAAUAAUAAUAAUAAUAAUAAUAAUAAUAAUAAUAAUAAUAAUAAUAAUAAUAAUAAUAAUAAUAAUAAUAAUAAUAAUAAUAAUAAUAAUAAUAAUAAUAAUAAUAAUAAUAAUAAUAAUAAUAAUAAUAAUAAUAAUAAUAAUAAUAAUAAUAAUAAUAAUAAUAAUAAUAAUAAUAAUAAUAAUAAUAAUAAUAAUAAUAAUAAUAAUAAUAAUAAUAAUAAUAAUAAUAAUAAUAAUAAUAAUAAUAAUAAUAAUAAUAAUAAUAAUAAUAAUAAUAAUAAUAAUAAUAAUAAUAAUAAUAAUAAUAAUAAUAAUAAUAAUAAUAAUAAUAAUAAUAAUAAUAAUAAUAAUAAUAAUAAUAAUAAUAAUAAUAAUAAUAAUAAUAAUAAUAAUAAUAAUAAUAAUAAUAAUAAUAAUAAUAAUAAUAAUAAUAAUAAUAAUAAUAAUAAUAAUAAUAAUAAUAAUAAUAAUAAUAAUAAUAAUAAUAAUAAUAAUAAUAAUAAUAAUAAUAAUAAUAAUAAUAAUAAUAAUAAUAAUAAUAAUAAUAAUAAUAAUAAUAAUAAUAAUAAUAAUAAUAAUAAUAAUAAUAAUAAUAAUAAUAAUAAUAAUAAUAAUAAUAAUAAUAAUAAUAAUAAUAAUAAUAAUAAUAAUAAUAAUAAUAAUAAUAAUAAUAAUAAUAAUAAUAAUAAUAAUAAUAAUAAUAAUAAUAAUAAUAAUAAUAAUAAUAAUAAUAAUAAUAAUAAUAAUAAUAAUAAUAAUAAUAAUAAUAAUAAUAAUAAUAAUAAUAAUAAUAAUAAUAAUAAUAAUAAUAAUAAUAAUAAUAAUAAUAAUAAUAAUAAUAAUAAUAAUAAUAAUAAUAAUAAUAAUAAUAAUAAUAAUAAUAAUAAUAAUAAUAAUAAUAAUAAUAAUAAUAAUAAUAAUAAUAAUAAUAAUAAUAAUAAUAAUAAUAAUAAUAAUAAUAAUAAUAAUAAUAAUAAUAAUAAUAAUAAUAAUAAUAAUAAUAAUAAUAAUAAUAAUAAUAAUAAUAAUAAUAAUAAUAAUAAUAAUAAUAAUAAUAAUAAUAAUAAUAAUAAUAAUAAUAAUAAUAAUAAUAAUAAUAAUAAUAAUAAUAAUAAUAAUAAUAAUAAUAAUAAUAAUAAUAAUAAUAAUAAUAAUAAUAAUAAUAAUAAUAAUAAUAAUAAUAAUAAUAAUAAUAAUAAUAAUAAUAAUAAUAAUAAUAAUAAUAAUAAUAAUAAUAAUAAUAAUAAUAAUAAUAAUAAUAAUAAUAAUAAUAAUAAUAAUAAUAAUAAUAAUAAUAAUAAUAAUAAUAAUAAUAAUAAUAAUAAUAAUAAUAAUAAUAAUAAUAAUAAUAAUAAUAAUAAUAAUAAUAAUAAUAAUAAUAAUAAUAAUAAUAAUAAUAAUAAUAAUAAUAAUAAUAAUAAUAAUAAUAAUAAUAAUAAUAAUAAUAAUAAUAAUAAUAAUAAUAAUAAUAAUAAUAAUAAUAAUAAUAAUAAUAAUAAUAAUAAUAAUAAUAAUAAUAAUAAUAAUAAUAAUAAUAAUAAUAAUAAUAAUAAUAAUAAUAAUAAUAAUAAUAAUAAUAAUAAUAAUAAUAAUAAUAAUAAUAAUAAUAAUAAUAAUAAUAAUAAUAAUAAUAAUAAUAAUAAUAAUAAUAAUAAUAAUAAUAAUAAUAAUAAUAAUAAUAAUAAUAAUAAUAAUAAUAAUAAUAAUAAUAAUAAUAAUAAUAAUAAUAAUAAUAAUAAUAAUAAUAAUAAUAAUAAUAAUAAUAAUAAUAAUAAUAAUAAUAAUAAUAAUAAUAAUAAUAAUAAUAAUAAUAAUAAUAAUAAUAAUAAUAAUAAUAAUAAUAAUAAUAAUAAUAAUAAUAAUAAUAAUAAUAAUAAUAAUAAUAAUAAUAAUAAUAAUAAUAAUAAUAAUAAUAAUAAUAAUAAUAAUAAUAAUAAUAAUAAUAAUAAUAAUAAUAAUAAUAAUAAUAAUAAUAAUAAUAAUAAUAAUAAUAAUAAUAAUAAUAAUAAUAAUAAUAAUAAUAAUAAUAAUAAUAAUAAUAAUAAUAAUAAUAAUAAUAAUAAUAAUAAUAAUAAUAAUAAUAAUAAUAAUAAUAAUAAUAAUAAUAAUAAUAAUAAUAAUAAUAAUAAUAAUAAUAAUAAUAAUAAUAAUAAUAAUAAUAAUAAUAAUAAUAAUAAUAAUAAUAAUAAUAAUAAUAAUAAUAAUAAUAAUAAUAAUAAUAAUAAUAAUAAUAAUAAUAAUAAUAAUAAUAAUAAUAAUAAUAAUAAUAAUAAUAAUAAUAAUAAUAAUAAUAAUAAUAAUAAUAAUAAUAAUAAUAAUAAUAAUAAUAAUAAUAAUAAUAAUAAUAAUAAUAAUAAUAAUAAUAAUAAUAAUAAUAAUAAUAAUAAUAAUAAUAAUAAUAAUAAUAAUAAUAAUAAUAAUAAUAAUAAUAAUAAUAAUAAUAAUAAUAAUAAUAAUAAUAAUAAUAAUAAUAAUAAUAAUAAUAAUAAUAAUAAUAAUAAUAAUAAUAAUAAUAAUAAUAAUAAUAAUAAUAAUAAUAAUAAUAAUAAUAAUAAUAAUAAUAAUAAUAAUAAUAAUAAUAAUAAUAAUAAUAAUAAUAAUAAUAAUAAUAAUAAUAAUAAUAAUAAUAAUAAUAAUAAUAAUAAUAAUAAUAAUAAUAAUAAUAAUAAUAAUAAUAAUAAUAAUAAUAAUAAUAAUAAUAAUAAUAAUAAUAAUAAUAAUAAUAAUAAUAAUAAUAAUAAUAAUAAUAAUAAUAAUAAUAAUAAUAAUAAUAAUAAUAAUAAUAAUAAUAAUAAUAAUAAUAAUAAUAAUAAUAAUAAUAAUAAUAAUAAUAAUAAUAAUAAUAAUAAUAAUAAUAAUAAUAAUAAUAAUAAUAAUAAUAAUAAUAAUAAUAAUAAUAAUAAUAAUAAUAAUAAUAAUAAUAAUAAUAAUAAUAAUAAUAAUAAUAAUAAUAAUAAUAAUAAUAAUAAUAAUAAUAAUAAUAAUAAUAAUAAUAAUAAUAAUAAUAAUAAUAAUAAUAAUAAUAAUAAUAAUAAUAAUAAUAAUAAUAAUAAUAAUAAUAAUAAUAAUAAUAAUAAUAAUAAUAAUAAUAAUAAUAAUAAUAAUAAUAAUAAUAAUAAUAAUAAUAAUAAUAAUAAUAAUAAUAAUAAUAAUAAUAAUAAUAAUAAUAAUAAUAAUAAUAAUAAUAAUAAUAAUAAUAAUAAUAAUAAUAAUAAUAAUAAUAAUAAUAAUAAUAAUAAUAAUAAUAAUAAUAAUAAUAAUAAUAAUAAUAAUAAUAAUAAUAAUAAUAAUAAUAAUAAUAAUAAUAAUAAUAAUAAUAAUAAUAAUAAUAAUAAUAAUAAUAAUAAUAAUAAUAAUAAUAAUAAUAAUAAUAAUAAUAAUAAUAAUAAUAAUAAUAAUAAUAAUAAUAAUAAUAAUAAUAAUAAUAAUAAUAAUAAUAAUAAUAAUAAUAAUAAUAAUAAUAAUAAUAAUAAUAAUAAUAAUAAUAAUAAUAAUAAUAAUAAUAAUAAUAAUAAUAAUAAUAAUAAUAAUAAUAAUAAUAAUAAUAAUAAUAAUAAUAAUAAUAAUAAUAAUAAUAAUAAUAAUAAUAAUAAUAAUAAUAAUAAUAAUAAUAAUAAUAAUAAUAAUAAUAAUAAUAAUAAUAAUAAUAAUAAUAAUAAUAAUAAUAAUAAUAAUAAUAAUAAUAAUAAUAAUAAUAAUAAUAAUAAUAAUAAUAAUAAUAAUAAUAAUAAUAAUAAUAAUAAUAAUAAUAAUAAUAAUAAUAAUAAUAAUAAUAAUAAUAAUAAUAAUAAUAAUAAUAAUAAUAAUAAUAAUAAUAAUAAUAAUAAUAAUAAUAAUAAUAAUAAUAAUAAUAAUAAUAAUAAUAAUAAUAAUAAUAAUAAUAAUAAUAAUAAUAAUAAUAAUAAUAAUAAUAAUAAUAAUAAUAAUAAUAAUAAUAAUAAUAAUAAUAAUAAUAAUAAUAAUAAUAAUAAUAAUAAUAAUAAUAAUAAUAAUAAUAAUAAUAAUAAUAAUAAUAAUAAUAAUAAUAAUAAUAAUAAUAAUAAUAAUAAUAAUAAUAAUAAUAAUAAUAAUAAUAAUAAUAAUAAUAAUAAUAAUAAUAAUAAUAAUAAUAAUAAUAAUAAUAAUAAUAAUAAUAAUAAUAAUAAUAAUAAUAAUAAUAAUAAUAAUAAUAAUAAUAAUAAUAAUAAUAAUAAUAAUAAUAAUAAUAAUAAUAAUAAUAAUAAUAAUAAUAAUAAUAAUAAUAAUAAUAAUAAUAAUAAUAAUAAUAAUAAUAAUAAUAAUAAUAAUAAUAAUAAUAAUAAUAAUAAUAAUAAUAAUAAUAAUAAUAAUAAUAAUAAUAAUAAUAAUAAUAAUAAUAAUAAUAAUAAUAAUAAUAAUAAUAAUAAUAAUAAUAAUAAUAAUAAUAAUAAUAAUAAUAAUAAUAAUAAUAAUAAUAAUAAUAAUAAUAAUAAUAAUAAUAAUAAUAAUAAUAAUAAUAAUAAUAAUAAUAAUAAUAAUAAUAAUAAUAAUAAUAAUAAUAAUAAUAAUAAUAAUAAUAAUAAUAAUAAUAAUAAUAAUAAUAAUAAUAAUAAUAAUAAUAAUAAUAAUAAUAAUAAUAAUAAUAAUAAUAAUAAUAAUAAUAAUAAUAAUAAUAAUAAUAAUAAUAAUAAUAAUAAUAAUAAUAAUAAUAAUAAUAAUAAUAAUAAUAAUAAUAAUAAUAAUAAUAAUAAUAAUAAUAAUAAUAAUAAUAAUAAUAAUAAUAAUAAUAAUAAUAAUAAUAAUAAUAAUAAUAAUAAUAAUAAUAAUAAUAAUAAUAAUAAUAAUAAUAAUAAUAAUAAUAAUAAUAAUAAUAAUAAUAAUAAUAAUAAUAAUAAUAAUAAUAAUAAUAAUAAUAAUAAUAAUAAUAAUAAUAAUAAUAAUAAUAAUAAUAAUAAUAAUAAUAAUAAUAAUAAUAAUAAUAAUAAUAAUAAUAAUAAUAAUAAUAAUAAUAAUAAUAAUAAUAAUAAUAAUAAUAAUAAUAAUAAUAAUAAUAAUAAUAAUAAUAAUAAUAAUAAUAAUAAUAAUAAUAAUAAUAAUAAUAAUAAUAAUAAUAAUAAUAAUAAUAAUAAUAAUAAUAAUAAUAAUAAUAAUAAUAAUAAUAAUAAUAAUAAUAAUAAUAAUAAUAAUAAUAAUAAUAAUAAUAAUAAUAAUAAUAAUAAUAAUAAUAAUAAUAAUAAUAAUAAUAAUAAUAAUAAUAAUAAUAAUAAUAAUAAUAAUAAUAAUAAUAAUAAUAAUAAUAAUAAUAAUAAUAAUAAUAAUAAUAAUAAUAAUAAUAAUAAUAAUAAUAAUAAUAAUAAUAAUAAUAAUAAUAAUAAUAAUAAUAAUAAUAAUAAUAAUAAUAAUAAUAAUAAUAAUAAUAAUAAUAAUAAUAAUAAUAAUAAUAAUAAUAAUAAUAAUAAUAAUAAUAAUAAUAAUAAUAAUAAUAAUAAUAAUAAUAAUAAUAAUAAUAAUAAUAAUAAUAAUAAUAAUAAUAAUAAUAAUAAUAAUAAUAAUAAUAAUAAUAAUAAUAAUAAUAAUAAUAAUAAUAAUAAUAAUAAUAAUAAUAAUAAUAAUAAUAAUAAUAAUAAUAAUAAUAAUAAUAAUAAUAAUAAUAAUAAUAAUAAUAAUAAUAAUAAUAAUAAUAAUAAUAAUAAUAAUAAUAAUAAUAAUAAUAAUAAUAAUAAUAAUAAUAAUAAUAAUAAUAAUAAUAAUAAUAAUAAUAAUAAUAAUAAUAAUAAUAAUAAUAAUAAUAAUAAUAAUAAUAAUAAUAAUAAUAAUAAUAAUAAUAAUAAUAAUAAUAAUAAUAAUAAUAAUAAUAAUAAUAAUAAUAAUAAUAAUAAUAAUAAUAAUAAUAAUAAUAAUAAUAAUAAUAAUAAUAAUAAUAAUAAUAAUAAUAAUAAUAAUAAUAAUAAUAAUAAUAAUAAUAAUAAUAAUAAUAAUAAUAAUAAUAAUAAUAAUAAUAAUAAUAAUAAUAAUAAUAAUAAUAAUAAUAAUAAUAAUAAUAAUAAUAAUAAUAAUAAUAAUAAUAAUAAUAAUAAUAAUAAUAAUAAUAAUAAUAAUAAUAAUAAUAAUAAUAAUAAUAAUAAUAAUAAUAAUAAUAAUAAUAAUAAUAAUAAUAAUAAUAAUAAUAAUAAUAAUAAUAAUAAUAAUAAUAAUAAUAAUAAUAAUAAUAAUAAUAAUAAUAAUAAUAAUAAUAAUAAUAAUAAUAAUAAUAAUAAUAAUAAUAAUAAUAAUAAUAAUAAUAAUAAUAAUAAUAAUAAUAAUAAUAAUAAUAAUAAUAAUAAUAAUAAUAAUAAUAAUAAUAAUAAUAAUAAUAAUAAUAAUAAUAAUAAUAAUAAUAAUAAUAAUAAUAAUAAUAAUAAUAAUAAUAAUAAUAAUAAUAAUAAUAAUAAUAAUAAUAAUAAUAAUAAUAAUAAUAAUAAUAAUAAUAAUAAUAAUAAUAAUAAUAAUAAUAAUAAUAAUAAUAAUAAUAAUAAUAAUAAUAAUAAUAAUAAUAAUAAUAAUAAUAAUAAUAAUAAUAAUAAUAAUAAUAAUAAUAAUAAUAAUAAUAAUAAUAAUAAUAAUAAUAAUAAUAAUAAUAAUAAUAAUAAUAAUAAUAAUAAUAAUAAUAAUAAUAAUAAUAAUAAUAAUAAUAAUAAUAAUAAUAAUAAUAAUAAUAAUAAUAAUAAUAAUAAUAAUAAUAAUAAUAAUAAUAAUAAUAAUAAUAAUAAUAAUAAUAAUAAUAAUAAUAAUAAUAAUAAUAAUAAUAAUAAUAAUAAUAAUAAUAAUAAUAAUAAUAAUAAUAAUAAUAAUAAUAAUAAUAAUAAUAAUAAUAAUAAUAAUAAUAAUAAUAAUAAUAAUAAUAAUAAUAAUAAUAAUAAUAAUAAUAAUAAUAAUAAUAAUAAUAAUAAUAAUAAUAAUAAUAAUAAUAAUAAUAAUAAUAAUAAUAAUAAUAAUAAUAAUAAUAAUAAUAAUAAUAAUAAUAAUAAUAAUAAUAAUAAUAAUAAUAAUAAUAAUAAUAAUAAUAAUAAUAAUAAUAAUAAUAAUAAUAAUAAUAAUAAUAAUAAUAAUAAUAAUAAUAAUAAUAAUAAUAAUAAUAAUAAUAAUAAUAAUAAUAAUAAUAAUAAUAAUAAUAAUAAUAAUAAUAAUAAUAAUAAUAAUAAUAAUAAUAAUAAUAAUAAUAAUAAUAAUAAUAAUAAUAAUAAUAAUAAUAAUAAUAAUAAUAAUAAUAAUAAUAAUAAUAAUAAUAAUAAUAAUAAUAAUAAUAAUAAUAAUAAUAAUAAUAAUAAUAAUAAUAAUAAUAAUAAUAAUAAUAAUAAUAAUAAUAAUAAUAAUAAUAAUAAUAAUAAUAAUAAUAAUAAUAAUAAUAAUAAUAAUAAUAAUAAUAAUAAUAAUAAUAAUAAUAAUAAUAAUAAUAAUAAUAAUAAUAAUAAUAAUAAUAAUAAUAAUAAUAAUAAUAAUAAUAAUAAUAAUAAUAAUAAUAAUAAUAAUAAUAAUAAUAAUAAUAAUAAUAAUAAUAAUAAUAAUAAUAAUAAUAAUAAUAAUAAUAAUAAUAAUAAUAAUAAUAAUAAUAAUAAUAAUAAUAAUAAUAAUAAUAAUAAUAAUAAUAAUAAUAAUAAUAAUAAUAAUAAUAAUAAUAAUAAUAAUAAUAAUAAUAAUAAUAAUAAUAAUAAUAAUAAUAAUAAUAAUAAUAAUAAUAAUAAUAAUAAUAAUAAUAAUAAUAAUAAUAAUAAUAAUAAUAAUAAUAAUAAUAAUAAUAAUAAUAAUAAUAAUAAUAAUAAUAAUAAUAAUAAUAAUAAUAAUAAUAAUAAUAAUAAUAAUAAUAAUAAUAAUAAUAAUAAUAAUAAUAAUAAUAAUAAUAAUAAUAAUAAUAAUAAUAAUAAUAAUAAUAAUAAUAAUAAUAAUAAUAAUAAUAAUAAUAAUAAUAAUAAUAAUAAUAAUAAUAAUAAUAAUAAUAAUAAUAAUAAUAAUAAUAAUAAUAAUAAUAAUAAUAAUAAUAAUAAUAAUAAUAAUAAUAAUAAUAAUAAUAAUAAUAAUAAUAAUAAUAAUAAUAAUAAUAAUAAUAAUAAUAAUAAUAAUAAUAAUAAUAAUAAUAAUAAUAAUAAUAAUAAUAAUAAUAAUAAUAAUAAUAAUAAUAAUAAUAAUAAUAAUAAUAAUAAUAAUAAUAAUAAUAAUAAUAAUAAUAAUAAUAAUAAUAAUAAUAAUAAUAAUAAUAAUAAUAAUAAUAAUAAUAAUAAUAAUAAUAAUAAUAAUAAUAAUAAUAAUAAUAAUAAUAAUAAUAAUAAUAAUAAUAAUAAUAAUAAUAAUAAUAAUAAUAAUAAUAAUAAUAAUAAUAAUAAUAAUAAUAAUAAUAAUAAUAAUAAUAAUAAUAAUAAUAAUAAUAAUAAUAAUAAUAAUAAUAAUAAUAAUAAUAAUAAUAAUAAUAAUAAUAAUAAUAAUAAUAAUAAUAAUAAUAAUAAUAAUAAUAAUAAUAAUAAUAAUAAUAAUAAUAAUAAUAAUAAUAAUAAUAAUAAUAAUAAUAAUAAUAAUAAUAAUAAUAAUAAUAAUAAUAAUAAUAAUAAUAAUAAUAAUAAUAAUAAUAAUAAUAAUAAUAAUAAUAAUAAUAAUAAUAAUAAUAAUAAUAAUAAUAAUAAUAAUAAUAAUAAUAAUAAUAAUAAUAAUAAUAAUAAUAAUAAUAAUAAUAAUAAUAAUAAUAAUAAUAAUAAUAAUAAUAAUAAUAAUAAUAAUAAUAAUAAUAAUAAUAAUAAUAAUAAUAAUAAUAAUAAUAAUAAUAAUAAUAAUAAUAAUAAUAAUAAUAAUAAUAAUAAUAAUAAUAAUAAUAAUAAUAAUAAUAAUAAUAAUAAUAAUAAUAAUAAUAAUAAUAAUAAUAAUAAUAAUAAUAAUAAUAAUAAUAAUAAUAAUAAUAAUAAUAAUAAUAAUAAUAAUAAUAAUAAUAAUAAUAAUAAUAAUAAUAAUAAUAAUAAUAAUAAUAAUAAUAAUAAUAAUAAUAAUAAUAAUAAUAAUAAUAAUAAUAAUAAUAAUAAUAAUAAUAAUAAUAAUAAUAAUAAUAAUAAUAAUAAUAAUAAUAAUAAUAAUAAUAAUAAUAAUAAUAAUAAUAAUAAUAAUAAUAAUAAUAAUAAUAAUAAUAAUAAUAAUAAUAAUAAUAAUAAUAAUAAUAAUAAUAAUAAUAAUAAUAAUAAUAAUAAUAAUAAUAAUAAUAAUAAUAAUAAUAAUAAUAAUAAUAAUAAUAAUAAUAAUAAUAAUAAUAAUAAUAAUAAUAAUAAUAAUAAUAAUAAUAAUAAUAAUAAUAAUAAUAAUAAUAAUAAUAAUAAUAAUAAUAAUAAUAAUAAUAAUAAUAAUAAUAAUAAUAAUAAUAAUAAUAAUAAUAAUAAUAAUAAUAAUAAUAAUAAUAAUAAUAAUAAUAAUAAUAAUAAUAAUAAUAAUAAUAAUAAUAAUAAUAAUAAUAAUAAUAAUAAUAAUAAUAAUAAUAAUAAUAAUAAUAAUAAUAAUAAUAAUAAUAAUAAUAAUAAUAAUAAUAAUAAUAAUAAUAAUAAUAAUAAUAAUAAUAAUAAUAAUAAUAAUAAUAAUAAUAAUAAUAAUAAUAAUAAUAAUAAUAAUAAUAAUAAUAAUAAUAAUAAUAAUAAUAAUAAUAAUAAUAAUAAUAAUAAUAAUAAUAAUAAUAAUAAUAAUAAUAAUAAUAAUAAUAAUAAUAAUAAUAAUAAUAAUAAUAAUAAUAAUAAUAAUAAUAAUAAUAAUAAUAAUAAUAAUAAUAAUAAUAAUAAUAAUAAUAAUAAUAAUAAUAAUAAUAAUAAUAAUAAUAAUAAUAAUAAUAAUAAUAAUAAUAAUAAUAAUAAUAAUAAUAAUAAUAAUAAUAAUAAUAAUAAUAAUAAUAAUAAUAAUAAUAAUAAUAAUAAUAAUAAUAAUAAUAAUAAUAAUAAUAAUAAUAAUAAUAAUAAUAAUAAUAAUAAUAAUAAUAAUAAUAAUAAUAAUAAUAAUAAUAAUAAUAAUAAUAAUAAUAAUAAUAAUAAUAAUAAUAAUAAUAAUAAUAAUAAUAAUAAUAAUAAUAAUAAUAAUAAUAAUAAUAAUAAUAAUAAUAAUAAUAAUAAUAAUAAUAAUAAUAAUAAUAAUAAUAAUAAUAAUAAUAAUAAUAAUAAUAAUAAUAAUAAUAAUAAUAAUAAUAAUAAUAAUAAUAAUAAUAAUAAUAAUAAUAAUAAUAAUAAUAAUAAUAAUAAUAAUAAUAAUAAUAAUAAUAAUAAUAAUAAUAAUAAUAAUAAUAAUAAUAAUAAUAAUAAUAAUAAUAAUAAUAAUAAUAAUAAUAAUAAUAAUAAUAAUAAUAAUAAUAAUAAUAAUAAUAAUAAUAAUAAUAAUAAUAAUAAUAAUAAUAAUAAUAAUAAUAAUAAUAAUAAUAAUAAUAAUAAUAAUAAUAAUAAUAAUAAUAAUAAUAAUAAUAAUAAUAAUAAUAAUAAUAAUAAUAAUAAUAAUAAUAAUAAUAAUAAUAAUAAUAAUAAUAAUAAUAAUAAUAAUAAUAAUAAUAAUAAUAAUAAUAAUAAUAAUAAUAAUAAUAAUAAUAAUAAUAAUAAUAAUAAUAAUAAUAAUAAUAAUAAUAAUAAUAAUAAUAAUAAUAAUAAUAAUAAUAAUAAUAAUAAUAAUAAUAAUAAUAAUAAUAAUAAUAAUAAUAAUAAUAAUAAUAAUAAUAAUAAUAAUAAUAAUAAUAAUAAUAAUAAUAAUAAUAAUAAUAAUAAUAAUAAUAAUAAUAAUAAUAAUAAUAAUAAUAAUAAUAAUAAUAAUAAUAAUAAUAAUAAUAAUAAUAAUAAUAAUAAUAAUAAUAAUAAUAAUAAUAAUAAUAAUAAUAAUAAUAAUAAUAAUAAUAAUAAUAAUAAUAAUAAUAAUAAUAAUAAUAAUAAUAAUAAUAAUAAUAAUAAUAAUAAUAAUAAUAAUAAUAAUAAUAAUAAUAAUAAUAAUAAUAAUAAUAAUAAUAAUAAUAAUAAUAAUAAUAAUAAUAAUAAUAAUAAUAAUAAUAAUAAUAAUAAUAAUAAUAAUAAUAAUAAUAAUAAUAAUAAUAAUAAUAAUAAUAAUAAUAAUAAUAAUAAUAAUAAUAAUAAUAAUAAUAAUAAUAAUAAUAAUAAUAAUAAUAAUAAUAAUAAUAAUAAUAAUAAUAAUAAUAAUAAUAAUAAUAAUAAUAAUAAUAAUAAUAAUAAUAAUAAUAAUAAUAAUAAUAAUAAUAAUAAUAAUAAUAAUAAUAAUAAUAAUAAUAAUAAUAAUAAUAAUAAUAAUAAUAAUAAUAAUAAUAAUAAUAAUAAUAAUAAUAAUAAUAAUAAUAAUAAUAAUAAUAAUAGAGAAGAGAAAAAUUAGAUCUAGGGUUUCUUUCUUUUUCUCCAAUCCAAAAAUCCCCCCUUUUCACAAUAGAUUCCUCCCUUAAAUACUCUCUCUCUCUUCUCCUCUAGAAUUCUAUUUAAAAUAAAAUACUAACAUCUGAAAUAUUAAAUUCGUAAUUACAAAAAUAACCAAAAAUACAAAACACGUUAAACUAAAAACUGCAGGUCCGCAGUUGACAGCACGCGCCCACGCCUUAUCAACAAAGUUCUUCUGACGCUCAUAAUUUCUCCAAGAGAACAAUCAUCCUUAAACAUCAUCUUAUAGCUCAAUUUUAUCAUCAAUCAAUAGAAUUGCACCUACAAAAGUAAAACAUAAGUAAAUCACUAUUAUUAAGUGCAAAACAUUGAUAUUAAGGGAAGUAAAUAAUGCAAAACUAGUGCAUAAAUUGCACUCUAACAGUAAUCAGUAAUCAGCAUUAAAAAUUAAAUUAAAUUAAAUUUUUUUGUUUUUAAUAUUAUUUAGUUAUAGACUUAUUAUUAUAUUUAUUCGUUCAUAAAACUAAAUAAUGUUAAAUCAAAUAAAAUAAUCAGGAAUGGUUCUUAAAAAAUUAAUAUUAUUUAUUUUAUUUUAUUUAAUAUUAUUUAGUCAUAGCCUAUUAUUCUGUUUAUUUUUUGAAAAUUAAAUAAUAUUAAAUAAAAUAGAAUAGAAAAUGUGAGUCCUUAAAAAUAAAAAUUAUUUUUAAUAUUAUUUAUUUUAUUUAAAAGAAUAAAUUUUUUAAUAUUUUUAUUUUAUUAAAAAAUAUUAUUUAAUAUUAUCUAGUCAUAGGCUUAUUAUUAUAUUUCUUCUUUUAGAAAGUUAAAUAGUAUUAAAUGAAAUAAAAUUACAUUUUAGAAGGUCAUUAGCCAAAGCACAUAAACUUAUAAACAAAUGGAAAUAAAAAAGGUAAAUAAUAUUCAAUAAAAUAAAAUUACAUUUUAAAAGGUCACCAACCAAAGCACAUAAUAUUAUAACAAAAAUGUAAAUAAAAAAGAAAGUAAGAGAUUCAAUGAAAUUUAACAUCACAAAAGACAAUUUCAAAAAUUGGGGGUAGCUUGCAACUGUUGCAAAGUGGCUGGUUCCAUAAUUUUGAGAUAAUGUUUCGGUUUCAAAUAUUGUUAUCGAUACCUAAUUAUAAGUAAUAAAAAAAUAUUGUAUAAUUUUUUUACCAACAUUUACAAUACAUUUUAUUUUGAUUUCUGAAAAAAAUAGAUAAAACACAAAUUAAUUAUUUUAACCCUCUAUUCUCUCAAUAUUUAAACUCGAAUAAUCAGUUAAAAGUUGCUCGAGAAUGUUUAAAAGCCAUUUAAGUAUACCACGUCAUUCAUGUUUUGCAAUCAUUCAAUUGUUAAUAAGUUUCCCAUGUGCUGAAAAUAAAUAAAAAUGCACGUGCAUAUGUCAUAUUGUCUCCGAAACCUCACAGCGGAAUGAGUGUAGUACUUGCAAUGCAUGUACUUUAGACUUUGUAUUUCUCUUAUUUAAAUGAUCAAUAAUUUUUCUUUGUCCUUUAAUUAGACGUCAACAGUCGAAGUUGUGGGCAGGUAGUAGGCUAUAUAUAAUAAUUUCCUGGAGAUCUUCCGUCUUCUAAGACAUUGCAAAUGCCAAACGUGAUAACUAUUUUGAUAAUUCAAAUACUACAUAAAAUAUAUGAAGUGUCAGACAAGUCAAAAGAAUUGAUUCUUCACAAUUGUAUAUACGUAUACACACACUUUGCCCAAAUCCCAUUGUAUCCAGGCUGUAAUUUUUAUAUUAAACGAACAUAUUUUAUUUUAUGUCAGCAAUAUUGAUGCAGGCUGGGGGAACAACAGCUUCAGGAUGGUCAACUACCCUUCGGAUCAUUGCAAGUGGGAUGGCAUCACUUGCAAUUCAGAUGGAAGCAUAAUCAGGCUAAAAUUAUCAUGGUGUGAUGUUGACUUCAAAAGGUAAUCUUCGUAAAAUUAUCAUGGUAUAAUAUACGUAUUUAUUUUCGCAUACAUAAAUAAAUAACAAAAUUGUAAUUAAUUGGAUACAGCUUCAGCUUUUGGACUGGUUUGUGAAAAUCAGAAAAAUUUAAAAAUGCUCCUCUUGAACAAUCAAAAUCUACUUUAUACGUGAACAAAGGGGAUGAUUCGUAAAGAUAGUUCAUCAAUGUUUGAUUGCUUUCAAGCGUGUCGAUUACUUUCAGAAAGAAAGACUUCAUUUGAUCUCGUCACAAAACAUAAUUUCACUUUGAAUUUGAAAAAGAAUAAUGAAGUUCAUACAAGUGCUGUUAUGACCUUUUUUUUUUUGUUUUCUUUUUUUCUCGACGUUGUUUUGUGAAUCAUAAGGGUUAAUUUAAUACGGUGGGUUCGCUUGUAUGAAGCGCACUUAUUGUACCAUUCUGUUGCAAGCAAUGAAAAAACGCUAUAAUUUUUUUAAGUUUCUACAAGUAUUAUGUUAUCUUAUAUCUAAAUGUGCAUCUCUAGUCUUUGCUCUCAGUUCAGGUUCUCUAAAAGUAUAUUAAUUAUGAAAAGCAUUAAAGGUUCCGAAACUCUAUUUUGCGGGGAAAAAGAACCUCCAUUUUUGGUUUUUUAUUAUAUGAGAUUUUACUAUGCUCGUAAUAACUUAAUCGAAAUUAAACAUAUCACUGGUCUACAUUUUUUUAUAAGAUUUUGUGACUUGCUAAUUAAGAUGAGUAUCACCAUCAAAUCAACAAGCUUAUACCUUCAAAGAAAAAUAGACUAUAAGUCGGGAGAAAGAAGAAAAAAAAAAAAAAAAGAAUCUUCGCAAUUUAUGCUGUUGGUUGUGAGUUCAUGAAACAAAUAAAAAUAUGAAAUCAAACAUUUAUUCAAAAUUUAAAAUUAAAAAAAAAACUCUAUAUCUACAGUAAUCUGUUCAAACCACAUAGGUGGAGCAAUAUAGUUCCAAGACGUGGUUUUAAAACAUGUCUUUGUGAUAAACAAUAUCGUGAUACUUGCGCCAAUUCCCAUGGCAAUAAUUGCCUACAUUUAUCCAAGAUCCAUGGCCAGGUUUAGAAUGUGCUAGUCUUCUUUCACUUUCAUAAAUAACCACUACUAGGUAAUCAGAGUGUCGGUCUAAAUUUUUCGGAGAUACAACGUCAAUGUAUGUGCCCGGAGUUGAAGCUGAACGCGCUUAAAUAUGUUCGGAAUUUGAAGUUGAACGCCUGGAAAAGGAUGCAGACUGAAGAAAGGCAAUUCCUGGAAUUUGUCUUUGGUAAGAAAACAUGGCUGCUUAUGCCCUUUGAAAGACUGAAGAAACCAAAUUGAUUAUUGCUGCAAUUUAGUGGCACAUGUACGAGGAGAGGCAUCCAAUUAAACUUGUUCAUAAAAGUAUUGCUGAUAGUUGCAGCCGAUCUCCAGACAAAAUCUUCGUACAAUUUUAUCCGCCAGCAAUUUCGACCAAGAGACCUUGAUGCAGUUCAGACCAAUUCGCCAGUUGAACAUCAAGUUGCCUAGGCAUUGAGAAUUAGGUCAAUAAAAUAUAUCCUGGGUCACUUACAAAAGAUGAAAUAAGUGAAAAAGGAAAGAUGACGUAAUAAUUUCUUAGUGAGAAAAGUUAGUUAAUUUGCAAAGGUCUUAGAUAAUCAAUUUGAUGUAAAAAUAUCAAAAUUUUUUUUAAUCAGUGAAAUAUUCAACCUCUAGUUUCAGCACUACAAAUGAAUUAAAUAGAAUAAUGAUAGAUAUUUUAAAAUUUUAUCCCAAAUGAUGUGAUAUGUAAUGUAUCAUUCAUUAAGUAGUUGAUGAUUUUUUUAUAAAUUUUAAGUGGAUUAAUUAUAUUAUUUUACCAACGAGUAAAUAAAUGUCACAUCAUUAGAGAAGAAAUUUUAAGGUAAAACUUUUCAAAUAUAUAUCACUACUCCAUUAAAUAUGGUAUAAAAAAUCUAAUAGGGACCAAAAAUAUAAAAACCCAUUAAAAAUAAAAAAUAUAAAAGUCAAUUCCUAAUUAGAAGAAUGAAAGUUUGUUUCUCCUACAAUCAUUUCACUAGAUUUUAAAUAAAUUAAUUAAUGAAAAUUUUUAAUAACAAAUCGGUGCCUAAACCUAACGUCUUUUUUUUUUUGGUCUUAUCCACGAGGUAUCCUGGGGAGGGCCCCAACUGUGGGAGGCACCUUUAAGCCCGUACCACAACCCAGACUAGAAGUCCCCGCUCGAACCGGGAGGCACAGGUUCUCCCAACAAAGGCGACUUCCCCGCGACUCGAACUGGGGAGCAAACCCAGUCAAGCCACUUAAGGGGACUCCAUUGCCAGUGGAGCCAACACUUUGUUGGUUAAACCUAACGUCUUUGACAGUGCUGCCAAUAUCACUCACAACUUACAAGAAAAUUUUGGUAUUAAAUUUAUUAAUGUUCUCAAGGAAUUUUUAGUUUGACUUUGCAUUCUCAGACCCAUUUGUCACAUAACACGUUAGCAAAGACCUUUAAUGAGAAUAUUAAAACAGCUGUCGAAUAAGCAUCUUGACGACGACUUUUUGACAUAUAUGCAUGCCUCCUUUUGUGAACAAAUUUGAAACAUAAAAGAAAAUUUUGAUCCAUGUGAGAGCUGGAGUAUUUUAUAGCUUUUGACCUCAUUAAUUAUGAGUAAGGGAAUAUUUCUACGUCACUAACGAUUAACAUGAUCACUAUAUAAAGGGAAGCAAAGUAUGUUUAGCAUCAAGUCAGAAAACACAAUUUUUAGGAAAUGGGAACUCUAGGACAGGCGAAGCAAUGGCCUCAAUUGGUUUGUGCUAUGGCAUUUUUGCUCAUAGCCACCACAACCGCAAAGGCAUCAGCUGAUGAUUAUGGCCCAGCACCAUCACCAAAGCAUGCAAAGCACCCUCCAAGCCAUUACAAGCCACCGAAACCACCAAAGCACCACGAGUCACCACCACCAUACUACUAUAACUCACCACCUCCACCAGUACAUUCUCCUCCACCACCUUAUUACUAUAAGUCUCCACCACCACCUUCUCUAUCUCCACCACCUCCUUACUAUUAUAAAUCACCACCACCACCGAAACAUUCUCCUCCACCUCCUUACUACUACAAAUCACCACCUCCUCCUUCUCCCUCUCCACCUCCACCAUAUUAUUACAAGUCUCCCCCACCACCAUCUCCAUCUCCCCCACCGCCUUACUACUAUAAAUCCCCACCACCACCAAAAUAUUCUCCUCCACCACCUUACUACUAUAAGUCACCACCUCCACCAGUGAAAUCUCCACCUCCGCCAUAUUACUAUAAAUCACCACCACCACCAAAACAUUCUCCCCCACCACCUUACUACUACAAGUCACCACCACCACCAAUGCAUUCUCCCCCACCACCUUACUAUUACAAAUCUCCACCACCACCAAAGCAUUCUCCUCCACCACCACCUUAUUACAAAUCACCACCCCCACCACCACCAAAACAUUCUCCCCCACCACCUUACUACUAUAAAUCUCCACCGCCACCAAAACAUUCUCCUCCUCCACCAUACUACUAUAAGUCACCACCUCCACCUGUAAAGUCUCCACCUCCACCACCUCACUACAAAUCACCACCACCACCAAAACAGUCUCCUCCACCACCUUAUUACUACAAGUCACCACCCCCACCAGUAAAGUCUCCACCACAGCCACCAAAGCAUUCUCCCCCGCCACCUUACUAUUACAAAUCACCACCUCCACCAAUGAAGUCUCCACCACCGCCACCUUACUAUAAAUCACCACCACCACCAAAUUCUCCCCCUCCACCUUACUAUUACAAAUCACCACCACCACCAAAGCAUUCCCCCCCGCCACCUUAUUACUAUAGAUCUCCACCACCACCAAAGUAUUCUCCCCCACCACCUUACUACUAUAAGUCACCACCUCCACCAAAGCAUUCUCCCCCGCCUCCUUACUAUUACAAAUCUCCACCACCACCUUACUAAUACAAAUCUCCACCACCACCAUCUCUAUCCCCACCUCCAUCUUCCAUUUACACCGCCACCAUCUACAUCACCUCCACCACCAUCUCCAUCAUUGUCACUAUUGCCUUCCGACUACUCCAUGUGAUCACCACCUCCCGAAGACUUCUAAGUUCAAUGUCCCUUCUUGAAACAAGUUUAAAAUUCAAUAAGAAAAAAUGUGUUCCUUCGGUUGCCCUUUUUAUGAUUUUUUAUGUUAAUGUUUUUAUGAAUAAUUUGUAAGAAGCGUUGGGUGUAUCAUUUGUCAUGUGCAAUAAAAAUUUCUAACUUGAUGUAUCCUAAAAAAAAAGUAUUGUGCCAAAAGAAUUAUUCUAUUGUUUUAUCACAAAUGUGUUGUGGCACAUGUAAUGCGCCUGGAUGAAGUAAUAUUAUGUCUUAAUGAAUAAUCAUGCACAACAGUGAUCAUGUACAUAGUUCUUCCAAUGUCAUGAUAAUGUCCAUGCACGUAAUAAAUAACUUCUUCCUUAUAAUAUCAAAGAAAAUGAAGAUACAAACCUUUUAUUCUCUAAUCAUUUAGUCAAACAAAAUUGUUUUAAUUUAGGUUUUGAUCAAUCUUAAUGCUAAUAAAUUCUAACUACAAAUCAAAUACAAUAUCAGCAAAAAUCAUAUUUUAAAUGAAUCAAAAAACAAACACUAGACUUAACCAAGCAGUUAACCUUUAUUAUUCUCCUCAGCAAAGGAUACAAAGAUGUAGGUAGAUUACAAGUUAUCACUGAAAAAAUAGAAAUCAUCUAAAAUGGUGAACAAAUGAGCUCUAAAUAUGUUGCACUCAUUUGUUCAACUAAGCAAUAGAAUUACCCUUUUCCAUUUUAACUGCUUGUCUGCUUUAGCAUGGCAACUUUAAAUAACACCCUUCAACUUGAAAAUUUUGAAUAACCAGAGCGAUCAAUAAUUGUAAAUCUUGAAAAAAAAAAUUUAGUUUAAUUAAAGCCAUAAACAUAAUAUUAAAUAAAAUGAAAAAAAGGUAGUAAACGUAGUGUUGAACUACUUUAUACUUGUGAACUAACUUUUGAUGUUGAUUAAGAUCAUGGACCCUCAACUUUUGUAUUAUGAAUAUGCUCAUGUCCUAUCUUAGGUCUCCUCUAUAAACCACCUUUUUUUAAAAAAUUAUAUUCAUUAUGAUACUAAGGUACAAGCAGAAGUAAGAUUCCUUUAAUAUUUUUGUAACCAGGAUGUGGCAACCUAGGUGAUACGUGAAUUGGUUUUUUGCACAUUUUGCUAUAUUUUUUUGUGUGUAUGCUUGCUGUUUUUCUCUUUGUUCCAACAAUUUCCACAUGAGGAUAAUCUCAUUUUAACAAAGAAAGAUACCACUAAAUUACUACAAAACAUGAAUUCUAAUAUACUAGAAACUAUUCUUUUUUUUUUUUGCCUUUUCAUAUAUUAGAGUUAUGUUUUUAUCAUCUUAGUGGCAUAUAUGCAUUUUAACUAAAUGAGAAUAUUCUCAUUUCAGAAUUAUUAAUAAGAGAGUAGUAGACAAAUGAUACAAAACUAUGCUGCUUUACUAUUAACAACACAUUCAAUGGAGUAAUGAUAGAGAGUAAAUUCUAACACCACAUGAAAACAAACAAAAGUUGAAAUAUUUUAGCUAAUACGUUUAAAGUUUGAAUUAGUAAUAAAAUUGUCUCAGAAAACUGCCUUAAUGGAAUUAAUGUGAGAUUUAUUGGUCGGUUGUAUCAAUAUCAUUUUCCGGAAAAAAAAAAUUUAGUCAAAAUAUGAAAGGUUUGUUCUGCAAGUGGUUGAUAUUGCUGUACAUUAAUAUCAAAGAUACAUUAAGUUCGUACCAAAUUUUAUUAUAAAAUUCAUAAAUGUAUAAGUAGAAGAUUUUAUAAAUUAAUUCCAGGUAAAACGUCGGUGAUGUGAAUAAAUGGUGAAGAGAAAGCUCUAAUAAUUAUAGUAAUAACAGUGAGAAGCUAGCUCAUCAUCGAGUUGUAAGAUAUAUUUUUGAAUUUUCUUGAACACGCUUUGACGUACGAUUAGCAAAAAAGUCUGUCUAUGAGCAAUCGGUCGUACACAGCUUAACUAAACCAUUGACAUUGUAAUUAAUUGAUGAGCUUUUUCUAAUUUCUAUGAAUCAAAUGCAGAUAUUUAGUGGGCAACUACCAACCCUUGCUUGGCAAAAUAUAGGAAAGAAAAACGUGAAAUUUAUAAAUGUUACAUUUUUUUAGAUGAAUAAUUUUGAGAUAAUGUUUCAGUUUCCGAUAUUGUUAUCUAUACCUAAUUAUAGAUAAUAAAGAAAUAUUUUCUAAUUUUUUUUAUCAACAUUUACAAUACAUUUUAUUUUUAUUUCUAAAAAAAUAGAUAAAGCACAAAUUAAUUAUUUUAACCCUCUAUCUUCACAAUAUUUAAACUCGAAUAAUCAGUUAAAGUUGUUCGAGAAUGUUUAAAUGCCAUUUAAGUAUACCACGUCAUUCAUAUUUUGCAAUCAUCCAAUUGUGAGGAUUCCCAUGUACUGAAAAUAAAUAGAAAUACACAUGCAUAUGUCAUAUUGUCUCUGAACCGCAGAAUGAUUGUAGUACUUGCAAUGCGUGUAUUUUAGACUUUGUCUUUCUCUGAUUUAAAUGAUCUAUAAUUUUCCUUUGUCCUUUAAUUAGAAGUCAGCAGUCAAAGUUGUGGGCAAGUAGGAUAUAUAUAGUAAUUUCCUUGAGAUCUUCUGUCUUCUAAGACAUUGUAAACACCAAACGUGAUCACUAUUUUGAUCAUUCAAAUACUACAUAAAAUAUAUGAAAUGUGAGACAAGUCAAAAGAAUUGAUUCUUCACAAUUGUAUAUAGUAUUAUUUGAUUCUGCCUCCCACCUAUACACACACACACACACACACACACACACACACAUAUACCCUGAGCAGGAUUUACAUUUUGUCUUUACAUUUUCCACAACGCCUUUAAUUUUUACAGUGAUUAAAAAAGGCCAAAAUAUUGAUGUAUUACCUCCAACUACUAUUUAGACUUUGUUCAAAUCCCAUUGUAUCCAGGCUGUAAUUUUUAUAUUAAACAAACAUAUUUUAUUUUAUGUCAGCAAUAUUGAUGACAAGAUCACUAUAUAAAGAGUAGCAACUAGGUUGUUUAUACAAGUCACAAAACAUAAUUUCACUUUGAAUUUUAAAAAGAUUAAUGAAGUUCAUACAAAUGCUAUUAUGGAUUUUUUUUUCUUUGGACGUUGUUUUGUGAAUCAUAAGGGUUAAUUUAAUAAGGUGGGUUCACUUGUAUAAAGCGCACUCAUUUUACCAUACUGUUGCAAGCAAUGAAAAAACGCUAUAAUCUUUUUAAGUUUCUACAAGUAUUAUGUUAUCAUAUAUCCAAAUGUGCAUCUGUAUUCUUUGCUCUCAGUUCCGGUUCUCUAGAAGUAUGUUAAUUAUGAAAAGCAUUAAAGGUUCCAAAACUCUAUUUUGCGGGGAAAAAGAACCUCCAUUUUUGGUUUUUUAUUAUAUGAGGUUUUACCGCGCUCGUAAUAACUUAAUCGAAAUUAAACUUAUCACUGGUCUAUAUUUUUUAUCAGAUUUUGUGACUAACUAAGAUGAGUAUCACCAGCAAAUCAACAAAGCUAAUACCUUUGUCUACUCGUUCAAAGGAAAAUAGAGUACAAGCCGGGAGAGGGGGAAAAAUGCUUAGCAAUUUAUACUGUUGGUUGCGAUAUCAUGCAACAAAUAAAUAUAUGAAAUCAAACAUACAUCCAAAAUUUAAAGUAAAAAAAAAAAAUCUAAAUCUUGAGUAAUCUAGCUGAAAUUCUGUUCAACCCACAUAGGUGGAGCAAUAUAGUUCCAAGACUUGGUUUUAAAACAUGUCUUUGUAAUAAACAACAUCAUGAUGCUUGCGCCAAUUCCCAUUCCGAUAAUUGCCUAUAUUGAUCCAAGAUCCAUGGCCAGGUUUAGAAUGUGCUAGUAUUCUUUCUCUUCCAUAAAUAACCAUUACUAUGUAAUCGGAGUGCGGUCUAAAUUUUUCGGGGAUAAAACGUCAAUGUAUGUGCCGGAAGUUGAAGCUGAAUGCACUUAAAUAUGUUCGGAAUUUGAAGUUGAACGCCUGAAAAAGGGUGCAGACUGAAGAAAGGCAAUUCCUGGAAUUUUUUUUGGUAAGAAAACAUGACUGCUUAUGUCCUUUGAAAGACUGAAGAAACCAAAUUGAUUAUUGCUGCAAUUUAGUGGCACGUGUACAAGGAGAGGCAUCCGAUUAAACUUGUUCAUAAAAUUAUUGCUGAUAGUUGCAGCCGAUCUCCAUGAAGUACAAACCCAACGCAAAGAAACAAAGUGUUCGUACAAUUUUAUCCGCCAGCAAUUUCGACCAAGAGACCUUGAUGCAGUUCAGACCAAUCACCACUUGAGCAUUUGUUAGGAAAUUGGUGGAUGAAGCAGACACGCAUCUAAAAUAAAAUUGGAAGAAAAAUAAAGAACAAGCACAAAAAGGACACCAAGAAAUUACGUGGUUCGACUUUUAGCCUACGUCCACAGACGAAUACAGAAGGAAAAUAUUUUACUAGUGAAAAGAAGUUACAAGUAUUGUGAUAUUUUAACUCACUACCCAAAAUCUCAAUACACCCAAACUCUCAAAACACUAAUCACUCAAGAGUUUAUUAAACUCUUAAUACUCUCAAUUUCCUAUAGGAAGGAAAUGCUUCUCUCUCGAUGGAAUGCUUCAGCUCUUCAUCUGCACUUCUAUUUAUAGAAAAAUAAUGGCCAAGAAAUCAACGAUUUUAGCCCAACAAUUAUGGCUUCAAUUUCGUCAAUCUGUGUGGCUUCAAUUUUGUCAAUCUAGCGUUCAAAAUUUGUGGGUUGUGUUCUCCAUUUUCUUUGAUUUGCUGGCACCAAAGUCAAGUACCAAAUUUGGUGCUGACUUUUAGGUGUUUGCUUUGACAUUCUCCCACUUGGAGAUUAAAUUGAAAAUUAAUCAAUCUCCACACCAUCCUUUCUAUUUCGUCAUAAUCAUGUUGCCUACAUUUCUGCUAGGCCAUAAGAGGAUCUACUUCAGACAAACUUGUCAAUAUUUAUUGGCUUGGUCAAAACAUCUGCUAGGUCUUCCACUACUUCUCGAAUGAAGUGAUACUGACUUCCUAUAUGCUUUGUCCUGGAAUGAAAUACUGAAUUUCUUGCAAUAUGCAAGGCACUCUAACUGUCACAAUACACAUAAAAUUUCUCUUGUUUGUACCCGAGCUUCUCCAAUAACCUUUGUAUCCAGAUAGCUUCCUUGUAAGCUUGUGUAGCUGCCAUGUAUUCUGCUUCUGUUGUAGAUAAAGCCACAACGAUCUGCAGUUUCGAAACCCAGCAUACAACUCCUCCUGCAAGUGUAAACACAUAACCAGUAGUUGAUUUUCUUUUAUCAAUGUCUCCUACAAAAUCUAAAUCCACGUAGCCCCUAAUAGUAAAUUCUUAUCCUCCAUAACAUAAUAUAACAUCUGAGGUUCCUCUGAUAUAUCUCAGAAUCCUCUUUACAGCUAUUCAAUGCUCUCCACCACGAUUCGCCAUGUAUCGACUGACUGCUCCCACUGCUUGUGCAAUGUCUAGUCUAGUACAUAUCAUAGCGAAUAUCAAACUUCCCACUGUUGAUGCAUACGGUACUCGAGACAUCUCCUUCCUCUCUGCUUCAUUGUUAGGACACAUACUUGAGGAUAAUUUGAAAUUAACAGGAAGUGGGGUAGAAAUUGGCUUACGAUACUGCAUGUUGAAGCGUCACAAGAUUUUCUUCAAGUAGUUCUUCUGAGAAAGCCAAAUCUUCAUGUUAUUUCUGUCUCGGUGAAUUUACAUCCCUAGAAUCUUGUUUGCUGAUCCCAAGUCCUUCAUUUCAAACUCUCUAGCUAAUUGUGCCUUCAAUUCUUGGAUUCGAUCUUUGUUAAGGCCUGCUACCAACAUGUCAUCCACAUACAAUAGCAAAAUAAUGAAAUCAUUAUCUUCAAACCUUUUGUAAUAUUCACAAUUGUUUGAACUGAGUCUGUUGUAUCCAAGGCUCAUGAUAAAGGAAUCAAGUCUCUUAUACCAACAUCUCGGCGCCUGUUUGAGAUCGUAUAGAGAUUUGUUCAACCUGCAAACCAAAUUUUCCUUUCCUAUUUCUGCAAAACCUUCUUAUUGGAGCAUAUAUAUUUCUUCUUCAAGUUCUCUAUGAAGAAAUAUAAUUUUCACAUCCAACUGCUCAAGAUAUAAGUCAAAUGUAGCACACAUCGCUAAGACUACUCUGACUGUUGUGAGUCGAACUACCAGAGAAAAUAUCUCGUUGAAGUCAAUACUUUCUUUUUGAACAUAUCCUUUCACCACCAAUCUUGCACGAUACCGUUCCACUUGGUCAUUGCCAUCACGUUUGAUCUUAUAGACUCAUUUGUUUCCAAUAAUAUUUCUUCUACGUGGUAGUGGUACAAGUUCCCAUGUCUUGUUCUUGUGUAGAACCUCAAUUUCUUCCUGCAUUGCUGUCAUCCACAAAGUAACAUCUGAGCUGUUUAAAGUUUCAUGGAAAUUUGAAGACUCUCCAUCCUCUAUUAGAAGACAGUAAGCAAUAUUGAUCUCUGUGACAUACUCCGAGUGCCACACUAGCGGUUGUCUCUCACGAGUUGACUGACGAACUUCUGGAGCCUCGGACUCGACUGGUUCUUGUUCCUCGUGCUCUGGUGCUGCUUUAGAAGAAUCUGAAUCUUCUGGAUUAUUUUCCACGUAUACCUGCACAAUCUCUAACUUUUCUUUUACAGUGCCAUCAUCUCAAUCUUUCCUUUGCAGAUGAUCUUCUACAAAAAUAACAUCUCUGCUAAUGACGAUCUUGUGGGCAGUGGGGUCCCACAGACGAUACCUCUUUACUCCAUCAGCAUAUCUCAAUAAGAUACAUCUUCUAGAUUUUGGAUCUAGCUUUAUUCUUUCUUGGGCAUUGUAUAUCACGUACACGAGACAUCCAAAUGCAUGUAGGUAUGAGUAAUCAGCUGGCUUUCCAGUCCACAUCUUCAUCGUUGUCUUCAGCCCAAUUGCUAUAGAUGGUGACCGAUUUACUAUAUAACAGACAGUUUUGGCUGCUUUUGCCCAGAAUGAAUUAGGUAAACCAGCAGUCCUUAACAUAUCUCUUAUUCUUUCUGUAAGAGUUCUGUUUAUCCACUCUGCCACUCUGUUUUGUUGAGGAGUGUAUGCUAUCAUGAACCGCCUCUGAAUACCUUCUUGCUUACAGAAAGCAAGAAACUCGUCGUUUGUAUACCCUCCACCAUUAUCUGUCCUCAAGCACUUGAUCUUUUUACCAGAUUUAAGUUCCACCCGCGCUUUGUAUUCUUUAAACACUAGAAAAACAUCUGACUUUUUCUUAAUUAGAUACACCAACAUUUCCUAGAAUAAUCAUCAAUGAAAGUCACCAGUACUUUGCACCUCCUAUGGACAUAUCCGGUGAUUCCCAAACAUCAAAAUGAAUCAAGUCUAAAAUGCAGUUACUUCUAGCAACAGAUCUACAGAACUUUAAUCUAUACUGUUUACUUAUAACACAAUGCUCGCAAAAUGGUAAACUUACCGAUUUGAGCCAUGGAAGCAAUUUUCGCUCAGAGAGAAUCUUCAAACUUUGUUCCAACAUGUGGCCAAGUUUGAGGUGUCACAUCAUCGUUGAUUCUUCUCCAUUUGACGCGACACACACAUCAGCCUCCUAUAGUGUUUCUCCUUUAAGCAUGAAUAGAUUAGCAUCGAUCUUUUCUGCCUUCAUCAAUACAAGCGUGCCUUUAACGAUCUUUAUAAUUUCAUUCUCUAUAUGAGUUUUGUACCCAUGGCUAUCCAUUUGUCCCAAAGACAAUAGAUUUUUCUUCAUGCCGUUAACAUGUCGUACUUCCCCAAUUGUGCGAAUUGUACUAUCAAAUAUUUUUAUUUUGAUAGUACCAAUACCAGCGAUCUCCAAGGCAUGAUCAUCUCCCAUAUAUACAGAUCCUCCUGAGAUAGGUUCAUAUAUGAGGAACCAUUCUCUCCGAGAGGUCAUGUGCUAGGUAGCUCCUGAGUUUAUAAGGCAGACAUCAGAUAAUUGUUUUCUGCCUUCUGAAACAGUUGUUGCCUCGCUGUAGAGAAUUUUGCCAUCAUCUGAGGUACUUGCUACACACCCCUGAGCAUUUUAUAACUCGGGUUCUUUGCCUUCUUUUCUCUUCUGAUUACUCCAACACUCUUUCUUGAUGUGCCCUUUCUUACCACAGUUGUAGCAUUUAACAUUCUUCUUACUUCUGGAUUUUGAUCUACCAUGAUUGUGACUCCCACUGGGACCACGUUCCAUUGAUCUCCCUCUCGUCACUGAUAGCGCCUCCGCUUGCUACGAACUUGCUUGUCUGUUUUCUUUAUUUUUUUUGUCUGCUCUCCUCAUUUAAUACGGAGGCUGCAACAUCGUCGAAAACCAGACUAUCCGCUGGAUUUUUGUUCGUCAUGUUGAUGAUGAGUUGAUCAUAUGAAUCUGGUAGACUUUGAAGUAGAAGCUCUGCACGUUCAUUUGCCUCUAUAUUAUGACCCAACGUUGUGAGUUGUGAAAAUAGAGUCUUCAAGGUGUUGAUGUGUCAUUCGAAGAGUAUAGAGUUUCCUCUUCGAAGAGUAUAGAGUUUCCUCUUCAAGAAAUAAAUUUAUCAAAGAUAAAAUGGAGACAAAUGUAAAUAAAAAAAAAUGAAAAAGCAAUAAAUUAUUGAAGUUGUUUGUGAGUUUAUUCGACAGAUAAUGGAUGCGUAUGCCUUACCUGCUAUUAAGAUUAAUUAGCUUCUUCAUUAACCGAAUACGAAAUAUUGAGGGGGAAAAAAACACAUAAUUGAAUCUUGAUUAAGCUAAAAGAAAUAACUCUGUUCAACCCACAUAGGGAGAGCAAUACGGCUACUAGACUUAUCCAUAAAAUGGGGGACAAUACUAUCAUCUCGAAUAUCAUAGAUUCCCAUGUUCUUACCGUUUACUUUCCAUUUAUCAGUGAAUUGUAUUUCUACUUGAGAACAAUCAGUAAAGUAUAUGCAAUUUCGUUCGCAGAUCGAGGAGUCCAAUAUUUCAAUAGAAAAAGAAGAAUUAAGACCCAAGAAGAGUGCUCUAUUUCCCAAAUCCUUGACCUUCGUCCAUGUAUUAGUGGUUAAAUCCACCUCAAAAACCUGAAACUUAUUCGCUCUACUUCGUGUGACAACCACCAAUGCCCCUCCAGAUUCUACCAAAUAUAGUAUUGAAGAGGACAUAAGUAACGAGAUUGACAUCCGUGCCACAACAAUCAAGUUAUUAGGAACGUGACCAGUAAAAUCACAAACAAAUAUAUAACCGAGCCAAUUUAUAGCAUAAAACCUGCCUUUGUGAUAAAUAACAUCAUGAAACCUGUACCAAUUCCCAGUGUCUACAGUGAUCCAAGUUUCUUGGCCUGGUUUAAAAUAAGCUAGUCUUCUUUCACUUCCACAAACAACCAUUACCGUAUAAUCAGAGUGUCGCUCCAAAUUACUCGCAGAAACAACAAAUUUUUUGAAGAAGAAGGGAUGGUCGACGCAAUAUUCCCAGGGCAUAAACGUACGUAUGUUCGGAAGUUCAAGUUGAACCCAUGAAAAGGAUUCAAAAGACUUGCAUUUAGAUUUUGAACAUGGAGUCUCAGAAGCCAACCCUUGGAAGAAAGGCAGUUCCUGUGGGAAUUUGCUUCUGGUAACAAAAUACGGCGGCUCAUGCCCCUUGACAGACUGAAGAAACCACGUUGAUUAAUAUCGCCGCAAUUUAGUGGCAUAUGCAUAAGGAGAGGCAUCUGAUUAAACUUGUACAUAAAUUUUUUGAUAGCUGCAGCCCAUCUCCAUGAAGUACAAACCCAACGAAAAGAAACAAAAUCCUCGUACAAUUUUAUCCGCCCAGCAAUUUCGACCAACAGAUCAUGAUGAAGUUCCGAUCGACCAAUUCGCCAUUUCAGAGGCCACUCGACUAGAGAUUAAUUGAAAUACCCUAACCCCUUAAGACUAAUCUCGCUCUCUCUCUCUUGUUGAAAAUUGAGUAAAAAAAAAAAGAGAGUUGAAAAGUCAAUUUGGAAGAUAUCAUUUGAAUUCAAUUUGGAGAUAGUCGAGAAGUUUGAUAAGCAAUUAGAAGUGGUCAAAACUAUUGAAAUGGUGGCUAUUGAAUGUUGAAAAAUUGGCUUGAUUUUAGGCAAAAUCUUGCCUAUAAAAGGAAGCUCUCAUUUGAGAGCUUGGCAUCCCAAAUCCCAGAGAUGGAAUCCAAGUUUUGGUGAGAAAUUAAGAGGGAGAAAUAUUCUUAAGCAUGUAGUUAUAUUGAAGGAGCAUUUGGCUCCUCAAUACAGGUAUUAUGGGUUUGCUUUGUUAAGGGAUAUUUCUCAAGAUUAUGUAUUUGGGGCUUGGGUGAGAGAAAAUUUAUGAGAGUGUGGUUGUAAUAAUUUUCCACAUAGUGAAUAUUUUUUUUUCUCUGGUUGUCUUGUGACAACGGCCGUGGUUUUUCUCCGGAUUUAGAGUUUUCCACGUAAAUCUUGUGUUGUGUGAUUGGUAUAUUCUCCAUUCAAUUUUUCUUAUUAAUUUGUUGCUUGAUAAAUUGCUUGGAGAGAUCUUGGGAGGAAACUCAAUUUCCUAACAGUGGUNNNNNNNNNNNNNNNNNNNNNNNNNNNNNNNNNNNNNNNNNNNNNNNNNNNNNNNNNNNNNNNNNNNNNNNNNNNNNNNNNNNNNNNNNNNNNNNNNNNNNNNNNNNNNNNNNNNNNNNNNNNNNNNNNNNNNNNNNNNNNUUUUGGCACCUCAAGAAAAUUGUCAAGAAGGUGGAGUGGGCUCGGUAAAUUACUCCAGAAUCAGUAAAGGAGAUAAUGAUAUUCUCGUAGAUAGUGAGUUUCCUUUUGAUAGGAGAUUGGGUUAGUUCUUUUGGCAUGUAAAUCUCCAAGUUGCCAUGAAAGAGAACAUGCUAUGAUCAGCGGGGUACACAAGUUUGCACGCGGGCAUUGGCUUGGUAUAAAUGCAAGGUGUGUGAUGGAAAAGUUAUGUCAUGGCUGAAGAAUUCUCAGGGAAACCAAGCAUGAGAAUUGCACCAUAAUUUUCAGCGGAUAUGUUCGACAUGUGCCGAAAAAAAAAAAUCUUAGAAUGGUUAAUUCUAAGUGUUAUACUCUUUAUGGUGGAGUAUGAUAAUUCUCUAUGUUGAGAAUUAUGACUGUUGGUGAAGACAGUGCUUUGUAACAUUAGUUAUGAAUUUUUUUUUUUUUUUUUAUCAAGGUGGAGAUUGUUGAAAAUUGAUUAAAAAAAAAAGAGUUGAAAAGUCAAUUUGGAAGAUAUCAUUUGAAUUCAAUUUGGAGAUAGUCGAGAAGUUUGAUAAGCAAUUGGAAGUGGUCAAAACUAUUGAAAUGGUGGCUAUUGAAUGUUGAAAAUUUGGUGAGAAAUUAAGAGGGAGAAAUAUUCUUAAGCAUGUAGUUAUAUUGAAGGAGCAUUUGGCUCCUCAAUACAGGUAUUAUGGGUUUGCUUUGUUAAGGGAUAUUUCUCAAGAUUAUGUAUUUGGGGCUUGGGUGAGAGAAAAUUUAUGAGAGUGUGGUUGUAAUAAUUUUCCACAUAGUGAAUAUUUUUUUUUCUCUGGUUGUCUUGUGACAACGGCCGUGGUUUUUCUCCGGAUUUAGAGUUUUCCACGUAAAUCUUGUGUUGUGUGAUUGGUAUAUUCUCCAUUCAAUUUUUCUUAUUAAUUUGUUGCUUGAUAAAUUGCUUGGAGAGAUCUUGGGAGGAAACUCAAUUUCCUAACAUCUCUCUCUAUCUAUAUAUAUAUAUAGUGUAUGUUAACUAGAAAACCUUUUUCAAAUCGGAGGCGUACAAAAAAUUAACAUAGUAAUUUUGUACAUUGCGACAAGAAUCUAGUUAUGAAUUCUACUAAAAUCAGGAAAAGCAAGUCAAUUCCAAAUAGAACAAGAGUGGUAAAAUUGAAAUAACAAAAGUACUAUUCAAAUAAGAAAACUAGUAUGGGCUUGUAUGUAUCUGUCAAUUGGAUUCGGCCAAUAGCCAGUGCACGACCCACCAAAACUAGUGGGCAAUGAUCUCGUUAGCCAUUAUGGUUCUGUCAAUUAUACAUUAUGUGUUAGAUUGAAGACGUAGAAAAGGUGAACUUAAUGAGGAAAAAAGAAAGAAAGAAAGAAAGACGUCGUAAUAAUUUCUUUGUAAUGCUGCUAACCUAAGAUAAAUUGAAUCAAAUAGAAAUAGAACUGGGGUACGUGUGGUUGAGCUUGCUUUUGUUAAAUGGACAUCUCGUUCCCCUCUAAAUAUUCCCCUCUUGCCAUGUUUGCUCGCGGUGAAUUUUGUCAAAUUCUUUGGUUCUUUUCGAACCAGAGACGUGAAAAAAGAUUAAAUAAAUAAAAAAUAAUCAUAAUUUCAUUCUGUUAUUCCACAUUAUAUUUAGUUAUAGUAGGAUAAGGUCAAUCAAGUCAAAUCAAUCAUGAGUUUCAUUUGACUGGAUACUUGAGUUCUAACCCCCUUAAAAAAUAAAAAUGUCAAAAUAUGAAUAGUUUCUAUAUAUUGCUCAAGGAAAAUCAAGAGAAAAAUUAGAAUCAAUCAAGCACGGAGAAUUGCAAGGAGAAUAAUGGAUACUUAAACAAUAUACUGUUUUUAAUUACAAUAUAAUCUCCAAUGAUCUUAGAAACAAAUAAUUACUUAUGAAGCAUUGCAAGUAGUUUAUGUUGAAGUAAAAUAGAAACGUAAUUAAGAAUGAAAAAUACGUCAACAUUGUAGCUGCUUCUAAUUUUAGGCAGCAAAAUAAAUUUGAAAUCAAAUAUACAAACCAAUUUUUUUUAAAAAAAUAAAAUCUAAUCGUAAGUAAGCUAACUAAAAUAAUUAUGUUCAAGCCACAUGGAGAGAGCAAUACGGCUACUAGACGUACCCGUAAAAUGUGGGACAAUGCUACCGCGUCCAAUGCCGUAGAUUCCCAUGUCCUUGCCCUCAUUGGAGCCCCUUUCUACUUGACAAUCAUCAGUGAAAUAUGCCCCUCCUGAUUCUACCAAAUAUUACCGCUGCCCCAACGAAGACCAAGACAUUUAACACUUGUGCCAUAACCGUCAAAUUAAAUUAGAAUCCUCAGCACUAAAAUCACAAACAACUAUCCGCCCACACUUAGCUACAGCUAGAAUAAAACUUAUCUUUGUGACAAAUAACAACAAGCCUCUCCCAUUCCAAGUGUGUACACUGAUCCAAGAUUUUCGGCCUUGUUGGAAAUAACCAUUACUAUGUAAUCAGAGUUUUCCAGGUUACUCAAUGACACAAUAAAUCGUUUGAAGAAAAUGGAUUGGUGAUCUCGUUGAGGAAAUUCCCUAUAUUAUUACUACAACGUGUUCUAAAUGUGGUCGGAAGUUGAAUUUGAACACGUUAGAAAGGAUGCAAAAGAGACUUACAUUGCAAUUUCGAGCGUCAAAUGUUAGAAGCCAACCAUUUGAAGAAAGGCAGUUCCUGCAGGAAUUUGCUUCUGAUAACAAAACACGGUCGCUUAUGCCUUUGAAAGACUGAAGAAACCACAUUUGCUAUUGCUGCAAUUUAGUGGCAGAUGCAUAAGGAGAUGCAUCUGAUUAAACUUGUUCUUUUAAAUGUCAUUAUAUUCAGUUGUUAUUUUGUUUUGUUGACAAUAAUUUGUUUAGGUGUCAGUUAUUUAGGACCUAGUCAAGUAAGUGGUGGACUUAGUCUACGACUUGGUAGGAAUUAUUGCCCACUUACCUUUUUUUCAUGCUUAGAGUUGCCUGUCUUUAGGAAUAACCGUUGUCUUUUUGUUUAUAAAGGUUCAGUAAAUAAAGAUGCAUAGGUAACUCUGAAUUUGAACAACACCGGUGUGUUUCACAGGGAGGUGCAGGGUCUCUCGAACGAUUCUGAUUUAUUUUCUUGCUUUCCUUCUUAAAUAUUUCAUCUUGCAUCCAAAAUGUUAGGCAGGACUAACAAGACUGAUUCAAGCUCGCUGUACCAUGUUCGUAAAGCUGUUGAUAGUGCCAGCCAAUCUCCGUGAAGUACAAACCCAACAAAAAGAAACAAAGUCUUCAUACAAUUAACUAUUUGAAGAAUAAAUGUGACAUUUUAAUUGGAAAAUUAACUAAUUGAAGCCAAGAUCUAGAUCCAGUGGUAAAGUGCAAUUUUUAUAGAUUUCAAGUUUUGCGUUUGAAUUUGAAUGGGUGAGUAAAUUAAUAAUAAUAAUAAAACAAAUUAACUAGUUUUAAUCUACAGAGGUCUUAGAUCAUCAAAUAAUGAUAGAACCUCGAAUUUCAUAAAUUUUAAGUUGAAUGAUUACAUUAUUUCACCAUCUAGUGAAUAAAUGCCAAAUUAUUUAAGAAAAAUUUUGAAAAUAAAAUUUUGAGAUAUAUAUCACUACUCAAUUAAAUGUAGUAUAAAAAAUACAUCAGGGACCAAAAAUAUAAAAAUCCAUUAGAAAUUAAAAAAAAAUAUAAAAGUCAAUUUCUGAUUAGAAGAAUUAAAAUAUCAUUCUCCUAUAAUCAUUUCACUAGAUUUUAUAUAUAUUUAUUACAGCAAAAUUAAAAUAAAAAAUUGGCACCUAACCCUAACGUCUUUGACAUUGCUACCAAUAUCACUCACUCACAACUUACAAGAAUGAAUCUAGACUUAAUUUUCCCAGGGAAUUUUUAGUUUGACUUUACAUUUUCAGACCCAUUUGCCACAUAACACCUUAGUUGGUUAACAAAGCCCUUUCAUGAGAAUAUUAAAACUGCUGUCGAAUAAGCAUCUUAACAACCCCUUUUUUGACAUACAUGCAUGCCUCCUUAUGUGAAGAAAUUUGAAACAUAAAAGAAAAUUUCAAUCGAUGUGAGAGUUGGGAGUAUUUUAUAGCUUUUCUCCUCAUUAAUUAUGAAUUAAGAGAAUAUUUCUACGUCACUAAUGAUUAAAAUGAUCACUAUAUAAAGGGUAGCAAAGUAUGUUUAACAUCAAGUCAGAAAACACAAUUUUAAGGAAAUGGGAACUCGGGGACAGGCGAGGCAAUGGCCUCAAUUGUUUUGUGCUAUGGCAUUUUUGCUUAUAGCCACCACCACCAAGGCAUCGGCUGAUGAUUAUGCCUCAGCACCACCACCAAAGCAUUCUCCUCCACCUCCUUACGACUACAAAUCACCACCUCCUCCUUCUCCCUCUCCACCGCCACCAUAUUAUUACAAGUCUCCCCCACCACCAUCUCCAUCUCUUCCACCGCCUUACUACUAUAAAUCACCACCUCCACCAAAAUAUUCUCCUCCACCACCUUACUACUAUAAGUCACCACCUCCACCAGUGAAAUCUCCACCUCCGCCAUAUUACUAUAAAUCACCACCACCACCAAAACAUUCUCCCCCGCCACCUUACUAUUACAAGUCACCACCACUACCAGUGCAUUCUCCCCCACCGCCUUACUAUUACAAAUCUCCGCCAACACCAAAGCAUUCUCCCCCGCCACCUUACUACUACAAAUCUCCACCACCACCAAAACAUUCCCCACCACCACCUUACUACUAUAAGUCACCGCCUCCACCAGUAAAGUCUCCACCACCGCCACCAAAGUAUUCUCCCCCACCACCUUAUUAUUACAAAUCACCACCUCCACCAGUGAAGUCUCCACCUCCGCCAUACUAUUAUAAAUCACCACCACCACCAAAGCAUUCUCCCCCGCCACCUUACUAUUACAAAUCUCCACCGCCACCAAAGUAUUCUCCCCCACCACCUUACUAAUACAAAUCUCCAUCACCACUAUCUCCAUUCCCACCUCCAUCUUACAUUUAUAAAUUCUCACCGCCACCAUCUACAUCACCUCCACCUCCACCUUUGUCACUAUCACUAUUGCCUCCCUACUACUACAAGUUGCCACCACCUCAUUCAUCUUUGCUUUCGUCGUAUUACUACAAAUCACCCCCUCCUCCUAAAGACUACUAAGUUCAAUGUCCCUUCUUGAAACAAGAUUAAAGUUCAAUAAGAAUAAAUUUGUUCCUUUGGUUGCCUUUCUUAUGAUUUUUUAUGUCAAUCUUUUUAUGAAUAAUUUGUAAGAAGCGUUUAGUGUACCGUUUGUCAUGUGCAAUAAAAAUCUUGUAACUUAAUGUAUCAAAAAAAGAAGUAUUGUUCCAUAAGAAUUAUUCUAUUGUUUUAUCACGUGUUGUAGCACAUAUAAUGCGCUUGGAUGAAGUAAUAUUAUGUCUUGAUGAACAAUCAUGCGCAACAAUGAUCAUGUACAUAGUUCUUCCAACGUCAUGAUAUGUCCAUGCACAUAAUAACAAACUUCUUCCUUAUAAUAUCAAAGAAAAUGAGGAUACAAGCCUCUUAUUCUCUAAUCAUUCACUCAAACAACAUUGUUUUAAUUUAGGUUUUGAUCAAUCCUAAUGCUAACAAAUGCUAACUACGAAUCAAAUAUAAGAUCAACAAAAUCCAGAUAUGAAAUGAAUUAGAAAAAUAAACACUAGACUUAACCACGCAGUUAACCUUUAUUAUUCUUCCUCAGUAAAGGAUACAAAGAUGUAGGGAGAUUACAAGCUUUCACUCAGAAAAUUGAAAUCAUCUAAAAUGGUAAACAAAUGAGCUCAAAAUCUGCUGCACUCAUUUGUUCAGCUAAGUAAUAAAAUUACCCUUUUCCGUUUUAACUGCUUGUUUACUUUAGCAUGGCAACUUUAAAUAACACCCUUCAACUUGACAAAUUUGAAUAACCAGUGCCAUCAAUACCGGUAAAUCUUAACAAUUUUUUUUUAGUUUAGUAAAGCCGUAAACAUAAUAUUAAAUAAAAUGAAAAAAGAGGCCAUAAACAUAACUUUUGAUAUUGAUUAAGCUCAUGAACUCUCCCAACUUUUGUAUUUUGAAUAUGCUCAUGCCCUAUCUUAUGUCUCCUCUAUGAACCACUUUUUUAAAAAAUUAUUUUCAUUAUGAUACUAAUGUAUAAGCAGAAGUAAAUUUCUUUAACAUUUUUGCAACCAGGAUGUGGCAACCUAGGUGAUUCUUGGAUUGGUUAUUUGCACAUUUUUCCGAGUUUGCUUGUUGUUUUUCUCUUUGUUCCAACAAUUCCCACAUGAGAACAAUGUAAUUUUAACAAAGAAAGAUACCACUGAAGUACAACAAAACAUGAAUUCCAAUAUACUAGAGAACUUUUUUUUUUUUUUGGCCUUUCAUAUAUUAGAGUUAUGUUUUUGUUAUCUUAUAGUGGCAUAUUUACAUUUUAACUAAAUGAGAAUAUACUCAUUAGAGAAUUAUUAAUAAGAGAGUAGUAGACAAAUGAUACUCGACUAUGUUGUUUCAGUAUUAAUGACACAUUCAAUCCAGUGAUGAUCGGGAGCCAACUCUAACCCCACAUGAAAGCAAACAAAAGUUGAAAUACUUUGGCUAAUACCUUUAAAGUUUGAAUUAAUAAUAAAAUUGUCCUAGAAAACUGCCUUAAUGAAAUUAAAGUGAGAUUUAUUGAUAGGGUGCAUAAAUAUCAUUUUUCAGAAAAAAAAAAUAUAGUCAAAGUAUGAAAGCUUUGUUCUGCAAGUGGUUGCAAUUGCUGUACAUUAAUAUCAAAGAUACGUUAAGUACAUACCAAAUUCUAUUGUAAAAUUUAUAAAUUUAUAAGUAGAAGAUUUUAUAAAUUAAUUCUGGGUAAAUCCUCGGUUGUAUGAAUAAAUGGAGUAGGGAAAGCUGUAAUAAUUAUCGUAAUUACUGUAAGAAGCUAGCUCAUCAUCGAGUUGUAAGAUUUUCAAUUUUCUUGAACACGCUUUGACGUGCGAUAGCAAAAAAUUCUGUCUAUGAGCAAUCGGCCGUGCAACAUCUUAAUACUCCAUUGACUUUGUAAUUAAUUGAUGAGCUUUUUCUAAUUCUAUGUACCAAAUGGAGAUAUUUAGUGGGCGACCGCCAACCCUCGCUUAGCAAAAUAAAGGAAAGAAGAACGUGAAAUUUAUAAAUGUUACAUUUUGUUUAGAUGAAUAAUUUUGAUAUAAUGUUUCAGUUUCAGAUAUUGUUAACUAUAUCUAAUCAUAAGUAAUAAAAAAUAGGGAGAUUGUCAAUUUCUCCCCCUACAGUAAUCAACAUAUACUAUUUCCCCCCCUAUUAUUUUUAUAAUGGCCAAAAAUCUCCUUGAUAGCAUAAGUUUACAAUAUUACCCUUAUUUUCAACUACUCUUUUAUUUAUAUUUAUUACAAAUUAAAUAAAUCACAUGAAUAGAAACUAAAUAAAAAAUUAAGAAUUAAAAACAAGAAAUAUAUGUUUUGAUAUGAGCAAAAAAAUUAAUAAUAAAAUUUUUUCCUGUACUUAUUUAUUUUGUGAAAAUUUUCUUAUAAUAAAUAUAUAAGAAAAUUAUUAUAAAAUGAUAAAAAAUUAUUAUAAGAAAACUUGAAUGACAAAUAAAAAUUUAUUAUAAGAUAAAUAAUAAAAUAUUUUGUCUAUACUUUUUACAUUUAAUUUUAAAAUAUUACAAAAUGUUUAUUAUAAGAAAAUGUUCACAAAAUAAAUUAUUACAAGAAAAAAAUUAUUUAUUAAUUUUUUUGCUCAUAUCAAAACAUAUAUUUCUUAUUUUUAAUACUUAAUUUUUUUUAUUUAGUUUCUAUUCAUGUGAUUUAUUUAAUUUAUAAUAAAUAUAAAUAAAAGAGUAGUUAAAAAUAAGGGUAAUAUUGUAAACUUAACUUAUCAGGGGGGUUUUCGGCCAUUAUAAAAACAACAGGGAGAAAAUGAUAUAUGUUUAUUACUGUAGGGGAGAAAUUGGCAAUCCCCAAAAUAUUGUCUAAUUUUUUUACCAACAUUUACAAUACAUUUUAUUUUUAUUUCUAAAAAAAAUGGGAUAAACCACAAAUUAAUUAUCUUAACCCUCUAUCUUCUCAAUAUUUUUUUUUGAAUACUAAUUAAUCAUCAGAUUACUGCAUUACACAGAUAUUUACAACAACUGCUUAUUGUAGCAGAGAUAUUACACUGAUAUUUACAAUCAGAUAUACAUGACUGGGACUUACAUUAUUACAAUGAAUUCUAUGAAGUACAUGCCCAGACAAAUAACCCCUCACAGGAGAGGGAUGUCCAUACUCCACUUGCAUUUCGCAAGGGAGAAGGAUUUUUAAAUAUAAAGAACAUUUAGCCCCCACAAUGCUUUUGUGGGGGCUAGAACCGCUGCCCUCACAAUGCUUGUGAGGGCAGCAGCCCACCACUUCGGCCAAGGCCGAAGUGGCUAUCUUCUCAAUAUUUAAACUCGAGUAACCAGCAAAAGUUGUUCCAUAAUGUUUAAAAGUCAUUUAAGAUACUACAUCAUUCAUAUUUUGCAAUCAUCCAAUCGUAAAGUAUCCCUUGUAAUAACAAUAAAUAAAAAUACACAUGUAUAUGUCAUACUGUCACUGAACCGCAGAAUGAUUGUCGUACUUGCAAUGCAUGCAUUUUAGACUUUGUCUUUCUCUUAUUUAAAUGAUCAAUAAUUUUCCUUUGUCCUUUAAUUAGACGUCAACAGUUGAACUUGUGGGCAAGUAGGCUAUAUAUAUAGUAACUUUCUGGGGAUAUUCUGUCUUUUAAGGUAUUGUAAAUAUCAAAUGAGAUCACUGUCUUGAUCAUUCAGAUACUACAUAAAUUAUUGAAAUGUUAGACAAGUCAAAAGAAUUGAUUCACACACACACACACACCAUUUCGUCUUUACAUUUUCCCGAACGCGUUUAGUUUAUAUACCAAAUGCAUGUAUCUUACGCAGGGGCUUAGUAAUGAGAGCGCCCUUGACUUGUUUGAUUGAUAAAUUUUUUUUUUUUUAAAAAAAGGUAACAACUGGUUUUUGCAAUUACCAGCUGUGCUAUAAAAGAAUAAAAUAAUAAUAUGCAAUUAUUAGAUAUAUAAACAAUCAAAUCUAAAAAAUGAUGACUAAUUAAUCAAAUAAAAAAUUUGCGAAUGAGCAUUGGUUUUAUGUAUAACGACAGUUGUUUCGGAUUUAAUGAGUAAUGCUAAACUAUUUCGAGUUAAUAGUUAAACAUUUCAUAAUUUAUGUUAGCAUUAAUUUCAUGUUUGAUGGUAAAUUUAUGGGAUUCAGUUGUAGUAGUUUGAUCUCAUUUGUACUAGGUUAUAGAUUUGCAUUACAUAGCUUUAAACUUAAUGCCUGGACGUUUGGUAAAGUUUCAUGUUACUGAUUAGAUAUUUUAUGUGAGCACAAGUUUCAUCUUUAAUGGUACAAGUUAUAGGAUUAAUGCUCUGUGUAUGAAGUUAACGACAUUUAUUUCAGGUUAAUGGUUCACAAUUUCAUACUAGAAUUAGUUUCAUAUUUAAUUGUGACGGUUUCACUAUUGCUACAAAAUAUUUUUAGCGGAAUUAAAUUACAGUCAUCAACAUUUUUCAUUUAUAAAUAAUCAAAGAAACUAUUUCUUCUUUUGUUUUUGGGAAGGCCAAAAAUGGCAUGCACACUCUUACAUAGAUCAGAGUCAACUUGUGAAUGAGUGGCCAUUCACACUAUUAUUUCUGCUGACAAAACGUCCGUCCAAUGACAAGGUGCAGACUGCAGACACGGUGCGGUCAAGGAGAUAUUCAAUAAAUAUUUAGUAUGACUUACUUAUAGUUUACUUAAUCCUAAAAAUUUUUAUUAAAAUUUUUAACCUUGGUUUUCUAAUAAAAUUUUUUAAAAAAUUAAAUAAAUUAUUUUUAAACUUUUUUAAAAAAAUAAAAAUUUUAUAAUAUUAAAAUAUCUCAAAUAAAUUUUAUUUACUCUGCUGUAUUAAAAUAAUUUUAUAAUUUUUAAUAAAAAUUCUCAUCAUUAACCGAACAAUUAAAUUUUUUUUAAAACACUUUCAUCUAAAAAAAACUAUUAAGAUAAGCUCCACCCAGUCAUACUUUAUUUGGAAAACUAUAUCAAACAUAGUCUUUUCGUCUACUAACAGUAGUUCAGAACGAAAAACGUUUCAGAGCCAGGCGAAUUACACAGCACAGAAUGAACAGGGCAACAUAAAUUGCCUAAAAUACAAUUAAAAUAAAAUAAGUCUUCACAAUUUGCUUCUCUUUAACUUCCGCAUAAGCUAGAUUUGAGUUCUUGAAUUUUCCGAAGACAGGAUUGAGCCUUCUCAAGAACCAAAUCAAUCCUGUUCCUUCCCUUGAAGUUCCCUUCAACCUUCUGACACUUACUUCUUUCCUCAAUGAUCACUUCGUGGGUUAAAGAACCACCUUUCUUUCUCUUCUUGCUCGUUGAUGCUAUUACAUAAACAACAACCAGAAAUAUUAAUAAACAAAGCUAUGUUAAUUAAUAAAAGGAAAGAAAGAGAGACAGAAUGUUAAGCUGACCUUGUGUGGUAGCAGUGGAACAAGAGGGAAUGUUAUUACUAUAUUGUUGGGAUUCAAGUAAUAAUAUGAAAGAUUUGAGCUCCAUUUUGAGAUGGCCAAAGCGAUUUGGGUACUGGGUUUCAAGCAUUUGCAACUCUUCCUUUGCCUGCUUCAGCAUUUUGUAUGAUGACCAUUCACUUUCCACGUCCUUAUUUAAUUUCUAUUGCCCUUUUCAUUCUUUCUCUCUCGCUCUCUCUCUUUUUUGACAGACCCUUUUCUUUCUCUUUUAAUUUCAAACUGAAGCGACAGAAAGGCACGAGACAUAUGGAAGGUUUUCGGUUUUGGUAAUAAAAAGGGAGGUGGAAAGUUGUGCAUUUUUUUUAAAGCAAAGAUGUGGAAAGUUCAGGCAGGCAGAAAAGGCGUAAUUGGAAUGUGUCUUAUGUGUUAGCUUUUUAUUAUUAUUAUUAUUAUUAUUUUUGGCGAUUAAGACAGGGCAACAUGUUUGCCACAUGGAAGAAAUAGACAAAUAGUACUUCAAAUCAAUUAGUGAGCCUUCUCAUUAGCUCACUAACGCACAUAUUAAUUCUACAAUUAAGGGUGUUUAGACAAAAAGUCGAGAGCAAUAUAUAUAAAAAUGGAUGACCUCUUAAAAAGUUCUUGUAUUAUAUUAAGGAGAAAACUUAUAUUAUUGUAAUUUUUAAGAGUUUUGUGUGUGGUGUUGAAUCUAUAAAUGAGCAAUGAUAAAUUGGUCAUAUUAAUUUAUUAAAGAAAAAGAAAUCAGAUAUCUAUAUAAAAAUUGUAUCUGUCGGAUACCCCAUGAAAGGAAAAGGGGGAUUUCGACUAACAUGAGGGACGACCAGUCGAUCUCUGUUCAUCACUGGCUUUAGAGUUUCUCGAGAGAGAAUAAGAAAUUACGCCGGAGAAUUAAUUGUAUUGUCCAAUCUUCUAACUUUAUGCCGCAUAGAGAAGAGGGAAAAGUUAAUUAUUCGUCAAACCUUCUUUUAUGCACAAUAUAUAUAUAUUUUUUAUAAAAAAAAACAUAAUCUGCACAAUGAUGUCUGAUUUCCGGUGCUCACACUGAUCAAAUGAUUUUGUUUUGUAGAAUAUAUAUUAUAAUAUAAUUUAUUGAAAAUUUUAACGAAAGUUUUAAAAGUCUAAUUCAAAAAUUAAAUUGUUUCAACGAAGAAUUGAGAGAUAUACUCUUAACUUAAAUUAAAAGAAAAUUUAAUAACACAACUCCAAAUUUGAUCUCAAAGAUGAUAAGGUGUGAACCACUAAAUUAAUAAAUGGUUCAUCACAAUGAUAUGAAGCUGGUCGUUCAGCUUUUAAGUCAUGCUAAUUUUCUCUAUCUUGAGUGCUCCCAAAUCUUGGAUUAACUUUUUUUUUUUGGGUAAAUAUUCAUUUUUAAAGAUUUACUUAUUGAGAAAACAAUAAGGAUGUAGAUUGUCUAGUUAAUUUGGAGCUCCACUAAGAUGAUUUUUCUUUGUGGCGGCAUAGCGAUAUCCUCCCUCGGAUGUUUGUAAAUUUAUUUCUUAAGAUGCUAACAAUUUCAAUCAAUUAGCUACCUGGUUUUUUUGGUAGUAUUUUUGUUGUUGUCUUCUCUUAAGCCUCACAUGUGCUAUAGUUCUUGGGUAAGACUUAUUAAUUAUGAAUGGAGAAAAAAUGACUUUGGUUCAAUAAGUGCUAAAAAGAAGAACCAACAAAGGUCGUAAACCAAAUUUCUAGAAUUGAGGGGGAUAAAACAUAAAAUUUUAAAGAAAUUGGCUAAAUUUCUAUUCGGAUCAUCUUCACUUAACUUUGUUUCUGAAUUGAGGGACCCUAGCCUCCUAGAUGGGUCCACCCCUCCUUAUAAACUAUCUCCUCUACUUUGUUGUUGCUGCUUCUUUUUAUUUUUUGCUUACCGGCGUUUAAUUUUUUUUUUCCCAAAAAAAUUAAGGAGAUAUAUGGAUUUGGAAAUCUGAUUGGGUAGUUGUUUGAAUGAUAUGGAAAGUAAAACGUAAUCAAGAAUUUCUGGAAAAGAGUAUGUUAUUUAUGGGCAAAGCUACAUUGCAACGUGCGUUUGGUACCCCUCUCUUUUGUCUUUUUAAAGGUCAAUUACAAUAGUGUCCUGGUAUUUGUUAUAAAAAUGAAAAUGUUGAAAAUUUUUAAAAUUUUACGCAUUAGUCCUACACCUACAUAGCAUCAUUUUUCUCAUCCAUUUUGCACCAUCAAUGACAUCAUUUUUCUCACUCAUUUUAAUUAAAAGGUAAUUAAAAUUAUUUUCCAUAUAGAAACAAAAUAAUAAAUUAAAAUUCUUUUUCUUAUUUUUUAAUUAAUUAUAAAAAGAUAUUUUGUAUUAAAAAAUAAACAAUCACUAGUGACUAUUGUUUAUUCGUGUGCAAUGAUAUUUUUAAUUGAAAGGGGACAUGAAGAGUUCCAUUAUAUUUGAAAUUGGAUGAUUUACAUAAAGAUAGUCUCAAUGCUAGCAAAUGGUGAUAUGUAAAGUUGCAUGCUCCUUCUAAAAUAACUGCAACAAUAACUAUACCACAAAAACACAAGGAGUUACAUUACACUACCACCUUUUGUUUUCUUUUCUUUUUCUUUUUUAAAUCUUUUUUUUAAAUUUAGAGACCUUCAAUUUGGUUGUUAAAGGCAAUGAACCUUAAACGUGAUGUAGGAAGCAUAUUAGAUAAAAUGAAUUAGAAUUUACUAGAAAUUAUAAUAUUUGGGUCAAUUUAAAAUUUAGUAUUUUAUUAAAAUUUAUCUUAUUUUAUUAAGCUUACUUGAGUCAUAUUUGUAAUUCUAAUCUAAUUAGGAUUUCAGACUAUUUCUCUUAUUUGAGAAAGAUUAGCUACUAUUAUAUAUAUAAACUUGUUAUUCUUAAUUUAUGAUAACAGACACAAACUUCUUAUUAAUAAGCAGAGCAUUUUUGACCACCAACUCCGUAUAUUAGUUCCAUGAAGUUAAAAAAAAAAACCCAACAAAACCCGAAGCCACCAUCACAUCCGCGCCACACGGCUGCCGCCGCCGCCACUGGUUUCUCUUCUUUUCGGUCGAUCCUCUCUCCCAUCCGAAAGCCCUCACGCCGCCAAUCAUAACCCAACCCAUAACACCACCAUCUUGUCACCGUAGCCACGGGAAACUAGCCAAAACAGCUGCUGAACCACCACGAAAAUCCACCUCUCUAUUCGCCGCGAUUCACAGCCUCCACCACCACCCAUUCGUCCACGAUUAUCAGCUCUUUCUUUUCAACCCACUCACGCUGCCAACCCCCGGCUGGAUCGCCGAAAACUGAAACCAACCUCCACCCGCUACUUUAACUCAACUUUUCGAUCAAAUCACAACUAUUUGAGACAAACCACCACCAGUAUCACACUCAGCACCAUCAAAUCUUCCAAUUCCACCUAUCCUAGGCCAAUUUUUCAACCACCGUCGCCGGCAACACCAACUUUUGCCUAUUUAUAAUUUUGCCCCUUUACUUUUCUAUACUUAUACUAUUACCUAUAAUUUUCUGUUCUUUAAAAAACACCCAAAAACCAAACAAACUUAUAAAAAAAUAAAUAAAUUAGAAUUUACUAGGAAUUAUAAUAUUUGGGUCAAUUUAAAAUUUGGUAUUUUAUUAGGAUUUAUCUUAUUUUAUUAAGCUUACUUGAGUCAUAUUUGUAAUUCUAAUCUAAUUAGGAUUUUAGAUUAUUUCUCUUAUUUGAGAAAGAUAAGGAUUAAUUUAGCUACUAUUAUAUAUAUAGGCUUUUUAUUCUUAAUUUAUGAUAACAGACACAAGCUUCUCAUUAAUAAUAUUCAGUUUUUUCUCAAUUAAAAUAUCUUCUCUUUGAUGAGAGUCUCUUUCUUGAGUUUUCAAGACGUAUAAUAGAACGAAAUCUAGUAUCGCUUCCGCCCUGCGUUAAAAUGUCAUCUAAUCAUAGGGUCUUGUUAUAGUUGUUUGCAUUGGAAGGCUCAUCUAUCGCCGACAUAUCUAUUUAUCCGGCAACAUUGCCACCAUUACAUUGAUCAGAGANNNNNNNNNNNNNNNNNNNNNNNNNNNNNNNNNNNNNNNNNNNNNNNNNNNNNNNNNNNNNNNNNNNNNNNNNNNNNNNNNNNNNNNNNNNNNNNNNNNNNNNNNNNNNNNNNNNNNNNNNNNNNNNNNNNNNNNNNNNNNNNNNNNNNNNNNNNNNNNNNNNNNNNNNNNNNNNNNNNNNNNNNNNNNNNNNNNNNNNNNNNNNNNNNNNNNNNNNNNNNNNNNNNNNNNNNNNNNNNNNNNNNNNNNNNNNNNNNNNNNNNNNNNNNNNNNNNNNNNNNNNNNNNNNNNNNNNNNNNNNNNNNNNNNNNNNNNNNNNNNNNNNNNNNNNNNNNNNNNNNNNNNNNNNNNNNNNNNNNNNNNNNNNNNNNNNNNNNNNNNNNNNNNNNNNNNNNNNNNNNNNNNNNNNNNNNNNNNNNNNNNNNNNNNNNNNNNNNNNNNNNNNNNNNNNNNNNNNNNNNNNNNNNNNNNNNNNNNNNNNNNNNNNNNNNNNNNNNNNNNNNNNNNNNNNNNNNNNNNNNNNNNNNNNNNNNNNNNNNNNNNNNNNNNNNNNNNNNNNNNNNNNNNNCCCUUAAACUUAGCUUCUUGUCACAAAAGUUUCUCUUUUCAGUUAAUUUUCUUGGUCCAACAUCUAAUCUUUCAAUUUCAUAAGCAUUAGCAUCUUUAGCUGUGGUUAUAACAGUUGUAUGCUAACAACCUCUGCCCGUCACAUUCUAUUAAAAAUUUUAAAGAUCUCAAUUUUACCCUUUUUGGUUUUCGUUCUGUAGAGCACAUAGAUAUUUGAAUAUUUAAGCAAAAAAAGAAAAAAGAAAAUUAGAAUAGAGUUUUAUCAUGUCAAUUGAAUCAAAAUUGAUGAGCAUGUAAGUAAAGCAGAACUUUUCUUUUUCAUUCUAUUAACAUUAACCUAUAUGCUAAAAGUUUGUAGUAUUUCAUGUUACAAAUUAUAAUCUUGCAUUAACAAAAACUAGAGAAACAAAAAAAAAAGAAAAAAAAAUUCCUUAUACGUACCAAAAUAAUGGUGAAAGGCAAAAAUUCUUCCCAAUGCCAAAAUAAUAAUAAGGCUAACUAUUUUUCAACUUGUCAUUGAUCAAGUGUUUUCUCAACAGUCGCAGCAAGAGAAAAUGAUAACUUAAAUAAGAAAAUAAGGAUAAAGUAGACUAUGUGAUUAUCAUGACUUAUCUUUCCUAAUAUCAUAAGUCAAACAUGUGCAUUAAAGAGUCAAUAUCUAAUCAUUAUCUCCAAAUAAAAAUUGCAAAAAGUUUACAUUCCAAUAUAAAUAUAAACUAAUUAUAUUGCAAAAAGUUUACACUUGUUGAGUUUCAUGUGUUGGUAACUAUUGCAAAAAGUUUAAGGCAUAAUAAAAACUUCACUUACUGGAAAAGAAAACUUCCUCUCUUAUUUUCACUUAUUGACAAAGAAAAUAAGCAAAUCGGUUCGAUCAAAUAAUUUAAUAAGCAAUAUAGGUAACACAGAGAUAAAUUAUUGUGAUUAUAAUCCCGCCUCAUUAAACUCAAUUUGUCAACCAAAAUCGAUUCGAUCAAACAAUUUAGUAAACAAAUCUAAGCCAACCAAUGGAAAUCAUCAUACCUACAUCACUAUAUGAGCAUUUUUAAAACACAGUUUAUGCUAUGUUCUAUAUGAAAUCUAAAAUUCUAUUACCGAAACAAAUAAUACCACUAAAAGUUAAUCAAUGUUAUUGAUUAAUGACAUAUCAUUGCAUGUAUGACUUAACAAAAACUAGAUCAGCGACAUGAAUAUUAUUAGUGUUUAAUUUUCAAAAAAAAUUAGAGUAUAAAACAUUACCUUGGAUGAUUCGAAAUCAACCAAAGAGAAUUUAGCAGCAUGGGUAGUGAUUCCGAAGAGCUCUGAUUGAGGCUAGUUCAUGUAUUCUCUUUUCGCUGGCACCGGUGACUUCUUCCAUAUGAAGAAAUCGAGCAAUGAUUUUGGGAUUUCACGAAUUAGAUUUUGGGAUUUCACUGGUUAGGGUUGAUGAACUUGGAAUUCGAUACCAUUAGGUCCCUUUUAUAUAUGGUACAAUCGUAAUAUUUUAUAUUGCUUAAGGGCAUUUUUGGUAUUUAAAGGAGUGGGAGUGGGAAUCUCACUCCCCACUCCAAAAUUGAGUGGGCCCCAUGGAGUGGGAAUCCCACUCCCCCUUCAAAACUUGCAAGUAAAUACUGGAGUGGGAGGAAUUCACACUCCUCACUUCCACUCCAGAAAGUAAACACAGCCUGAGUGUUUAGUUUGUAAAAUGUGAAAAUAGAGAGAACAUAUGCAAUUGUAAUGGAGAGAGAGAAAGAAAUUAGUGAAAUGUAAUUUUGAUUUUUAAAUUUUUAAUUGUUAUUAGUGAAAUUAUUUUUUAAAAUGGGUGUAAAGAAAAAUUUAGUGGAUUCAAAUAUUCUUAUUCUAAAAACUAUACUUGCGAAGUAAAAACUCGUGAAUAUACAGUAAAUAAUAAUAUUUUUGCUAAUUUACAAUAAGGAAGAUGGAAGUAUUAAUGAGCCACAUUUUUAAGGGAUGUUGCUUCACCGUCUUAAUCCACCAAUGUGGAUUGAAUAAAAUUUUUAACAUUUUCAAUCUUGGCUUUCUGAUGUACUGGAAACAACGGUUAUGGGUUCAAUGGUUAAUAGAGGGUGAUUCGAAUAUGCGUUUCUUUCAUGCUUGAGCCUCUGCAAGGAAAAGACAAAACGCUUUUAGGGGUUUGAAAGAUAAUGAGGAGAACUAGGUUACUAAUUUAAGGGGGAUGAAAGAUAUUAUUUGUACCUAUUACUCUGACUUGUUUUCUUCCUUAUGUCCUAGUCACACUUAAAUGGCAGCGGCUGUUUAGCAUCUUAACCUGCUCAUGUAUGAUGCUAUGAAUGAUUAAUUAAAUAAGCUUUUCGGUUUGGUUCGAUUCGGGUUCGUAAUUCGGAUUGGAUUGGGUUGGUAAUUCGGGUUAAAAUUUCGAUUCAGGUUAAUUUAGAUUAGUUUGGGUUAGAAUAAUUCAAUCUAAAAAUUCAGGUUAAUUCGAGUUAGAACAAGUUGGAACAAUUUAAACAAAAAAUUCUACCAAAAACCACUUAAAAUUCAAAAAUCUUCAAUCCAAAUAUCCUCAACAACAAAAAGCAUCCUCAACAAUAUUUCAACAAGUCCUUUUAAAGUUAAUGGAACAUAAAACAUGUAGUUAAGUACAAUGAAAGUACAAAAAUUACAAAUCUAAAAAUUAAAAUGGCAAAUGGCAAUCAUGAUUAAACAUCUCCACAUGACAAACAAUGCUAAUAAUCCAUCUCCAACACCAUCAAUACUCAUCCCAACACCUCCAAAUUAGCAAUAAUUAACCAACAUUGUAGCAAAAUAUCGAGCAACAACAAAUAAAAAAUAAAGCAAAUCAGUCCAUUCCACAGAAAAAAUUAAAAAAUUAAUCAACAUUUAGUGGAAUCACUCAAUAUGCCUUAACAGUUCUUAAUAUUAUUAGUAGCAUGUUUGUAUUAUACUACGCCCUAAUUGUGUAAUUGAUUAUUAUGCAAUUCUCAAUAUUACUAGUAUCAUGUUUGUAUUAUGACUACGCCUUAAUUUUAUAAUUGAUUAUUAUGCUUGAUCCAAAUCAAUAUAUAUAGUUACAUACUUACUGUUGCAACAAAAAAUCUUUAUAUUAGAACACUUGGAUGGUCCGCUUGUGUCGAUUUAUGAAGUUCUACAUGAAAUAAAAAGACUUGAAGUAAAUAACUCUUAAAGUAAACAAAUCUUAAAAAUAAAUAAGUAAAUAAGUAACCACUAAUAUUUAUUCCUUCUGUAAGAGCAUUUAUAAACUCGUUUUCCUCAACCAAUGCUUGGAGGUUUGUUGUUGAAUCAACAAAAAGUGAAGAUCGCAACCAAUUUUGCAUCAGUAUCAAUGCUUCCACCAUAUUAGGAGUCAUAGAACUCCUAUAUUAAUCUAAAAUACGACCUCCCGUGCUAAAAGUGGACUCAUAUGCAACUGUAGAUAAUGGAAUGGCAAACACAUCUCUUGCUAUAUGCGACAAAACUGGGUAUUUUAAACUAUUAACUUUCCACCAUAACAAAAUAUCAAAUGGAGCACCCAAUGCAUUAGGCGCUUGAUAUUCAACCGACUUCAUCAAGUAAAGAUCUAGCUCAUUUGACAAUUCUAUAUGAUCUCUAAUGACAGCAACCAUCUCGGUGUAUUUGGAGAAAAGGGUCCUCAAAUACGUCAUUGUCUUCAUCUAUAAAAGUCAGCCUACUAUUAACACUAACACCAGCACUUGCACUUGGAAACGCACUUGCACUUGCACUUGCACUUGCACUUACACUAGCACAUGGUUUUAAGUGUUGAGCACUGUAUGCUUUAAAAAGCUUGUUUAGCACAUCUUUCGCCACAUUUUUCAUCUCAACACAUUUUACAUUAUCCUUACCAUAUAAAGUCUCAAAACAAAGUGUUGUAAAAUUCAUUUUCUCCCAUGGAUCUAAUACAGAAGCAACGAUCAAUAACUUGUUUAUCUUUGAAGGCCCCUCCCAAUACUCCUCAAAUUUCUCCUUUAUGCUACUUGUUAUCAUACUAAUGUACGGGUCAAGGUUGUCCACCAUUGUAUUCAGAGCUUUUUCAACUUUGCAUAUCUCAUUGUAGCCAUAUUAGAUGUCACCCUCAGAGAAGAAGAAAAUGCAAGUGUGGCAUCAUAAAAAAUCCACAAAAACCUGAUCAUUCGACGAGCAUUAUCCCAAUCUUAACUUCCUAGUGGUCCCACCAUUUUCUUCCCACAUUCUUCUUCACGAAAAUAAGCAUCAUAAAGCUUAUCCUCAUUUGUCAUUCGAUUAAAUGUCGAUCUAAACUUCAAUGCUGUCGUCAACAUGGUAUAUGCGAAAUUCCACCUAGUUGGACGAUCUAAAACCACACUUCCUCUAAAAGGCUAACAAUUCUUCCCCAAAAUAUUUUAUUACUCUACACAAAUUUGAAAUGCUUUCAAUCUCACAGUAGAUAAUCUCACAUACUUCAUAGCAUUGCGGAUACUAAUAAUAUUAUCAUCUAGUUUUUUCAACCCCUCAUUAACAGUAAGAUUCAUAAUAUGUGUGCAACACACAUGCAUAGAGUCAUCAUUCAACACCAAUGCAUCAUCUCUCCAAGUCUUCAAUUUAUUCGUCAAAUAGCUAAUGGCAACCUUAUUUGCACUUGCAUUGUCCACGACGACUAUGAACACCCUCUCUAUACCCUAGUCAAGCAAACAUUUCUCGACCUGCUUACCAAUCGUCUCCCUUUUAUGUUCAAAAAUUGUGUUAAAAUUGAUGAUAUUCUUGCAUAACUGCCAAUCUUGGUCAAUAAAGUGAGCUGUUAUUACCAUAUAACUAGUCGUCGUGAUGGAAGUCCAAAUAUCCGCAGUGAGCGAGACUAUUUGCUUCUUAUCACAUAAUAAACUCUUCAACAAAACGUUUUCAACUAGAAAUAAGUCAAGGAUAUCCUUAGUAAUGGUUCUACGAGAUGGUCACAAAUCUAAGACAGAUAACACUAGAAAAAUGUCUGAAUCUAGAAUUCUCCACAUGUGAAAAUAGCAACUCAUCAAAAAUAAUCAUUUUAGUUGUUGCCCUUCUAAUAGCCUCCUGAUUAAAUUCCCUAACCACAACUUGACCAAUCUUUUCAUUACCGGCACCAGUAGGUUCUUGAGUUAAAACUGCUUGAUUUUGUAGAUAACUUUCAUAUUUAAAACAUAUUUUCAAGUGAUUCGAUAAAUUGCUAGUCUCAUCAGUAGAUUUACAUGAAUAUUCUUGGCUGCAAUAAUUGCACUUACACCAAUUAUAAUAUUUUGGCAAUUUAGUGAAAUCCUUACACCGAUUACAACGUUCAAUCACUUUUCUUGACUGAGGUGGUUUUGAUGAUGUCCUUGAUGACCUAUUCCUCUUCGACCCGAAUUGGGCUUUCAUAAUCAUUGGUGACAUAUCACUAACUUCAUUAGAUUCAGUGGAUUGGAUGUUGUCACGAACUCUUGAUUCAUCUGUCUCAAACAUCUGAAUCAUAAAUCCAUAGCAUGAUUGUAUCAGUGAUCAAAGUCAAUCGAUAGCAUAAACAUAACAAAACAAAGAAAUCUAGAAUAAAACAUCACAAUUUAAUAUAAUAAUAAUAAUUUAUUGUGUAUUUGGACACUCUAGCCAAUGCGAAUCCUAUUUCGACACCCAAAUAUGAUUUUGCAAUAAAAAAUGAGUUCACAUUACAAAAACUCAUAAUUUCAUAAUGUUAUAUAUCCUAAACUAAACAAAUAUCACAAUUUAAUUAACAACAACAACAACAACAUUUGGGAAUUAAUAUAACUUUGCCGAACAAUAAUUAAGUUAAACAAACAAUAAUAAUAAUAGUAAUAAUAACUACGAAUCAGCAUUCAGUAAAUUGCCAUAUUCUAAAUAUUAAAAAACAAGUUAAUUAAUUAACAAUCUUCAAUUUAAUUAAUAAUAACAACAACAAACCCACUCCAAUUUAAUUAAUAACAAUCUCCAAUUGUUCAAUUAUCAGUCAACAACAACAAAUCCACUCCAAUUUAAUUAAUAACAGUCUCCAAUUGUUCAAUUAUCAGUUAACAGCAACAAACGUUACAAACCCACUCCAAUUUAAUUAAAAACAAUCUCCAAUUGUUUAAUUAUCAAUCAACAGCAACAAACCCUCGCCAAAUAAUUGAACAAUUGUUAAUUAAUUAAUUAACAAUCUCCAAUUUAAUUUAUAACAACAGUCAUCAGCAAGUCAGCAACAAACCCACUCCAAAAUCCAAAUAUCAGCACCUAGUAUGGACUAAACUACAAACCUUGAUCGAUGGGAAGCUACAGCGUCGGCAAAGCAUGACUGUGUGGGGCUGAGUGAGACGCGAGGUAAACGGCAUGGCGCGGCUGCGGGCGACUUGAUUAUUGAAGGCGUGCUAGCUGACGACGAGUGGGUUGCGGUGAACGGCUGUAAUAGGGCGUCUUCUGGAGCUGGACAGUUGCAGGCAGUGGGCUUCCUGUUGCCGUCGUCGUGGCCUCAUCUUUACUGUUUAGGGAUUUGCUUUCGAGGCUUGCUGCUAGUUAACGAGACCGAGAGUGUGAGAAGUGAGAAUAGGGAGGUAAUGAGAGUGUGAGACAGUGAGAAAUAAGAGAUUUUUUUUUGUUUAAUACAUAUGUAUUUUUUAAUUUUUAAAAGCCAAAACUUAAAAAAAAAAUUCAACCCGUUUGGAUUAAAAUUCGAUUCGGGUUCUGAACGGAUUGAUAGUUUGAAUUUGUUCGGGUUGCAAAAGUUAACUCGAUCCGAAUGCCUGUCCCUACUUACAUGAGCCCAUGCAGGGGUUGCAAGUCCUAGCUUGGCUCAUGUGCACCCACGUCUGCGCACAUGAAACUAUGCCAUACAUGACAAUAUGUAGCGAAUCGGUUGUAAUGACUAUUUAGUGCAGGCCUCCUGCUCAAUUGUUUACAAUUAUUAUUUUAAUUACAAAUUUGUAUAUUUCUAAUACUAAAAGUGAGUAGAAAUACGAUAAGAUAAGGGUGGUGUUAAUUAUUUGAAUCCAAAGCUUUCAAGAGAUACCUUCAAUCGAAGCACAAUCAAUCUAAACGUAAAACUUAACUAUCAGUUUGCAAUCAAUAUGUAGGGCAAAGCUACAUUGCAACAUUCAUUUGGUAGCCCUCUCUUUUGUCUUUUUAAAGGUCAAUUAUAAUAGUGUCCUGGUAUUUGUUAUAAAAAUGAAAAUGUUGAAAAUUUUUAAAAUUUUACGCAUUAGUCCUACACCAACACAGUAUCAUUUUUCUCAUCCAUUUUGCACCAUCAAUGACAUCAUUUUUCUCACCCAUUUUAAUUAAAAGGUAAUUAAAAUUAUUUUCCAUAUAGAAACAGAAUAAUAAAAUAAAUUUUUUAUUCUUAUUUUUUAAUUAAUUAUAAAAAGAUAUUUUGUAUUAAAACAAUCACUAGUGACUACUGUUUCUUCGCGUGCAAUGAUAUUUUUAAUCGAAAGGGGACAUGAAGGGUUCCAUUAUAUUUGAAAUUGGAUGAUUUACAUAAAGAUAGUCUCAAUGCUAGCAAAUGGUGAUAUGUAAAGUUGCAUGCUCCUUCUAAAAUAACUGCAACAAUAACUAUACCACAAAAACACAAGGAGUUACAUUACACUACCACCUUUUCUUUUCUUUUCUUUUUUCUUUUUUCUUUUUUCAAAUUUAGAGACCUUUAAUUUGGUUGUUAAAGGCAAUGAACCUUAAAACGUGAUGUAGGAAGCAUAUUAGAUAAAAUGAAUUAGAAUUUACUAGAAAUUAUAAUAUUUGGGUCAAUUUAAAAUUUAAUAUUUUAUUAAAAUUUAUCUUAUUUAUUAAGCUUACUUGAGUCAUAUUUGUAAUUCUAACCUAAUUAGGAUUUCAGAUUAUUUCUCUUAUUUGAGAAAGAUUAGCUACUAUUAUAUAUAUAAACUUGUUAUUCUUAAUUUAUGAUAACAGACACAAACUUCUUAUUAAUAAUUUUUAAUUUUUUCAUAAUUGAGAUAUCUUCUCCUUGGUGAGAGCAUCUUUUUAAAGUUUUCAAGACAUAAAUCAUAUUAGAGCUUUUUUCUGCACUAGGCAGAGCAUUCUCGACCACCAACUUCGUACAUUAGUUCCAUCAAGUUAAAAAAAAAAACCCAACAAAACCCGAAGCUACCAUCACAUCCGUGCCACACGGCUGCCGCCGCCACUGGUUUCUCUUCUUUUUGGUCGAUCCUCUCUCCCAUCCAAAAGCCCUCACGUCGCCAAUCAUAACCCAACCCAUAACACCACCAUCCCGUCACCGUAGCCACGGGAAACUAGCCAAAACAGCCGCUGAACCACCACGAAAAUCCACCUCUCUAUUCGCUGCAAUCCGUUACGAUUCACAGCCUCCACCACCACCCAUUCGUCCACGAUCAUCAGCUCUUUCUUUUCAACCCACUCACGCUGCCAACCCUCGGCCGGAUCGCCAGAAACUGAAACCAACCUCCACCCACUACUUUAACUCAACUUUUCAGUCAAAUCACAACUAUUUGAGACAAAUCACCACCAGCAUCACACUCAACACCAUCAAAUCUUCUAGAUCCACCUAUCCUAGGCCAAAUUUUCGACCAUCGUCGCUGGCAACACCAACUUUUGCCUAUUUAUAAUUUUGCCCCUUUACUUUUCUAUACUUAUACUAUUACCUAUAAUUUUCUGUUCUUUAAAAAACACCCAAAAACCAAACAAACUUAUAAAAAAUAAAUAAAUUAGAAUUUAAUAGGAAUUAUAAUAUUUGGGUCAAUUUAAAAUUCAAUAUUUUAUUAGGAUUUAUCUUAUUUUAUUAAGCUUACUUGAGUCAUUUGUAAUUCUAAUCUAAUUAGGAUUUUAGAUUAUUUCUCUUAUUUGAGAAAGAUAAGGAUUAAUUUAGCGACUAUUAUGUAUAUAGGUUUUUUAUUCUUAAUUUAUGAUAACAGACACAAGCUUCUCAUUAAUAAUAUUCAAUUUUUUCUCAAUUAAAAUAUCUUCUCUUUGAUGAGAGUCUCUUUCUUGAGUUUUCAAGACGUAUGAUAGAACGAAAUCUGGUAUCACUUCCGCCCUGCAUUAAAACGUCAACUAAUCAUAGGGUUUUAUUAUAGUUGUUUGCAUUGGAAGGCUCAUCUAUCACCGACAUAUCUAUUUAUCCGGCAACAUUGCCACCAUUACAUUGAUCGGAGAAUUUUGAAUACGUCGAUAGUUUUUGUUUUUAUGUUCACUCACGUCUAUUUCUUAGUGAUGAUACCGUCAUUGUUGUCAUUGGUGGUGCAAUAAUUUUUAGCAAUAUUAUUUUGAUUUUUCAUUUGAUUUACAAAACUUAAAUAUUAAAUAUAAUACUCAAUUUUAGUCUCAUACACUUAAAUAUUACUAAUAUUCAAGUUCGUGGUGGAUAUUGAAUAAAUCAAAUUCAGAGUAUUUUAGAUGGAUAUUAUCCAAUCUAUUCAGAUCAGAUACUUAGACAUCCAACUUGAAUGGAUUUGUUUGCUCUUUCUAGCUGUUAACUUGAUUAAUAAUUCUAUUGGGUUUGGUUUUAAAACUCCUAAUAUGAUAACUCAUUCAUGACACAAUUAAUUUAGAUAUGUGUUGAAUUGCCAUCUCUAUUGUUAUCCAUGUGUGAUGUUAGCAAGAAAGAAGAAAGAAUAGAAAAUACUUAUUUUUAGUUUAUUUUUUUAAAGAAAUAUUUAAAUUAUUUUCAAAUAAAGUAAUUGUUUAGAAUUUUUUUACCCUUCUCUCCAAUAAGUUAAUGACUAUUUAAACAGUUGGGGUGGAGUAACAAAUACCAAUUUAUUUAAGCGUGCAAUUAAAUUAUUAUUAUUUAUUUAAGGACAAAAACUUAUUGUUAAAAAAAGAUUUUACAAGUUAAUAAACUAACAUUUUAUUAUUAUUAGUAAAUUAACAUAUUUUUAGAUUUUACAAGUUAAUAAACUAGCAUUUUAUUAUUAUUAGUAAAUUAACAUAUUUUUACUAUAUAAUUAAAUAGUUGAUAGUAUGUUUAAUAAAUAUUAUGUUACAAAAAAAAUAACUACAUAGAAUAUGAAAUUAAAUUUAUUUUUGUAUAUUGUAUAUUUCAUCUACUUGAGAUAAUAAAAUCUCUUGUGUUGAAAAACAAAAUUAUGGGUUUUGAACCUUGUUCACAUAGGUGAGAGAUAAUUGGUUGCCAUUAUGUUAAAUUAAAAAAAAAAGAUCAUAUUUAUACUUAUCACUAAUUAUGGUUAGUAAAUAAUAUACAUGCAUUGUUUAACUAUAUAACAAAGUAGUUAAUUUAUUAAUUAAUAAAUUAAUUUAAAUAGAUAUUAAUAAGUGUAAGAAUAAGUCAUUUAAUUGGAAACCUAUUUCAAUGGAGUUUUAAAAAAAAAAGAGAAUAUUAUGGACUUAUAUGUUAUAAUUUCAAAACUUUUGAUUAUUUUUAUUUUGCAUGAACAAUAAGGGUCUUUGAUGUUAAUAACCCAAUAAUCACAUCUCAGCCAUUAUGCAAUUCUUAGGUUAAAUCCAACGGUACGUUUGAAAAAGACAAAAAAUAGGGUACCAAACCCCAUGGGUAUUGUAGCUGGACCCUUUAUUUAUUUAUUUUUUCAAUUGAAAGAGUUUUGUUUUCUUUUUCUUAAGGGCAAAUGCUAUGUUACAAUUAAUGUAACAUACACACUCAACAAUAACCACACAAAUUGUGUGGGCCCAUUAUUUGUGUGGUUGUUGUUGAGUGUGUAUGUUACAUUAAUUGUAACAUAGGGACUCCCUUUCUUAAGUGCUCGGUAAUGCUAAGCAACUUGCAUUUCCAACACCAAUCUUUUUUUUUAUAUAUACAAAAUGACCCUUUUUUUUUUCCAAAAAAAUUAAGGAGAUAUACGGAUUUGAAAAUCUGAUUGGGUAGUUGUUUGAAUGAUGUGGAAAGUAAAAUGUAAUCAAGAAUUUCUGGAAAAGAGUAUUUUAUUUUUAUUUUUUUCAAUUGAAAGAGUUUUGUUUUCUUUUUCUUAAGUGCUCGGUAAUGCUAAGCAACUUGUAGUUCCUACACCAAUCUUUUUUUUUUCUUUUUGAUACAAAAUGACCCAUUUACAUUAAAAAAAAUUCUUUUAAAAAAAACUUAUCACUUUUCGAAAUAUAAUGAUAAGAAGAGCUGCGGAUAAUAAUAAUCCACAUAAAAGAGUUGCAUCGCCCAAUUCCAUCAUACUUACGUGCAUUAAAGAACCUGAAGUUGCAAAGCCUUGGGUAAAAAAAAAACACUUGGUGCCGUUAUAACGCUAAAAUGAUUUUGAUUAUUUUUAAAAUAAAAAUUCUAUGAAUAAUAGAUACACUCCAUGAAAGAUAGAUGCAACUUGCAGUUUCAAAACCAAUAUUAUUUUUAUAAUCAAAGAUCUAUUGAUAUUUACAAUCAGAAUUCUAUCAAGACUAUCAUUACAAUUUAAUUUUGGCACCAUCCAAAAUUUUACAAUCAUAAUUCUAUUUGGACUAUUGGCACAAUCCACAUUUCUACCAUCUCAUAAUACUGGAUGAAUAUCUACUCUGCCAUAAUUUAUAGAGAGGCAAUCUUACCUCUACCCAAUUUUUGUAGGAGCCCAAACCCUCAAGGUGCACUCAAGCCUUGUGUAUGGGCUGUGCCAAUGAGCCACAAGCCCAUUGGCGUUUCAACACCAAUCUUGUUUUCAUUUGGAAGAGGUUCAUAUCGAUGUUGGAUUAGGUCUCACGUCUCGACUCAAGAAUUUUCUUUUAAUUAUUUAUUUCACGCAUGGAUCGAUACAUAUAUAUGCUCCAUGUUACUUAUGACCAUUGUUCUCGAUCAAGUAAUUACUGAUCCUAUCAAAAAAAUUAAUUAAUUAAUGAUACUUCAUGCAGAUGCAUGCGGCAUAAUGAUAGACAGUUUUCAAGAGCACGUGAAUUCUUUUAUUAAUACAAAAUGUUUGACAUCUUAAACGAUAAUAGACAAACAAAUGCAAUUGAAUACACAAAAGUACAAAUGGAAUUUGAAAAGAAGGAAACGAAAAUGAAAGGAAAAAAAAACACAUAAAAAACUGCGAAGCAUCCACGUUUGCAUGCCCUCAAGUCUACAACAUAAAGCCUUGUUCGGGCUAGAAAGCCACCAUAUUUUAUGCAUUGGCGGCCUUCGUAUGAAUAGUGACUUUUUUAGUAAAUCUUAGGAGGUGGGGGAGAGUUGUAGUAAUAAACAUGAGGAGGCGAAGGUGUAGGUGGUGGUGGUGAUUUGUAGUAGUAAGCAGGCGGAGGUGACGGUGAAGGUGGUGGCGGAGAUUUAUAGAUGUAAGGUGGAGGUGGCGAUGGCGAAGGUGGUGGAGGGGACUUGUAAAUGUAAGGGGGAGGGGGAGGGGGAGAUGGCGGUGGUGGUGGGGGUGAGUUGUAGAUAUAUGGCGGAGGAGGAGAUGGAGACGAAAGGGGUGGAGAUUUGUAAACAUAAGGAGGCGGGGUUGAUGGGAAAGGUGGAGGUGGAGAGUUGUAUACAUAUGGAGGAGGUGGUGACGUUAAGGGAGGUGGAGGGGACUGGUAGAAGUAUGGAGGAGGUGGCGAUGGUGACGGAGGUGGCGGGGAUUGAUAAAUGUAUGGAGGAGGUGGCGAUGGUGAUGCAGGUGGCGGGGACUGGUAGACAUAUGGAGGAGGUGGCGAUGGCGAUGGAGAUGGGGGAGAUUGGUAGAUAUAUGGAGGAGGUGGCGAUGGGGAUGGUGGUGGCGGUGAUUUGUAAUUGUAAGGUGGAGGUGGUGAUGGAGACGGGGGUGGUGGGGACUGGUUAACAUAAGGUGGAGGAGGUGGUGAGGAAGGAGGAGGAGGCGAUUUGUAGAUAUAUGGUGGAGGUGGUGACGGAGAUGGUGGUGGUGGAGAUGUGUAGACAUAAGGAGGUGGAGGUGGAGGUGAUGGUGAGGGUGAUGGUGGGGAUUUAUAUACAUAAGGUGGGGGUGGUGAUGGUGAUGGUGGUGGAGGAGAUGGAGAAGGUGGUGAUGGAGACUUGUAGAUGUAUGGAGGAGGUGGAGGAGAUGGAGAAGGUGGUGGUGGGGACUUGUAGACAUAAGGCGGAGGAGGAGAUGGUGAAGGUGGUGGUGGGGACUUGUAAUCACAAGGUGGAGUAGGUGAUGCAUGGGACGGAGGUGGCGGUGAUUUAUAGAUAUAUGAUGGAGGUUGGGGUGAUUUGUAAUAGUAUGUAGACGGAGGGGAAGACUUGUAAUGGUAGGGAUUUGGUGACCUGUAAAUGUAGGGUGGCGGAGGUGGUGAAGCAUAAGUGUAUGGCUUGUAGUCAGCUGCCACAUGAGUUGCCAACAAACAUAAUGCCAAAGCAAAAACUAGAUGGGGCCAAAUAUUGGCCAUUUUUGGCUGAAUUUGAUCACUCGAAAAUCCCAACGAAAGAGUUGGGGUCUUUAUGGCGUGGAGAUUAGAGGCAGAUCAGUUUUUAUUAGGAUGAGUACAAUAGAGAAGCGUGCUGUUUAUAUAGUGAUAGUUUCGAGCUUUAAAGCCAUUUUUUAAUGAAGCAUGGAGCUUCCUCCAUACACGUCUAAUAUUUUUGUACCUUUUUUUAUUUAUUAUAUAUAUCAAGUGUAUUGACAUAAUGGGAUCCCACCAAGCCUUUGCAUGUCUCUUUUGUGCAAACACCUUGAAAUCGUCAAGUUUAUAUUCUAGAAGUCAUAACGAAUUAAUUAAAAAGUAGGUAAAAAUUUCAUCCAAUUAUUGAGCAAAUUGCAAGAACAAGGGGUUCUUGAGAAACUUUCCAUCGUCAGUUGGUAGCUCAUAAAAUUGGCUGGUCAUUUAAAACCAAUUGAGCCAUCUGAUCAUUUCUUAUUAAAUUAUGCAGAACAAUUAUCAUUUCACCGUCCCCAAAUAUUAGGGAAUGACUGCAAGAGAAAGGCACUUGCCCACACUUCUGCCAUUUACAUAAUAUUGUUUCUCGACUUUUCUCGUUUCUCUUGUUUGUUUUUGUUUGUUUUGUUUUGUUGGCUUUUAUUUUUUCAUGGCUUAGACGCUUUGGUUUAUAUUUCUCUCCAUUUUUCUUUGCAUUGAUUUAUUUUUCAGGUAGAGGUCUCAUCUAAUUCCUCACUUUAUCAGUGGUUUUAAUUAAAAAAAAGGAAAAGAAAAUCCUUUCGUUUAAUUUAGAUUAAAGCUAAAAUUUUAUAUAUGUUUACAUAGAAUGUUUGUUUACAUUAUAGCUGAAAAAAAUAAAAAAAUCUGAGCCAGGUUAAAACUAUACUUAUAGACGUGGAGAGAAGAUUUAGUUACCAAUUACGCGAAACAAAAUAUAAAAGUAAAUAAAAAAAUCGUACAUGAAAACGCGUGUCAAUAAUAUGACCUUCUGGUUAACAGCCAAGUUCCUCUUUGUUAUAUGUAUUUUAAUUUCCUACUAAAGCUUCUUUAGAUACUUUUACUCAAAGAUCAAGACAUCACAUGUAUAUUUGGUGAAAGUUACAAGCAGGAAUAUUCAGGAUAGAUAAUUUUAUUAUACAUAUGUCCAAAGUUAUUUAAUAAGGGAUCUGAAGUGAAACAGUCAAAAGCAUCUUCUAAUUUGUUGCAGUAUAUAUAUACAUAAAGCUAAUGUCAAUGUGUUUGUUCUCUUUCUAUUUUUUUUUUCUUUUUUAAAUGAUGAGAUGACUGCUGAUUAAGAUGAGAAGUUUAAAUUCGUGAACUACAGGAGAACUCCUAUAAACAAAUGGUUGACGAGUAAUUAAUUCACUUAAACAAUAAAUAAAAUCUUUCGAUUUUAAUUUGGGGUUGUAUAUUAAAUUAAUAAUUUUUCAAAUUCUUUAGGCCCAACGAAUAUAUAAAUUAAUUGUUAACUAAAUACAUUAAACAAACAAGUGUAAAAGGUCCUCAACAAUUUAUAUGAAUUUUAUUAUUGACCCAAGGAGUUUUAUAAACCUUGAUUUUGACGGUAACAAUAACAAAUAAUAUGGUAAGGGAAAUAACGAAAAAAAAAACACUUUUAGAUCUCAUUAGUUCUUGAAUGUCAAAAUCCAUUCAUGUAAAAUCAAGUUCAAAGAAGUCACGGACAUGCUCAUCAAGACAAAACUCGAAUGUGAAGAACACUAGCUUAAGUGAUAUUUCAUUUACAUAAUUAUUGUAAAGCUAGUUUGUUGGAUUUAUGCAUUAUUAAGUAUUUAAAGCUCAAAUCUGAUAAUAAUCAUCACAUCCAAAUCUGUCUUUUCUUUAUAAGUUAUAUUUUCUAUACUUGAAGAAAAUCAAAAGCUAAAUGUUUUAUCAAAAUUAAUUUCUUCGAGGUAUAAGGAUUUAUUUGAAAAUUCUUUAAAAAAAAUUAUGUAUCAAAAAAGCUAGAGAAUGCUAUUUCUUCAAAUCUUGAAAAAGAUCUAUUUGAUAAUACUUCAAAACUUUUUGGGCACUGUUGUCAUCAUAGAAAAAAUUUGGGAACAACAUGGACCAGAAUGCUGAACUUUUAAAAUUGGGAAAAGCCCAAAGCCAGCCGAUUAUAGAGCAGCUAACCGGUUUAUUUUAUAGAGACAAACCAGAGAUCUGUUAGACCUAGUUUGUUUAAAAGCCCCCAACGCAACUUAUCAUAUCAGCAAAGUGGUUUGCCCAUUGUACAUAGAAUUUUUGUUUUAUGUUUCUAACAGUUAGUGCUCUGAAAUUACCCUAUAAAUCAAACUCCAAAUCAUUUUUCAAGAUUGGUUUGAGUUAAAACCUAAUAUUUCUGAAUACUCCUGAGCGUUUACUUGCUUGCCUGUAUAAAUUUAUACAUACUUGAGUUAUCACUUGCUUAUCUAUUAUAUAUUUUUGUGAGGAGUGUGUUCUUUGUAAGGUUCAUUUUAAUUUUUCAAUUGAGUGAUAGUAAGUGUGAGAAACACUUGUUGAAGAGAUAAGGAAUAUAUAUUUCGAAUUUAUAACAAUUCAUUGACGCCUUUAGAAUCAAUUGCACUCAUUUUUUUAGCCUCGGGAUAUGUGGCUUAAUGUAAGUGGAAUUCUCAAGUUUGAAUUGUUUGGAGGCGGGGACGUAGACGGUUUGUCAAAUCAUGUAAAAAUUGUUAUGUUUCCUUUUUCUAUCCUUACCUCUUUAAUUUAUUUGUUGUGUUUGUUGUUGUUAGAUUGUGAUUUUUAUUGUUGGAAAAAUUUUUAAACCCAAUUCACCUAUCAUCUUGGGUUGUUGUUAGGUAAAUUUUCAAUUACAAUAUUGUACAUACAUUAAAUAACUUUAUUUAACUGGUUAUUCAAGUUCCAAAAAAAUUGAUUUGAGCUUUACUUACCCCUCUACCUCUUUAAAAAUUAAAUAAAUAAGUUAUAAACAAGUUGUAAUCUAAACUACAUAUAAAAAAUAUUUAUAGGUAUUAUUCGAAUGGUUAAGGCAGGUGCCGGGUUGUACGUGUACCCCUUGAUUUGUUAGCCAAAAUCAUAUGGCUGAAAUGUGUUGUGUUGAUGAUAAUUUGCUGAAUAUUCUUUCAAAUUAAUAAUAUUUAUUGAUAGAUAAAUUGAAUAAAUUUAUCUGUGAAAAUCCCUCUAAAAAAAUUAUUUUGCUUAGUCCGACGAAGUUGUUCUGUAAUUAUAAGUUAUAUACUCUCUUUCACUUUAUUUAGAAGUAAACACAAAUUAAGAAUUAGGACUCUCUCCUAAACUGAUAUUUUUCUGAGCAAAUUUUAUUAACAUGAUUGGUAGUUAAUAAAUUAAAAAGUAAAUAUAGUUAAAUUAUAAUCACACACUUACACUAAAAUACAAGUUGUACAAGAUUUGUAAAAAAUUAGAAGAGAAUCCUAGUCCCACAAAUUAAAAGAGCCUAAUGCAUUAGUCUAUGUGAAGAAUCAAUCAUUUUAGGGGAAAAAACAAAAAAGGGAAAGAGAAAAGUUUCGGUCAAAGCUUUUAAUAUUCUCUCUUAACUACCCUGCUUUGCAAGAGGGAAAAAAAAUGGGAAGAGAGAAAAUAACUAUGAGAUGGGAAAAAAAUUAUGAACGAAAGAGUUAUUACACUUUAAAUAGAAAGCUAGCUAGCAUAGUGCUGAUGCAAAGACUAGAUGAGGCCAAAUGUUGGCCAUUUUGGAGUUCUUGUUGUCACAGACCGCUCAAAUUUGCCACUAAUGGAGGCUAAUUCCGCGCGCAUGGGUACACUUAGCAAAAGUCCGCCUAAAAGUGGAGUGCGCUUAGAAGCACGGUGUGCUUAGCACAAAAGGCAGGAUGCACUUAGAAGUGGGAUGCGCUUAGAAAUGGGCCGCCAACACAACUAGCCAACUGUGAUGCGCUUAACGAUCAUCCAAGCCCGGCUCGAAUUUUAGAUUUCUCUACAAUUGUAAAUAAGCUAGAACUUUCUAGGUUUGAGCAUUUAAGCCCUUAGGAUUUUUAUGCAAGUUGUAUGGAAAGUUCAAGAACCUAGCACCCAACACCUAUAAAAAGGGGGUAAGCCCUCCUUAUUUGCUCACCACCACACCACACACACAAGCUCUCUAGCUCUUGUAAAAAGCUCUCUUGUAAUUUAUUCUUUAGUGUGUAAUAAAUUUUAUAUUUGGCCAUAUUGCUCUCUUCUCUCUAGCAUUUUUCACAAGUGCUCUUGCUUUGCUAGUUUGAGAAGAAUCGAAAGGCUUACCUAGCAACUUGUGUGCGAGAAGUCGUCUAAGUGUGGCACGGGUUUGCUGCGCAAAACUCUCGUCCCAUGACAAGUGAUAUCAGAGCUAAGGUUUGCAGACACGCAAAUUAGCUCAACGAGCAAUGGCCAACCCUCCUAGCACAACACAAGAGGGCGUAGUCGAUGUGGAGUCACUUGAGCAAAAUUGUGGCCGUGAGGAGGGACUCAUACAAGUUAAGUCUUGUGGCAAGUCCAAGGCCACUUCCGUGGAUGCCUUGGAGCCUCACGUGGCCACGUUCGAAACCUCUAUGUCUGUUGUCUAGGACACCCUCAAUACUUCGGAGGUGUAGGUCGACGGUCUUAAGGGCGAGUAUGGUGAGUUCACGGUAGCCAUCAAGACCUUCAUGCAAGACUAAGCUGACACUUUCUGAGGGGAGUUUGGAGCAUCACAUGAUGAGCUGCUCAACUUGUGUAGCUUCGUGCAAAGUGAGCUAUGAGCGGUCCGUGCAGAGGUCGAUGAAGUUUGCUCAGACUGGGCUUGGCACAAGUAUACACUCACACCUAGCCCGACUUCCACAAGUACAAGUGAUGCGUACCACAUCAACGUGCCAAAGCUUGACACCUACGAUGGUGCACUCAAUGCCACUAUAGUGGACAACUUCUUAUUUGGACUAGAGCAAUAUUUCGAUGCCAUGGGUGUUUGUAAUGAAACAUUGAAAAUAAGCACUGCACCUACAUUCCUUCAAGGCACCGCGCCUAUAUUCCUUUGAGGCACUGCACAACUAUAGUAGCGGCAGAUGCAUGGCGAGAUAGGCAAAAGCAUAUGCGCCAUCAACACAUGGGUUGAGUUCCAACGCGAACUCUGCGAGUACUUUACCCCAAGCAACCCAGAGAAGAAAGCACGAGCGCGCCUUCAUCAGCUUAAGCAAAUGGGUAGCGUCCACAAUUACUCCGCCCAACCCAAGGAUAAGAGGCCCAGCCAUGGUAAAGGUGGGGGAAAUGGCCGGAAGAACAAGGACCACAAUCGGAAAGAUUGAGGGCAGAAAAAGCCUCUAAAUCGCAAGAGUAGGUAAAGUAAAUCAGAAAAACAAUCACCCAAACCUUAAAGCCUAUGCUUCAUAUGUAAUGGUUCGCAUUGGGUACAUGACUGUUUGAAAAAGAAGUUGUUUAAUACUCUAGCGGCACAACUUAAGGACCACUUCACACCGUCAACGGAGGAACCCAACACAGCAUGGGUACCCUCCAAUGCCUCGGCGCACUCAAGAGCCACCUGCUAGCACCCACCAAUAAAUGACUCAUGUUCGUGAGUGCGACCAUCAAUGGCCAAGCCAUGUAUGCCUUGCUCGACACUGGAGCGACACACAACUUUAUUUCGAAAGAUGAGGCCAAGCACCUAGGCCUCGAGGUGACGAAGGAAGGAGGCACCAUGAAGGUGGUAAACUCACCCGCCAAACGCAUCACGAGCACUACAUAAGGUGUGCGCGUAACACUCGUAACAUGGAGCGGAAAGCUCGAUUUCUCUAUCGUGCCUAUGGAUGACUUCAAGAUGGUUCGUGUCAUGAAAUUCUUUGAUUAAGUUCAUGCUUUCCACUACCAGCCACAAACUCCCUAAGCAUCAUCAACAGGAGUAUAGAGUGUAUAAUUCCGACCGAGCAAUCCAAGACCGCAGAUAAGACGCUCUCGGCCAUGCAAUUCAAGAAGGGUUUCCGAAAUGACCCAAUUUUCUUGGUCUCUAUCUGGGAGUUGAAUAAUGAAGAAGAUUGCGGAGACUCACCAAGCCAAGUCUCUUCGCUUAUCCAAAGAGUCCUCAACAAAUUCAAAGACGUCAUGCCUCCGGAGUUACCGAAGAAGCUCCCAUCAAGACGUGAGGUGGAUCAUGAGAUCGGGCUAGAAUAAGGUCUAAAACCUCUAGCCUUGGCGCCCUACUGCAUGGCGUCACCCGAACUCGAAGAGUUGCAGAGACAACUCAAAGACUUACUGGACGCGGGCUACAUCCACCCAUCGAAGGUUCCAUUCAGUGCACUCGUGCUCUUCCAAAAGAAGAAAGAUGGAUCGCUGCGAAUGUGCAUUAACUAUCGGGCACUCAACAAGAUUACAAUCAAGAACAAAUAUCUGAUCCCUUUGAUCGCGGAUUUGUUUGAUCAACUUGGCAAAGCACGUUACUUCACCAAGCUCGACUUGCGGUUCGAAUACUACCAAGUGCACAUAGCUAAGGGAGAUGAGCCAAAGAUAGCAUGCGUAACUAGGUAUGAAUCUUUUGAAUUCCUUGUUAUGUCAUUUGGCAUCACCAAUGCACUAGCCACAUUUAUACGUUUAUGAACAAAGUUCUCCAAUAUUUCCUCGACCACUUCUUCGUCGUGUACUUGGAUGACAUCGUGGUGUAUAGCACCACACUUAAAGAACAUGUCAAACACUUGCGGCAAGUCCUCCAAGUAUUAUACGACAACGAGCUCUACCUCAAAAUGGAGAAGUGCUCAUCGUUCAACGAGAGGUAGAGUUCCUUGGCCACAAGAUAGCGGACAGGAAACUUAUGAUGGAGAACUCGAAAGUAAAGGCCAUUCUCGAGUGGGAAUAUCCUACCAAAGUACCUAAACUCCGGUCUUUUCUCGAGCUAAUGAAUUAUUACCGUCACUUCAUCAAGGGAUAUUCGACCAAAGUGGUACCUUUGACCAAUUUACUUAAGAAGAAUCGAGAAUGAUAUUGGUCAGAAGAGUGCCAAUACACAUUCAAGGAGUUGAAGAAAACUAUCUCCAAGGAACUCGUCCUCAUUCUUCUAGAUCACACCAAACCAUUCGAGGCUCAAACGGAUGCCUCCGACGCCACCAUUAGUAAAUCCUCAUGCAAGAAGGCCACUUUAUAGCACUCGAGAGUUAAUUGAAGGCUUAAUGAUACGGAACGCCGCUAUACUGUGCAAGAAAAAGAAAUGAUUGCAAUUGUCCAUUGCCUACGCGUGUGGCGACACUACUUGCUUAGGUCACAUUUAAUGAUCUUAACGGAUAACAUAGUCACAAGCUAUUUCCAAACACAAAAGAAGUUGUUCCCUAAGCAAGCAAAGUGGCAAGACUUCCUUGAGGAAUUCGAUUACCGACUCGAGUACAAGCCCAGAAAAGCCAAUGUCAUUGCGGAUGCCCUAAGUUGCAAAGUGGAGUUGGCGACUCUUAGCAUGAGCCAACCAAAGUCCGACUUUGUCACACACAUUAAGAAAUGCCUCCAAUAAGACACCCUAGCGAAAUACUUAUUGAGGAAAUUUCUUAAGGGCAAGACAAGGCGAUUUUGGCAAGAGGAAAACAUCAUUCUCACCAAAUGUGACCGACUCUUCGUGUCUAGGUGGGGAAAUUUAUGAUGAGAAGUAAUCAAAGUGUGCCACGACUCGAAGUGGGCUGCCCACCCCAGAGUAAAGCGCACGACCGUACUAGUCCAAGCCUCAUAAUUUUGGCCACACAUGAGAGACGACAUCGAGGCUUAUGUGUAUACUUGUCUUGUAUGCCAACAAGACAAGACGAAUCACCAACUUGCAAUAAGAUUGUUGGAGCCCUUGUCAAUAGCAUCAAGGCCAUGGGAAAGUGUCACCAUAGACUUCAUCUCGGCCUUACCCAAGUUUGAGGAGUGCGAAAGCAUCAUGGUCCUGGUCGACCGCUACAGCAAGUACACAACUUUUAUCGUCGUACCGACCAAUUGCAAAGCGGAUAAAGUUGCCUGGCUCUUCAUCAAACAUGUUGUGAAACUGUGGGGAGUUUCGAAAACAUUGUGAACGAUCGAGGGCCAUGAUUCACUGACCGUUUUUGGACGGAGCUCUUCAAGAUGUUGAGAACCGACCUCAAGUUCUCAUCAACCUUCCACCCACAAACGGAUGGGCAAACUGAGCGUAUCAGUAGCCUCCUCGAGAUGUAUUUGAGGCACUAUGUAAGCGCUCACAAGCGAGAUUGGGCCAAGUUAUUGGAUAUUGCCCAAUUCUCAUACAACCUACAACGCAGCGAGGCUAUCGGUAAGAGUCCAUUCAAAAUCAUCUUGGGAUUCCAACCCAUGAUGCCAAACACCAUAGUCUUGACAUAUGGAGAAAAAAGCCCAGUGGCUCACAAGCUCGCCCGCGAGUGGCACAAGGAAGCGGACAUCAUGUGAGCCUACCUCGACAAAGCCGCACGGAGGAUGAAUAAAUAGGCUGAUUCGAAAAGACGCCACGUCAAAUACAAGGAAGGCGAUCAAGUAAUGGUGAAGCUCAUACCCCAACAAUUCAAGACUUUACAGAAAGUUCACAAAGGGUUAGUGAGGUGUUACGAAGAGCCUUUCCGAGUUGUCCAACGUGUGGGUAAAGUCUCAUACCAACUCCAACUUUUGUCAAGACUCAAGAUUCAUCUGGUCUUCCACGUGAGUCUACUUAAGCCAUAUCAUAGGGAUGCGGAAGAACCAAACCGCGAAGAGUUAAGACGUGCCCAAAUUGUCGUUGUCACUGCGUAUGACAAGGAUGUGGAGUACAUUUUUGCCAAUCGAGUAAUUCGAAAAAAGGGCAUACCGACAUACAACGAGUACUUGGUGAAGUGGAGAAACCUCCUCGAGAGUGAAGCCACGUGGGAACGCGUAGACGACCUAUGGCAAUUCACAGAGCAUGUCCAAAACUACCAGCACGAGAAUGCAAUGAGGAUGCCGUGAGCAGAAGUGGGGGAAAAUUUUCACGAGCUGCUCAAAUUUGCCACCAACGGAAGCUAAUUCCGCGUGCACAUGUACACUUAGCAAAAGUCCGCCUUAGAAGCGGGUUGCACUUAACACAAAAGGUUGGAUGCACUUAAAAGUGAAAUGUGCUUAGAAAUGGGACGCUAACACAAUUAGCCAACCGUGGUGCACUUAGCGAUCAUUCAAGCCCAGCUUGAAUUCUAAAUUUCUCUACAAACUACAAUUGUAAAUAAGCUAGAACUUUCUAAGCUUGAGCAUUUAAGUCUCUAGGAUAUUUAUGCAAGUUGCAUGGAAAGUUCAAAAACCUAGCACCCAACACCUAUAAAAAGGGGUGAGCCCUCCUCAUUUUCUCACCACCACACCACACACAAAAGCUCUCUAGCUCUUGUAAAAAGCACUCUUGUAAUUUAUUCUUUAGUGUGUAACAAAAUAUAUAUUUGGCCAUAUUGUUCUCUUGUCUCUAGCAUUUUCCGUAAGUGUUCUUACUUUGCUAGUUUGAGAAGAAUCAAAAGGCUUACUUAACGACUCAUGUGCUAGAAGUCGUCUAAGUGCCGCAUAGGUUUGUUGUGCAAAACUCUCGUCCUGUGACAUUAUGGUCGGAUAUUAGAAUACUAGUUUUUUAUGAGUGCAACACAGAACCUUGGUGCUUAUAUAUUGAUAUAUAUAUUCAAAUAAAGAAUCUUUUAUGAUUUAGGAUUAAUAUGGUAAUGUUGUAAUUUUUAAAAUAAUUAUUGUUAGUUGUACUAUAGAAAUAAUCAAUUGUUGAAAAAAAUUAGUUAAGUAUUUGGUAAAAUUUAUUUUUUAGAAGUGCUUUAAGUUUUAAAAGUAAUAAUAUGUGUUUGGUAAAUCUUACCGUUAACCUACUGUAAGAGUACAAAUGAAUAAAAUAAAUAUAAUGUUUAAUAAAAAAAUUUACAUAUAUAAUUUUUUGUUGUAUAUAUACAAUAAUUGAUAACUAAAAUAAUUUUUUUGUUAAUUUUUUUUUAUUUUUUAUAUUAAUAUAAUUGGUGAUAAUAUUCUCUUUAAAAUUAAUAAUUUUAUUUUCCAAUUGAAUAAGGAUAUUUUGGAAUUUUUUAAUAUAUGUAAGGAUAUAUAUGAAAUUUUAUUUAUCAUAAAACUGAUUCUUAAAAUCAAAAUUUGAAAAGCUACUUUUUUCCUAUUUUUCAAAAUUUGCUAUAACUGAAUGAUUUUGCCAAAAAUAAUUUUUUAAAAAAUUACCUUUUAACUUUUUAAAAUUACUUUUAAACCUUUGAAAAGCAAUCCUAAAUGAGCCCCUAAUAUUUUUCUACAAAUAAAUACUUAUUGUACCCACUAUUAAAAUUUAAAAAUUAAAUUUAUGCUCUACACACUCGAAUACUAAAGCUAAACUUUUAAACCAAUUCCCUAUGUUAAUAAAAAAAUUUAAACAAACUCAUUUAGCUAAUUACAACCCCAUAAUAAAUAAGUAAAUCAUAACUAUACACGAUUAAAAAUGUACAUAUGUCAAAAGAUCUUUCAAACUUUAAAUUAGCUAUCACGAGAAGACUGUUAUUCAAUGUUUUCGAACUUUAUACUCAUUUUUAUAAUUACUAAUUUGUACAAUUAAUUAAUUAUAUCAUUCUUUCAUUUUUUUUUUAUUAAUUCAUAUCUCUUUGCCAUGUUUAAUCUAAGAUUGCAUGAAUAAUAUAUAACUAAGCUAUGUUUAUUUUAACAUUUUAAGGCAUAAGUAUGGAAGUACCCAAAAAAUAUUUUAAAUUCAAUAAUUUUUUAUUUUAAUUUUAUACCAAAUUAUUUCUAAAUGAUUUAUUGGUAAUUAAUACGUUAUUAGUAUGAAUACCAACUCUUACUGGUUGAAGUAUACAAGUGACCACAAGUCAAUGGAAAAGGAGCAACAAUCUUGGAAUACCCAAGACUUUUUCCAUACAUAUUCCUAAAUUAAUUAUUUUGACAUAGUAACGAAUUUUUUUUUUCAAUUUGAUCAUUUUAUGUUAUAAGGGUAAAUAGUCAAAUUGAAUCUACAUUAAGGCAAAUUUAGUGAUAGGAUAUGAUCCAUAUUUUAUGUACCAUGUAUGCUCCCUAUUUUAUGUAAAUUUGUUAUUGGAAUUAGUUCCCUCCGGAUAAACAAUUAGGCACCGGUAAUUUUCUUUCAAAUACUUUCAAGUACUUGAUUCUCUGUUUGCUGUGUAUGAGUGAAUAUUAUCAUGAUUGGUUGAAGUAUACAAGUGACCAUGAGUAAAUGGAAAAGGAGUAACAAUCUUGGAAUACCCAAGACUUUUUCCAUACAUAUUCCUAAAUUAAUAAUUUUGACAUAGUAACGAUUUUUUUUAUUUGAUCAUUUUAAGUUAUAAGGGUAAAUAGUCAAAUUGAAUCUACAUUAAAACAAAUUUAGUGAUAAGAUAUGGUCCAUAUUUUAUGUACCUUGUAUGCUCCCUAUUUUAUGUAAAUUUGUUAUUAGAAUUAGUUCCCUCCGGAUAAACAAUUAGGCGCCAGCAUUUUUCUUUCAAGUACUUUAUAAUCCAUGCAUGCAUGAAUUCUUUUAUUUACUUCAAAAUAUUGAUAACUCGAACAAACGUGGAGGAACGAAUAAUGUACAAACACAGAGACAUACUAAUAUGGUUGAUUGAAGUAUGACAGUAAGAGAACAUUAAACAAAAUAACAAAACAAAAGGCAAAUAAUCACUAAGAACUGUAAAGCAUCCAUAUUGCAUGCCUUCGUUCCUGAUAUAUAAGCCUUAUUUGAGAAACGAAACUGUUGCGGCUUUAUACUUUCAUAACCUGCAAACCAAGGGGUUUAAAAAAAGAUAACAUAAAUAUAAGUGGAUAAGAAAAAUAAGUAGAAAUAAAUUACACAAGAAAAAUUAUAAAACUAAUAAAGGUUUCCGCGAAGCAUACAUUUAUUUGCUCCAAGUAUAAACAGUGACUUGUUUAGUAGUAAGGUGGUGGAGGUGACUUAUAGAUGUACGGAGGGGGUGGGGAAUUGUAAACAUAAGGAGGUGGAGGUGGAGAUUUGUACAUAUACGGAGGAGGUGGUGGGGACUUGUACACAUACGGAGGAGGUGGUGGGGACUUGUACACAUACGGAGGAGGUGGUGGGGACUUGUACACAUACGGAGGAGGUGGUGGGGACUUGUACACAUACGGAGGAGGUGGUGGGGACUUGUACACGUGGUGGGGACUUGUACACAUACGGAGGAGGUGGUGGGGACUUGUACACAUACGGAGGAGGUGGUGGGGACUUGUACACAUACGGAGGAGGUGGUGGGGACUUGUACACAUAUGGAGGAGGUGGGGACUUGUAGAGAUAUGGUGGUGGGGACAUAUAGACAUAAGGUGGUGGUGGUGGAGACUUGUAGACGUAUGGUGGAGGAGGUGACUUGUAUAUGUAUGGAGGUGGAGGUGACAUGUAGACGUAAGGAGGAGAAGGUGAUGGUGAUGGCGAUGUGUAGACAUAAGGUGGAAGAGAUUUAUGAUCGCGUCCAUAAGGUGGCUUGUAAGAAUAAGGCGGCGGGGACAUGUAAACAUACGGUGGUGGAGGCGGUGGCGACUUAUACAUGUAGGGUGGUGGAGUGUAUGUUGGUGGAGCAUAAGUGUAUGGCAUGCCGUUGUCUGCAGCUACAUGAGUUGCAACAAAGCAUAAUACCAAUGCAUAGACUAGAUGUGGCCAAAUAUUGACCAUUUUCGCUAUCAUUUUGAUGACCUUGAAAAUCCCAGCGAGAGUGCUAAGAGCUUUAUUUCUUCGAUACUAGAGGAUCACUUUUGAAUGAACAUGGCAUAGAAACACGCAGUUUAUAUAGUCAGUUAACCCAUUUUUUUAAUAGAGCAUGAAGUUUCCUCUCCAACAAAUCCAAUUAUUUUACCCUCACACUCUUCUUUUUAAUAUGUUACUGACAUUAUCGGAUCUCACCAAGUCAUUGCAGUUCUCCUUUCUGAAUUCUAAAACAUUCAAAGUUGUGGGUUAAUUUCGAAUUAGUCCUUUAUAAAUUGAUUAUUUUUAAAUUAUCUCUUAUUUUUUAAAAUUUUAAUUUACUCUAUUUUUAUUAGGAUGACUUAAAAAAAAAUCAACCCAUCUCAUUUUUUUCUUAUUUUUUAAAAUAAAAAUGAAAUAAUUUGAAACUUUUAAAAGUAGAGAGAGUGAUUUAAAAAUACUCAAUUCAUGAGGGGGUAAUUUAAAAUUUAUCCUAAAUUAUAUUAUAGUAACUAUAGUCAAUAAUCAAUUAAAAAUAAAAAUAGAUAAAACUCCACCCAAAGAGAUCAAAUUGCAAGAAAGAGCAGUUAUGAUCUGGGGUUCCUGAGAAAAUUUCCAAGGUGACUUUUUGUCUCAUGACAACUAAUUGGCUGGUGCUUAUUGUAAAGGGUAAAUUAAUUCAUUGAAUUGAUCUGUUAAGAACCUACCCUCAAUAGCUAUUUCAAAACUCAGUCAUAUUAUUUCUUAUUACCGAUAUUAAAUUAUAAAGAACGGUGAACAUUUGGAGAAACAACACAGAUAGCAUUUAUCAUUUUCAGGUUUAAAACUAGCUAACUAAAUCACAACGCCAAAUAUCAAUAUUUUUUUUCUAACAUGAUUUGAUCGAAGGAAAAGACUUCAACGCAGAUUUCUCUAUUUUUUUUUAAAUGUAGAUUUUACAGUUAUAUAAUGUUAUUUGUAGUUUUUGCAUUGAUUAAAAUUUAUAUUUUUAUAAAAAUGAGAUGCUACGACUAUCUCACUUAUUUGAUCUCUCAAACUCGAACCACGUCUCAUUAGCUGUAGAAUUAAUAUAAAUUCAAAUUAUAGAAAGAAUGAUGAAAAAGCCUUUUGAAAAUACAAUUAAGAAAAGGGAAAAAAAAAUUAUAUGGUGGCUUUACCACAUAAUUCUUAAUUCAAUUUAUCUUGGAUCAAGUCAUAACGUGUAUGUUUGGUGUACGUUACAUUUGACAUUUUCCAUGUUUAGGUACUGAAGAAAUUAAUUAAGCAUGUAAGCACCAAUCAAUUAGCAAAUUAACUCAGAAUAUAAUUUAAAAACUGAAUUGUGAAUAAACAAACAGUACUGAUUGGUCUGAAGCAGUCAAAAUCACAGAUUCUAGUUAAUUUGUUGCUUCUUCAUUUAUGAAAUAUAAAACAAAUUUAACGUCGUUGAAAUUAGUUUGCCAACUUUUUAAUAAUAUGACGAUGCACCGAUUAUUGAAUAUCUUACUCUUGAAGUACCGUAAUUAGAUCCGGACUCAUCAUUUUCUAGCCACAUAUGCCAAAUUGUCUUGUUCUUGGCUGUAGAAUUACCAUUUAUAACUCAUCAGCAAUGUUACAUCAUUUAUGAAUAUUCAACUUCAGAAAUUAGUAGAGCGAAAAGGCUUAUUUGUAGAUAUUCGUCUCUUAGUACAAAUAGUUGGAUUUUCACGAAAUAUUUUUUAUCGUUUAUGUAUAGGUAUGCUUUUACAAAUUAUCGUGAACGAUUUUUUUUUUCUUUUUUGGGUAAUAGCAAUUCUUACAAUAAUAAUAAUAAUAACAAUAAUAAUCUAACUACGGUAUAUUAAGGUUAUUAUACCCCAACUUGCACACCAUUAAAUGUUUAGAUUUUGCUGACUUUCUAAACAUUUGAUGAUACUCAGAUUAUGAGGUAUGGUAUUUCUAAGAUACAGAUAUAGUAUCCUGAGGAUACUAAAUUUACGGCAAAAAAUUAAAACAACAAUAAUAAUACAUGGAUUUAGAGCAUCUAUAAGCUUAUUCUAGAUGUGUUAUUGUUUUUAACUGCUACCAGGAAGGAACUGGAAGUAAAUGAUCUCCACGUCUGUUGAUGUCGAAAAACGACCUCAACAGCUGAAUUUGUUUCUUUUGGGGAAUUACAGCGCAAAUCCAAGCUCAAUCGCCAAUAUGACCGUAAUUUUCUGUACCUGUCAAUCAGAAAACACGGUUAGGAUACGCCGAUGGGGUCCUGGCGCAGACCCUCCGAUGCUUAAAUCAGAAAUUGUGUAUAAAGAGAUAAAAAAGAAAGAGAAGAAUUGUGAAUGAGUUCAAAAUAAAGGAAUUUUCCAAUAGAGAAACCCAAAAUCUGGUAGGGAAUGUUAAGGCUCUUAGAUAGGUCACUUGUAGAGUUUUUGGUUCAUUUUUGCUAACCCCUUCACCUGAUGCGCUCUUUAGUUUAAAUAGACUCUUAGUCGUAUACGGUUACCUCCUUAACUUCAGCCCACUUUCUUCAGCAGUUGCAAGUGGUUGUCAGUUGGAGGUGGUUUAAAUAGAUCAUGGCAUACAACUUCCCUAUAAAUUAGGCCACGUUUUCUUAACUAGCAAUUUUUCAUGUCAAGCUAAUUCUCAGGUCGGACGAGAGAAUUUCAAGGUCAGAUUACUUCACUUUCAGAUCAGACGGAUGAAUUUCUCAGUUGCUCAUAUAGCGUUGAAGUUGUACUCUUAACUUAGGUCAUUCACAUAGAUCUUAGGUCGUACUUGUAAACCAAGUCGCCAACAUAGGCUGCAGGUUGCACUUAUGAGGUCAGCUCAACAACAAUAAGUUCUGAGUACAUUAGGAUCGACUAUAUUUUAAGACACUAUCAGAAAAUCCAACCCAAACACCAGUCCCCUAGUUUUCAAUACCGAAAAGUCAUUGCCGGUGUUGGAAACUAGUAGAAAAAUUUUCUCAAAACCCAACACCUCAUUGAUAAAACUUGAAAACAAGAAGGGAAAAGUUUAGAGAACAAGUCAAUCGGCUUAUGAAUUUUUUUUUCAUUGAUUAAAAACUUUUUUAUUGCACAAUUUUCUCCAUCUAACUGUAAAUUUGUCAAUUCUAAAGAGUAUUUAAUAAGGGAAAUUGUUAUUUUCUCCUUUACUAAAACCAAUACAUACUAGUUACUAAAAAUUUUCAUAAUAACCAAUAAUUCCCUUGCCGACAUAAUUUUAUAGUAUUACCUUUAUUUUUAAAUUCACUUUUAUUCAUACCUACUGUAAAUUAAAUAAGUCAUAUAAUUAAAAAUUAAAAUUAAAAAAAACUGAAGUACUAAAGAUAAGAAAUAUAUGUUCACUAUGAAAAAAAAUUAAUAAUGAGAUAUUUUCUUAUAAUUUUUUGUUAUUUUUUAAACACUUUUCUUAUAAUAAAUUUAUAUUUUGUUUUCUAAGAUAAACCACCAAGUAAAUUACAUAUUUACCCCUCUUUUCCUUUAAAAUUUUUAUGUUAGGAAAUUUUUUAAUAUUAUAAAAAUAAUAAAGAAAAAAAUGAUAUAUAUUAAUUUCAUUAAGGGAAAACUAACAAUUUCCUUAUUUAACAAUUUCCGCAAUGAACUGUUACACCAACUGUUGAGCAUCUGAAUUCAAACAUUUGGGAAAGGAAAACGGCAGCGUUUUCUUAAUGUUUGAGUUGCUAUGAAGUCACGUGAAGGAAGCAUGAUCACUUAAACUAGAAACGGCAACUGAAGCUAUCGUUUUGGCUGUGUUUAAUUCCUAAUCGUCACCAUUCUCCUUCUCCUGCACAAAGCCAGGGAACAAAAAAAUGCAAAUUGAAUAAACAAUUUCAACAUAGAUAGCAUAAUUAUCCGCAGAAGAAUCACAACGUUUCAUACAAAACCUCUUCACAAUUUCCUUCAUCUUCCUCCUCAUCAAUCUCCUCAGACAUUGAUGUUUCAGACUCCUCUUCAUCCUCUGAUGUCGCAGGGAAUUCAAUCUAAUUUUACCAUAACAAAAACAAAGACAACAAAUAGUUUAAACAACCAAUAAAAACACUUUUUACAUAAAUAACACAACUAGUUGCCAAAAAAAAAAAGUUAUUAAACGAACCUCUUUGCUGCCUUCUCCAUCUUCCUCGUGGUCAGUCUCCUCCGACGUUGAUGUCUCAGACUCCCCUGAGUCCUCUAUCUUAGGACGCUUAGCCUGAUAUUACCGAUGACUCAGAUUACUGACAGAGCAAGACAGCUUAGUGAACAAGUUAUCCACUGAAACAAAAAGGAAGAUAGCUUAAUGAAUCGAUGCAUAUAUACCAUUUUUUCGUGUAACUGCUGUAUGGUUGUAUUCACGUCACCUGCCCAACACGCUUCAUUCAGUUCCAAGUUUUGCACAUCCCAUAAUCUCGGUGUCUUUAAAACUCCUGCAGAGAAAGUCUUCAUGUUGGGGCAUUUGAUCACCAUUAGAUCCUCCAAGCAUGGGAAAUUGAAGGCAUAAUUAGCGCCGGAGCAGAAACUUCUCAGGCUCUCUAAACUUUCAAGAAACAACUCCUUCAAUUUGUUGAAAACAAUUUCAACUUUUACCACGUCUCCCUGAUCACUUGCUAUUACUUCAGUAACCAUUUUGCACUUCGAUAUUGUCAUUUUUCUCAGUUGCACCAGACACUUCGCUGUUGGGGAUGUUACUACGCUUACUAGUCUUUCGCAGUCGCACACUUCCAAAACUGUUAGAUUUCGGAAAGAUGCUCGGGAUGGAACCAAAUUCAUCAUAUUGCCACAAUACUUAAUCUCUAGAAUUUCAAGAUUUUGAAGCAUUAAGUCCAGUUUGGAAUCUUGUUUCCACAUAUGAGUCAGAUCCGAGAGUUUAUUUAGCUUCAAGGUUUUUAUAUGUGUGAGCCUUCCAGCAUGUUCUUCAACCUCUUCAGAGGAACAAAUUUCUUUGUAUGAACCAUAACUCAGUACAAGCUUUUCAAGAUUGCGAGCUCUCUGAAGCAAGCCAAGUGGAAAAACAGCUGAUUCAUCAUCAUACGAGACAUUAAGGACUUUGAGCUUGCUCAAAAGAUGUUCUAGAAAAUGGUCCUGCCAUAUCAUGGUGAUGUCCUUUUUGCUUAAUGACAAUUCCUCCAAGUUUCGGAAGACCUAGUGACCAAGCAGAAAAAGGCCAGCAGGAGUUGGUCUUCCAUCAGACAAUUGCACAGAACAGAUAAAAUCUUAUAAAACAAAUGAAAAAUGAGCAUCAUACCUGAUCAUCAAAGAAGUGGGGUUGUUCUGCUGGGAUCCCUUUUAUUUCCUCAAAGCUAAUAUGUUCUGGCACGAAUAUACUUACUUUGUCACAACCAUAUGCUUUCAACUUUUUUAACACCGGCCAUUCUAAAGUAUACAUUCCAUGGUAGAAAGUUCUAAGAUGUGGAAGUUCGCAGAGUGUGAGCGAGAUUAAACUGGGAAAGACAAACCCAACAGUUGCUUCGGCUCUUCCUUCCUUGGCAACAAUCUCCUCCAC
rnacentral:lncRNA from 1 species